AUCCUUCAAUAACAAGCAUCUCCAAUGCAGGAAGGUGCUCUGGAAAUGUUCCUUUCAGUUUAGAACAUCUUAAAAUGUGAAGCUCUCUCAAUUUAGGAAACCGUUCAACUCCCUGACUGGAUCCAUGAGGAAUCCAGUCUUCCCAUUCUCGCAUGUUUUCAAAACGAAGAGUCUCCAAACAUGGAGGAUCAUUCCCACAGAACUCUGAACCCAACCUUUUUACUCUGCUCAUUCCACGCACUGUAAGAUGCUUUAGAGAGGGCAGUUGCCCGACAGACGGCAGGGCAGUACACAUGCCGCAAUCUUCAAAUUCAAGUGUUACUAAAUUUGAGAACAAGGAAUCUCCUAACCAUGUUGGAAAUUUCAUACCUCCAUAGCCUUUGAUACAAAAUUGCUCCAGAUUUGUAUGAGGUUUUAGCAUGUCAAGCACGCCCAUUUCAGUUUCUGCCUCCCUUGAAGAAGAACCAUCGGUACUGCAAGUCCAUUUAAGCGAUAAUUCUUUCAGAUUCUUCUUUCCAUCCAUUUGAGCCUCCAUGGCAUCACCAACGCAUUUUACAUUCUCCAAUUUUGAAAUGCUAAGUGUCCCAUGAAGGUGCGUCAACAACUUUAGCUCUCGUAAACCGGAACCACUGCCUUUUCCCACAACAAAAUUACACAACGUCUGAAGACUAGUCAACCUACCAAUUCCUACUGGCAUUUCCUCCAACGACUUCGUAUUUGAAUUCUUAAGAUGAUGCAAUUUGAUGAGGUUCCCCAUGUCUGCACACAACUUCUUCAGCCGAUCACAAUCUUCCAACAAAAGACUAUGCAAAUUGUAAAGCUUGUUGACUGAUUCAGGCAGAGUUCUAAUCUCAGUUCUAGACAGGUUAAGGUACCUUAAAUACCUCAAAUCACCAAUUGAAUCUGGCAGCUCAGGGAUGCGGUAUCCACGCAAAGAGAAGACCCUCAAGCGUUGAAGUUUGAGCAACUUAGGAAGAAUGCUAGGAGCCAAGUAGCCAGGCCAUCUAUUUGUCAACAUUACUGGUAAAAAAGUUCUCAAAUGUUGGAUAUCAUACAAGUCCCCAAACCUUUGAACGCCAUCAUAAUCUCCACAAAUGUAUGAUAGAUGACGAAGAUUUCUGGAAAAACAUUGUUGCUUGUUAACCUCCGAGGUAUACUCCAGUGUGAAGUAUGUCUCCCCUGCAGCCCAACGGGCAAGGUCGUUGAUAAGAUCGUGCAUAACAAAUAGUGAUGCAUCGGUGGCCGAUUGCUGGAAAAAAGAUCUUGAACAUAGCUCCUUAAAGAAAUCACGACCUAAAUCUUCACUAGGAUUCUCAUCUUCUUUGUGAUCCAAAAAACCGGAGGCACACCAUAAUAAAAUUAUCUCCUCCUCUUCAAAUUCAUAAUCCUUUGGUAACAAUGAGCAGUAUGCAAAGCAUUGUUUCAAAGUUGGAGGAAGAUAAUAAUAGCUCACUGCAAGGGCUGGUAUAAUGCGACACCUCUGUUCUGGUAAUUCCCAUAUCUUGCUACCGAGCACACCUUCCCAUACCCGUCUGUCAUGUCUUCCACGUAAUAGUCCUCCAAGUGUUUGUGCAGCUAAGGGCAAGCCAUCGCAUUUGGUCACUAUCUUCUUGCCAAUUUCCUCCAAUAACUCAUGCGGCCCCAGAGAAUGUUGAGCGAAUAUAGCUAGACAGUCAUUAUCUGACAAUUUUUUUAAUGGAUGAGGUGGAAGAGUCCCCAUGAUUGUUGCAACAUCCUGAUUGUGAGUAGUAACAAUAAUCUUACUUCCCUGUGCACCAGCUUCAAAUGGAAGGCUGAGCUGAAUCCAAUCAUCGUAACUAUCAUUCCAUACGUCGUCUAAAACAAGCAAAAAUUUCUUUCGAGACAACUGCUUCUUUAGCUCCUCUUGAAGAAAAUUUAAAUCAUUAUUAUCAACAGUCUGCUUAGUAAUGGAGCUUAGAAUUGUUCUUGUUAGCCUGAUAAGAUCAAAAUCAUCAGAGACACAAGUCCAUGCCUUGAGAUCAAAAUGAUCCUCCACUUGCUUGUAGACAAGCUGAGCAAGAGUGGUUUUACCCAGCCCGCCCAUACCUAUAAUGGGAAUAACUGCGAAUCCACCAUCCUUUCUUGAAUCAUCCUUCAACAACAAUUCAACAAUUUCCUUCUUUUCUGUUUCCCUGCCAUAUACUUUGGCUUCCUCCACCAAAGAGGUUGUCUCUUGCCUUUGCCUGGCUUUUUUGGACCCCCCAGCUAAACUUUUUAUCAAAUUCAGCGAGCGUAUUCCUUCUUCAAUAUCUUGAAAUCUGUCGUUGAUCUUUUUGAUUUUGGACAUCAAGGCGAAAUCGAACUGAAUCGAUUGUAGAGUAAAAGUGGUACAGCAAGUAGGAAUGAGCUUCCGAAACUUACUCUUCGUGCUUGUACGACUGCUGCUGGGUUGAUCAUGAGCAGCAGCUGGUUCUCCAUUUCCAAGCAGCAACUUCCUCCGGAAAGCCUCAGUUUGGAACUCAUCCAACAAGUCUUCAACGUCAUAAGCCAAGUUCUGAAGCUCGCCAAGCCACAACUUCACAUAAUCAUCAGUCGUCUUCUUCUCCUCAGCAUCAUCAAGCACCGCCUUGAUCGUCACCAACUUAUUCUUCCACUUCACUAGAUCGUCUUUGAUUCGACCUUGGCGUGCAAAACGCAGAAUCCCCUUUGAAGCUAACUUAUUGACCAGCAACUCAACGGACGCCGUCAGGAUUGCCUCUCCGAUGAUUGACAUUUUUUCUUUUUUCUUUUUUUUUGGGUUUUUUUGGACAAAGAAAAAAACUAAAUUAUGAGUUUGUGGAAAGCAAAAUGAGAAAAGUGAAUAAGCGGAAUGUGUUUGUGAUUGUGUCUAGCAAGCCUAGAAAUCAAGAAAAAUCCACCGUAAAAGUGAAAAGUAAAACGGAGCCCACCACAAAUAUAAAAUCAGAGGAGCACAGAAUAAAAAAAAAAACAAAAGAAAAGAAAAAGCCAAGCCAAGAAUCAUAUGCCAUUGCUUUACAUAUUAAAUUAAAACAAAAGCCAUGCCAGGAAUCCUGCCUUUGCUUGAUAUUUGACAAGAUUAAUUGGACAUUACACAUUAUUUCACAGAGAAUAAAACUUGUAAAGAACCAAACCCAUCAAACCCUUUCUUUAUCUUAAAUGUCAGAAAUAUAUAAUUAGCUUGGAAUAAAGCUAUACUCUUCUCCUUUUUCCAUUUCUACAGGUUCAUAUAGGCAUAUCAUAUGGAUUUUGUUUUAUGCUAGGUAAUUAUUAAUUUAUAUAAUAAUAUAUUUCCCUCAAAAUAUACUAUUUGAAUUUGAAAUAAUUUUUUAAAAUAAUUUAAUAUCACAAUAAUAGUCAUGAUUCAAUUCGGUUCAGUUUAAUUUUUUUAGAGAAAAAAUUUGAGAAAAUAGACAAAUAAUGAAGACGCAAUUGAAGCACAGCCAAUAAACAGGGUAAAGUGAAUUGCGUCCUGUCCUUGAGCACUCAAUUCUCUUCAAUCUCAAAUUUAUACGUACAUUUUUGUAAAUUCAUGUCAUAUACUAGAGUCUUUUGGGUUCUGUUACAUCAAUUGUUUCGUGUCUAUCUUGUUUUAUUAAUUUAUGGAGCAAGAUUGCUAGUAGCGAUAAACCUGGAAUAAAACGAUUUAUUUAUUUUAUAUAUAUAUUGCGUUGUUAUCAGCAAAAAAUAUGAUGGGUUUCGUUUGUAACAACUAGCUAAUUGCUUAAUACAUUUUUGUACUUCUCGUCAUGAAGUCACGAGGAACUUGUAAAUAAGAUCAUAGACGUGGUACGAUGUGACGUGAUAAAUUUAAAUCAAAUCUAAACUAAGAUGGUUCAUAUAUAGGUACAUACUGAAUAAAGAUAUUUAAAGCAUUCAAUUUUAUGACAUACCUAAUAGUCAUUGGCUUAUUGUUAUUAAAGGAAGUGAAUAGAAAUAGAUGUAGAAAGUGAAAAAGAUGAACUAGCGCACAUGAUGAUUUCUCAGAUAAAAAGUUAAAUUUAUAUUCUUUUUUUUAAUAAGUGUGAGAUGAUUUACACCCUAAAAUUUAUUUUGAACACUCAUAUUUUUAUUACAAAAAACCCCAUAGUUCAAUUUACUGGUAUGGACAAUUCAAUAAAAAUACAUAGAACAAUAAUACUUUUGACACCCAUCUGGCUAUAUUUAACAAGUUUGCACGCACAGACUCUAUGAUUCUAAUUUCUUUGACUUGGUUUUAGUUUUUGUUGAAUAUAUAUCUACCUAUAUAAAGUGUUAGUGAUUUUUCACUUCUCUACCAAGGAGAUUCUACACGAAUAAACAACCGCAGAAAAAAAAAUAUAAAAAACCUGAUACAGGUGAAGAAGAUAUUCAUCAUAACAGUUUUUUAAAGUUGAUGAGUCCAAAUAUCCAAUAACUGAUAAAUUGUGUUAAGAAAUAAAAAAUAUUAAUAGUGAUGACACAAAGGAAGUCCCGUGUUUUGAGUUUGACUAAAAUAAUCUGAAUAAUUUAAAAUAAUCGAUCAGGCCAAAUUGCUGAAGAGAUGAACGGCCUCUGUUUUUUACCAUAAUACUAGGAAUUGACUUCAAUUGGGAAGUCAGGCCAAUCGAAGGAGCUCCCCUGUUUCUGACUGAAACAUAAUCCUAACAAUUUACAAUUAAAUAAAUCAUUCAAAAUUUCUCCUUUAAUCGAACCCCCACUUCUAUGACUUAAUAAAAUAUUACAAAAGUUCUUAAUACAGUGAAAUUAACGUUCAGCUCAUGAAGUCGCCAUUAUAUAUAUUGAAAAAGAGAUUAGUACAAGACAUUGAAAAUUAAUUGACAUUGAAUCACGUUGGAUCCUUAGUUGUUAAUUAUGAUCUUGGUCUUUUAAUUAUCAUCUAGCCAACGCAGGUCCACUAGUUUCAUUUGUGUCAAUCACUGAAAAGUAGAGCUUUAUUGAACACCGCAUAUUACAGAAACUCACUCGAUUUUCAUUGCCAUACAUGUAGCUCAAAAGUACAUAUUAUAUCAGUGAACAUGGAACAUUCAGCUAACCUAUAACAAAUAUAAUAAAAUCUCAAUAAAUUAAUAGUUCUGGGACCAAUGAAAAAUUAGUUAAAAUUUCAUGAAUAUCAAUUAGUCGAUAAGUUAAUAAAUUAUUAAUUUAUGAAAAUAUUCAUUAUUUUGGAAAAAAAUGAUUACGUUUAUAGUAUUGAUUUACGUUGAGUUAGAAUCUAUUAUUUUUUAUUUGAAUAUUAAUUUUCUUUUAAGAAGAUUUUUUAAUAGUUAACUACUUUAUAAUAAGACUAUUGUAUGAUUUUUAUUUUUCCAUGUUAGAGAUGAUAGUUCUGCUAUGCAAGCUGUUUCGAUCAAAGGAUUAGAUGAUAUUGACAUUGAAUAAUUUUUUGUUGCAAAAUGACAACACCAAUUAGAAUUUCUUUUCGCAUUACAAAAGAAAAAAAUGAGAUCCAAUUCUAAAUUAAUUUAAAAAGAAAUAAACGAUGCUGAGAAUAAAUUUUACACAAGCCAUAUAGACAUAUCAUAUGGAUUUUGUUUUAUAUUAGGUAAUUAUUAAUCUAUGUAGUAAUAUAUUUCCUUCAAAAUGUACUAUUUGAUUUUGAAAUUAUUUUUGAAAAAUUUAAUAUCAUAAUAAUAGUCAUGAUUCCAUCGGUUUGAGGUUUUUUUUUUUUUUUUGGUUUAAGAAAAAAGAUGGGACAAUAGUCAAAUGAUGAAAACACAAGCUAAGCAGAGCCAAUAAACAGGGGAAAGUGAAUUACUGUCCUUGAACACGUUCUCUAAUAAUCUCAAUAUUCUACGUACAUUUUUGUAAAUUCAUGUCGCAUACAAAAGCCUUAUGGGUUUUGUUGCAUCAAUUCUUUGGGGAUUUAUCUUGUUUUAUUAUUUUGCGACGCAAGAGUCCUCGAAGCAAUACAUUUGGAAUAAAACGAUUCAAUUUAUUUUUCGUUGUUAUUAACAAAAACUAUAUAUUAUUAAUUAAUCAACUCAUCGAGAUAUUGGUUUCAUUUGUAACAAGUAGCUAAUUGCUCAGUACAUUGUUGUACUUACUCAUUAUCAUAUCAAGACGAACUUGUAAAUAAGAACAUAGACGUGGUACACUGUGAUGUGAUAUAUUUAAUUCAAAUCUAAAUUAAGAGAUGAUUCAUAUAUAUAGGUACAUACUGAAAAAAGAUAUUCAAACAUAAACACUCCAUUUUAUGAUAUACCUAACAAUAAUCGGUUUAUUGUCCAUAGGAAAUGGAGUGAAUAGAAACAGAUGUAGAAAGUCAAAAAGAUGAACGAGCGCACAUGACGAUUUAUAAAAUAAUAAAUUAAAUUUAUAUCGUUUUUAAUAAGUGUGAGAUUAUUUACAUUUUCAAAUUUAUUUUGAAUGCUCUUAUUUUUUACUACAAAACCUCAUAAUUCAAUUUACUAUUAAGAGCAAUUCAAUAUAAAUAAAUAGAACAAUAAUACCUUUGACACCCACCUAGAGCGCACACACCCAUGUAAAAUUAUUAAACCUUAAACCGAAGAACAUUCUUCCUCAACAUUAAAACUCGUGCAUUAUUUAAAACCAUAUUUAACAAAUUUUCACAAAGAGACGCCAUGAUUCUAAUUUCUUUGACUUACAUUUCAAUUUUUGUGGAAUAUAUAUCUAUUCCAUAUUAAGAGAUUCUGAAUCUUUCACUCGGCUGUCAAGGAGAUUGUACUGAAUAAACAACAGCAGAAAAACAAAUAAAAAACUUGAUACACGUGUAGAAUAUACUCAUUAAAUUUUAAUUUUCGGCACAAUUAUGAGCUGCAUAUUUAUACACACACACAAAUAACUGUUCUGCAAAUAUGUACAAAUCAAUUUCAGCCAUCCAACUUUUUUUCGAAUUUUAAUGAAUAUAAAUUUUAUAAGUUGGGCAACUAUGAAACAUAAAAUUAGCAAAAUGAUAUUAUUAACAAAUAAGGAGAGCAAAAGGUAAUUAUAUCUUGGUGUGCUAAAUAUUUUUAUGGGUGUAGUGAAAAAACUAAAGAUAAUGGAAGAAAUGUUAUUGAGGAGUAAGUGAAAAGUGAUUUCCUAAAAUCUAUUAACUAAUGCGCAAAAUAGAAGGGCAUUUUGAGAAAAUUUUAGAUUAAAAAUAGUCCCAUCCUUUUAAUAAUAUUCUUCAAUCAAUCUGUUUAUUUCAAAAUAAAAAUCCAUCUCAUUUUUACUUUCUAAUUAGUCAUAUUAAUGUGUUAAUAAUUACGAAGAACCAGUAUUAUUUGUAUGAUGUAGGAAGCCCUUUCGACACAAUAACCCAAAUUUCUAAGAGUAGCGGCUGGACUUGAUUGGGAACAACUUCGAUUCAGUUUAAAAGGUUAAUCUCAAAAUUUCGUGAUAUUGUGCCUAAAGAGCUUCCUGCAUCAGUAUAACAGUUUCUAAAUUAAUAUAAUUGUGUGUUCAUUUUUUAUGAUUUUCCUUUAAUUUUUUUUUUAGAAACUGUUGUUCUUCAAUAAUUAUUCUAACAAUGUUGCUUUAAAGUGAUGUUGAUACGGGAGUCGAUGAGUCUUUAUCUGAAACAAAAAUUUACAAAAAAAAAUAUUAAAUUAAAAAAAAAGUACAUCAAAUAUUGGGCUCCCCCAAGUUUUACAUUUGUCUUCCACAAUGAGACAAGCCCUUUUUUCAAGUGAAGACUUUUGAUGUACAAUUUGUAAAGGAAAUUUGCCCCAUAUAAUUUUCCUUUCUACAACUUGCAAGCUUAUGUAAAUCAUAUCAACUUAAAAGAUUCCAAGAUUUGGUAUUUUGGUGAUUUGAGUAUCCAAUGGUGAUGACACAUACGCAUGGAAGUCCCCUGAUUUGAGUUUGACUAAAAUAAUCUGAAUAAUUUAAAACAACACAUCAGGCCAAAGUCCUUAAGAGAUGAACUGGAUUUCAGUGCAUCACAUUCCGAAAUUGAUACUAACCUUAACUGGGAAGGCAGAACAGCCUCUCUUUCCUACUGUUGCACAAAAUGGCAAGUCAAGCCAAUUCAAGGAACUUCCCUGUUUUUUACUGAAAAAUACAUAAUCUGAACAAUUUAUAAUCAAAUAAAUCAUUCAAAAUAUCCUUUAAUCGAACCCCCGUUUCCAUGGUUUAAUAAAAUAUCACAAAGGUGCCUAAUACAGUGGAAUUAACACUCAGCUCAUGGGAUUGCCAUUAUAUAUAUUGAAACAGAAAUUAAUACAAGAAACUGAAAAUUAGUUGACACUGGAUCACGUUGGAUCGUUAGUUGUUAAUUAUGAUGGAAAUAUAAUCUUGGUCUCUUACUUAUCAUCUAGCUAAUGCAUGUGCACUAGUUUUAAUUGUGUCUAUCACUGUAAAUAGUAGAGUUGCUUGAUUGAAUAGUAUCAUAUUACAUCACAGAAACUCGCUCAAUUUUCAUUGCCAUAUGUAUCUCAAAAGUGCAUGAACAUUGAACAUUCAGCUAACUUAUACCCAACAACAUCCAUCAGUCAGAGUGAAACCCCAAUUGAUUUCAUAAAUACAAAAUAAAUAACUCGCAAAGGCAAUCUUUGACAAUCACAAAAGCAACAACAAUUCACUCCAACAAACAACAUAACAAUUAUAUGGUCUAAAUUGCAGGUCUUUUUAUGAUUUUAAUUGAAAGAGAAAGCACGAGGGACAUAUUAUAUAUAAUUGAAUGUUAUGAUUGAUAAUUGGGCAAAAUAAUACUAAUCUAGCUAACUAGUCCAAUCAUCAUAAUAAUCUGAUUUUCAUUAUUUAAUUAUGUUCAAUCAUGUUAUUUUAAUAAAGAACACUGAACGCUUGAGUAUUUAUAUGUUCAACAACUUCGGCUAAAUUUGAAAAAAAAAAAGUAUUAAUUAUGAAUAGUAAUAAAUUACCCUACAAGCCACAUAUUGCGUACAUAUGCAGUUGCAACAAAUAUAUGUGUAAUAAAAAGAUCAUAUGUGCUUAGAAAAUGAAGCAUCAUUGAAUAAAUGGAAAAAAAAGAAAGAAAAUUAAAAUCAGCGUCCAGCGGAAAGAAUCCAUCUUUACGUGUUGCCUCCAAUUUGGUACAUCUAUCUGACUUUAAAAAAAUUGCAGUAGAAAUUAGAGCUCAUUUUUUUAGAUAUGGCUCAUAUACAAUACAAGUGUCAAGAUGUAAUUAGAGUUUACAUAUAUACACGUGUCUAAUUCUAAUUGACAGACAAACUAAUCAUAAAUACUCAGGUGUUUCUAAAUGAUUGAAUAAUGAUAUUGUAGUGACUUGAUUGCUUUGUUCUCUGAUUAGAAAUAAAUCACUGUCCAAGAACCUUUGUCAAGAUCUGUUCAAGUUGCAAUUAAACCAACACCAAUCUGAGGCUUCAAUGCUGAUUCACACCAUAGCUCUAGGUUAAUGGAGGUUGAAAACAGAAGAUUAAAUUGAACUAGAAGCAGCACACACUCACACAAAGAACAGGAUUUAACGUGGUUCGAUUAUGCAUAAAUGCACAAUCUACAUCCUUGGGAGAAGCCACAGAGCUAAUACAGAGGAGAUUACAAGGAACAAGAAGACUCUUUCUCUCUUUCUAAGAUCUCUCUGGAAAGCUCUCAAAAUCCUAUGCAAUGUUUUUCAACAACCAGCCUCUUUACACCCCUGAUAUUGAAACCCAGAUUGCAUAGCUUUUGGACGCGUGUAUAACGGCUUCAUAACGAAUUUGAUUCCCUUCUCACAUGCGGUCUCACGUGCUUCACUUAAACUUGCUCAAAACGACUGAAAGUAGCGUCGUUUUUCCUUAAGAUUAGUGAAGAAGAUAGCAUGUGUGUUGCACGUGAGUCGUAAGUGGAUUCGCUUACUCAAAACACAGCCGCUUUAGGGCUUCGAGUUUUGGAUUCAUGGCACUCUAGUCCAGAGAUAUUAUUGGUAUUUAUAAAUUUCAAAGUGGUGAUAACAGAUUCACAACAUAUUGGAGUUUUGGAUUCAUGGCACUUAUGGUUUCUCAUCAAAUAAUGUUAUAAAAAAAAAUACAUAAGUUAGAAGAUUCACAACAUAUUGGAGUGUAAUUUCCACUUGAGUGACAAUGAAUGAAGUUAUGUUAAUUUAGAUUAAGUACAAGCCUUCCUAAAUAGGAUUAGAAAUACUCUAUUAACAUAUCGAAUACUACCUUAGUAAAAAUUUAGUUGACAAAAAUUAAAAAAAAAAAAGCCUUGAAGGCUUGAAACAAUUAACACCAACUAAAUAAUUGUCUUACAUCACCAAUUUUUUUUUUUUCAUUUUAAUAAGACAUCACCACACUCCUGACUUUAUAAAGUGACUUUAUAAAGUAAAGCAUAAAAUAUAAUAGAGAAGUUUGAGUUUAAAAAAAUAAAGUUGGGAGAAUGACUUGUCACGCUGUCUUUGAUCAUUGAGCACACAAUUAUCUGAGAAAAAAAAACUCUAUUGUAUUUGUGUUUGUUGUAGAUUCAUGUCAUUUACUAGUCCUUUGGGUUUUGUUGUAUCAAUUCUUUGGUAAAUGUUUAUCUCGUUUUCAUUCUUUUAUGAUGUGAGAUUCCUGGUUAUAUUAGGAAUCAGAGUGAAAUCCAAUCUUAAAAUUUGGAGAAAUAAAACGUAAUAUGAUUUUUAAAAUUUAGAGAAAUAAAAUGUAAUAUGAUUUUUUAAUGAAUAAAACGAUUUAAUUUAUUUCUUUUCUACUAGUAAAAAUUAUUAAUUUAUUAACCCAUCAAGCUAUUGGUUUCAUUUGUAAGCUGGUCAGUCAGUUUUUUAUUUUGAGUUGUUAUCUUUCAAAAGAUAUUAGAAAAAUCUUACUUUGAGUGUACUUGAUCACUUCACUAAUUAUAGGGUAUUUACAAGUUAGAAAAAUAAAUUAUUUCUGGCCGAAGACACUAGAAAUUAAAGUUCAUAUGACUUUGUAAUACUGUUUGGUAAGUGAGAAAAUUGCCGAGAAAAUACAGAGCAAAUAGAAUCUUUAAGAAGAUCUAAAUUUCUGUAUUUUAUUGAUCUAAAAAAAUGAUACAAGCUCUUAUAUACAAUUGUAAGAUUCUACACACUCACAAUGAAAUAUCACGCUACUAGUAAUUAACAACCCUUAUAACAAACUCAACUGAUUCAGGCUGACUCCAGAGAAUGUCGAAAAGCGUUUGGCUAAUUUUUGUAUACACACACAUAACACAAAAUUAAAUUAGUUGGCAGCGUUGACAGUGAGUCGUUUUUGGCCAUCCAUAAGUUCACAUGUGCAUGGACAUCUGUUGCCAGCCCUUUCAUUAUUUUAAAUCUCCAUAACAUUAUUAGAGUCCCACAUUUAUCACACAUCAUUAAGUAGAAUGCGCUAAUUAGGAAGAGCUAGUUUCUUUGUUCUGUUUUCUUGCAUAUGUUGCAAUUUUCGAGUAUCACUGAAAAUUUUAGACCGUCAAACCUGCAGGAAAAUUAUAUACAUAUUCUAUCAUUCAACCUCAACAAAUAAAUUCUUUUCACUGGAAUCCAACAAUCGUUAAGUGUUAACCUUGUAGUUCUCAAGAGCAGAAAUUGUUGUAUUAAUUUUUUCAAAGUGUCUCUCUUAAAAGAACACUAAAGAUAGGAGAGUGAAAUUUCAACUGAGAUCUUGCCACAUAAGACGAUCGAUUUAAUCCGACAAAAUGUGCGUUAGGUUAAUAAGAGCCAAUACUGCCCUGAUCCUUUCUGCAUCUUUCUUCUAUCAGCGGACAAUCCUUGAUAUACAGUUGCAAGAGCGAGGUAGGCACGCUCUUGUCCAAAAAGUAUUUUGGCUUCGGACGAAUAUAAAGCCAAAGAUACACCAACGACGUGAGAUUUUGACCAAUUGAAGGCAGGCAUUCCAUGCUUUGGAAAUCAUAAAUCCACAAAAGGGUUCCUAACUCCUGUGGCGAAAUGACACCACGUCAUGAAGUCCUCCGAUUGACAGUCGUUGUAGAGAUGAGAAUCUGUUCAAUCCCCCUUCCCCCCCACCCCAUCGAUGGCUUCCAAAUCUUCAUAUCAUGAAUAUAAAGUGACUGAAGGUUGCUGGGAAACCUACCAUCAUCUGCCUCAACUGGGAAGCAAUACCAUAUAUGCUUGCCAGACCUCCUCUGUUUCAUUCUUGAAGACUGUGCAUGUCCUUGGGUAAGGCCUCUAGCUUAUCACACCACGUUAUCCGGAGCUUAGACAGUUCCGCAGAAGGCAAUCCUCCUUCAGGAAAGGGUCAUUUCAAUAAAAGCACAGUACAAUUGCUUAACUAAUUUUUUGAAAACAGAGAUAUGAGAGAUUGACAAUUUACAAUUGCUUAACUGCUCAAGAAGAGAGCACGCUUGAAUUAUGAAAUACGAAAAAGAGAGCACAAAUGAAAAAUCUUAAGGAAUCAGCAGGAUUCACAUCCGACCAACUCCACGCUGCUAAAGCAAAGGAUUAAUUUUUGAGAAAUUGUAAAGAAAUUAAUACAAGUGAAAUGAGAGCCUGUUCAUUUGAUUAUUGGCCAAGGGUGAUUUCAAUAACGUUUUCAAAGAAGAUAUAGGACAAAGAUCAGAACGAAAAAUAAGUAAUUUCAGUCGUUGAAAAAAAAGAGCAAGCUUCACACAUGCAUGCAUGUGUCGGACCAACAGAACAUGGCUUGUGUCAAGGAUCAAUCAAAGACAUAUAAACUCAGUUUUAUAAAGUAAGCAUCAAAAUGUUUGACAAGUUUUAGAUUUGUAGAAUAUUGGGAAAGCAGACAAAUAAUCAAUGAAGACACUGCAAGUUAAGCAGAUCAAUUAAACAGAGGAAAUAGCUGAUCAAUUCUUUGUGCAAUGGCCACAGCAACUGUGAGGUUAUAAGUUGCUGAUGUGUUGGGCUUCAAUACAAGAUUCGAAGAGUUCUUGGGGCUGUGUGAAGACUGACUUCAGUUGGAGGGGUCUUAUUGUAAAUUUUAUGCUGAUGUGGCAGAGUUCGUUGAGAAUUCGUUAUGCCUUUUCCAGAAAUAUCAGAAUAAAAGGCGCUGGUGAUUAGCCCCUGAUCUGAGAUCAAUAUCUUCUUCAUUUCUUGUUCAUUUUGUUGGAAAUUUGGUUCUCUGUGAUCCUUGUAAUUGCCUCUUCAUAAUCAACCUGUAUCUAGAUUGUUAUGAUCAACAAAAGAGCAGUUGUUUCCUUCAUUGAUUUGUGUACUUGAAACAGUGCUCUGUGUUCUAUUCUUGGAAUUGCUUUCUUGUUUGGUUGAUCUGGUUUGAUUCUUUCAAGUCCGAUUCAUCAAGUUCUUCACGAAUUAACUUGUGUAGCCAUUAAAGUUUCAACAGCAACAGAUUAAAUAUAUCUACAAGACUACAUUAAUCCUAAUGGCAUGGUAGCAUCUCCAUGCAACAUUACAUUAACAUUUCAUCAUCAAUCAAUUUUGAUGAUAUGAUAUUAAAAACAUUGACUUCAUAAUUUAACAUAUAAAGAAAAAGUAAUACUUAUUUGAUGAGUAUGAUAGACAGCAAAUAUGGAUCAUGCAAUAAUGAAACAUGUAUUUAUAGAAAAAUGUUUGGGAGUAAAAUGAUGCUAUAAAGUUUAAUAUUAGUUGCAAGAAAAAAAAAUUGGCAAUUAAGAUUAACAGAUACAUAUGCAAUGCUUCGAGUUUAUUUUAUGACUUCCGUAACGAUUUUGUAACUACAUAUUGAUUAGAAGUUCGAUUAAUUUUGACCAAAAACUCUAGAGCAAGUCGAAAAGAGAUUUGAUUUUUUGUAUACAAAAAAAAUAAUCAAUAAAAGCAAGCUCUGGUGUUGUUAAGCUAAGGAUACAGGGGUUAAAAUUACUCACCACUCAAUGGAAUCCACCAAAGAGAUACAGAGUUUGAUAAUAACUCAAAGUUCAUCCAAUUUCCAAAAUUAAUCUCUGUCCUUUGGUUACAACUACAUAAGCUUAAAUAGCUUUCUUGGAACAAUCCUCCAAGCAUAGAUUUACUACAAAGAAACCCUUCAAAUAACUUGACUUUAAAGACCAACAUUAAAGCUAGACAUUAAUAAAACAUUGGUAUGCUUAAAACACAACAAAAAAAAUUAAAAAAAAAUCCAAGUCCCGAAAUAUUCUUCUUGACUCAAAACUGAACAGUCUGCACUUAACUGAUCAUAACUUACUGUAGAAAACUCCAAAUUUAGAUUAGUAAAAUUCAUUGGAAAACUAACAGAAAUAUCUUUCCAAUGAUGUAUGGCUCGAAAAUUAAUUCGAUCUCAUGCAGUACAGUUGAAUUCCCAAAGAUGCCCCUUCUGCACAGAAAUUCUGCUCACUUGAUUAAUGUAAGAACUUGAGCUGCACUUGGUAUAACUUGAUUACCAAAUAUUUCAAACGCCCGUGUUAUUUUCACUGGUGGCCGUAGGUCUCAUGACAGACUGAACCACGUUGUCUCUGUUUUCCCUGUGAUUUUGUCUCUGAUUCUUCUUGUUCUUUCUUCUUGAUUCUAUUUCUUGGAAGUUUAAGUCUGGUUUGUUGAAUAUUGAGUUGAUUCAGAUUCGGUUCGGUGCUUGUGCAUCUUGUGUUAGUCUCAUUCAAGAUCUUGGGCAGAGUCUUUGGUUUGACAAGUUAAUUAGAUCGUCCAAAGCUCUACGUUUUUUUUUUUUUUUUAAACAAAAAAGAAGCACAGUCUGCUAUUAAUACUGUAGCAUGUUAGCUACUAUAAAAGCUCGUGUCUAAUUACCAAAUAAAUUCCACUUUAACAAAGAAUAGAAGCUAAUUUUAUUUUUUCUUUUUGUUAUUGAAGUUACCUCGCAAACUUCUCGGAAGCUUAUUACAAAAUUUCCUUUUACUCUAGGAUCUCUUGAAUGGUCCUGCAAUUUGUAUUCUUUUAUGUGGGAUUGGUUUUUUCUUUAAACAAAAUUUCAAGGAUAAGAAACCUUUCCCAUUGAAUACCAACUUUGAAUUUUAUUAUCAUUUGAACUUAGAAAACUGCAGAAACAAAGCGCGUUCAUAGCACCAGCUAAGCUAGCUGUGUCUUGGUACCAUGCUGGUUCUAUUUUUACUUUAUUAAAUAUAUACAAAAUUAAAUCUCCUGAGCCUCUAGCUUCACUAGUUUCCAACUUGAAAUUAAAACGCGGAAUUAAUGGCAUUGGAGUUCGUUAUUUAAUUUUGCUUUGGUUCAUGGGGAAUCAGAUGGCCAUCCAAUUUUUUGUCUAUUUUAAGUACUAUUGGCCACUAAGUAGCUUGCUUAUAUAUGUGUAUUGGGAUGUCAUAGGCCUUAAAGCUGAAAAUCAAUCCCCAAUCUAAAGUGAAAAACAGUAGCUAGAACAUAAUCUAUGUUUUGAUGUCUUAGUUUAUAAGCUCAAACAAUUAGUAGUAUAUAGAAAAUGCCCGAUAGAACCCAAAACUUGUAGUGAUUUUUAGUUUCGAAAUUCAUUUCAGAAAAUCUGUUCCGUUCAACACAUUCAACUAAACUCUAGCCAUGUACUUGUAUGUAUACAGGUAGAGCACUAGGGCAACAAAGGAGUCCAUCCUUAAGGCCUUGUCUAAGACUGGUUGUCUUUUUCAUGAGCUUCUGGCUUUCCAGCUUGCUGAGCGACGUACACAUAAAGAGGUUAUCCUUUUCUUUUUUUCUUUGUUUUUAUAUGACAGAAUCCAUUUUUGAAUAUAUAUAUAUAUAUAUGUUUAGGUACACAAACACACACAUGAAUAUGCAUGUUUUUAUGAGUUCAUUUAAGUAUAUCCAAUGUUGAAUAACUCUUCCAUUUGAACUUGACAGUAAUCAGGUAGUUGAUAUUUAUGUUACAAAAAUUGGAAGUGUUAGAUAUGAGACUCAAAUCUGAACUUGAGAACACAUACGACAAGUCACGUGGAUCUUUGUAUUAAAUGUGACAUGUCAUGCGUAGGAGUUCACGGAGCUGUAUGACAUUCUUGCUCUGUCGGGAAAACGAGUAAGUAACACACGUGACGUAACACGUGCAUAACUUACUCAAAACGACAGGAGUUUGUGCCGCUUUGUGCUCAAGAGCUUGUGAAGGUGUAACACGUGGCUACCAGAGGUUCAAAAGGCCGUUAAAGGUUGUUAUGACGCGGGCAAAAACUGGGGUUCUUCACAAGCAGCCCAGGUGGCGUUAACAGCUGACUGGUGAAGGGUCUUUCUAGAUCCUUUUCUUACUAUAUAUAUGCCUUUAUGGUGAGAUCUCGCGUAGAGUGAUUCUGUAACACCUUCUUAAGAACUUUGUAUCUUUAAUAAGCUCAGAUAGUGGAAUUCUUCUUCUCCUUCACAGUAGAUGUAGGCUCACUCUAUGGCCGAACCACUAUAAAUCAUUUAGUGGAACUCUCCUUCUCCUUCACAGUGGAUGUAGGCUGACUCUGUGGCCGAACCACUAUAAAUCAUUGGUGUCAAGUGUGUGUGUAUUUUUGUCUCGGUUCUCUUUGAGUUUCUUGCUUUGGUUACAACUGAUUCAUCAGCCAUUAAAGCUAAGUAUAUUCUGAAAUCUUGAGUUCAUAAAGGUCGUUCUUGGGGGGUCUAAAUUGGUGCUUAAUCCGGUUUAGUUUCAACAAGAAGCAACAAAAGCAAUUCAGAAUCAUGCAAGGACUUGGAUUUUUUUGUUAAUUCACUGGGCAUAUGUUUAUCCAACCUCUGAUUUUUCUUAAUAUGUCUCAGUAGUUCAUUUCACGCCACUUUUAGCCGCUCCAUUGGCAUUUUCUGCCAUUUGCUUUUGUUCAUUGGAGCAAGUUAGCUUAUUAAAUUGCUUUUCGAUAAAUGUUCUUCAGAGGGAAUGUGAAAAGGCCAAAUGAACCGAGAUGAUCGGGUUUUCUAGAUCAGCCAUCUCUGUCCUCAACGGUGCUGAACCGUCAAUUACUGAGACACCAAACUCUGACCUGAUUCAUAUGGGAUGUAGACCAAAGCUUCUUGCCAUACCAUCUCUGGUCAAAGCUGCUAUCUUUGAAAGUUUUGCAGGACAAAACAUGUCGGAGUCAGAAAUUGACGUCACCCCUAGCAUAAAACGGUGUAUCAAGAGCAAUUUUGGUUUCCCAGUCGAUACAGAUACAGAAUUCAUAUAAGCAGGUUGCUCUCAAUCUCUGUUUAAUAAGCUUCCUCUGCUGUAUCCUAGAACGUUAUGCUUCCCAGCUGGCUAGAAUGGGAACUAUGUUUCUGCUGCAAAAUUUUUGAAAGCGAGCAUUGUGAAUAUCCCGACUGUGUAUGAAGUGGGCCUUAAGAAGACAGAGAGGACACUUGUGACAAUACUCGAGACUGUAAAGAAGCCGUGGGUAUACAUUUCUGGUCCAACAGUCAAUCCAACUGGCUUGCUUUAUAGCAACAAAGAGAUAGAGAAUAUAUUAACUGUUUGUGUAAAAUAUGGGCCAAGAGUUGUGAUUGAUGCUUCAUUCUCGGGAUUGCAAUUCAAAUACGAGGGUUGGGGUGGCUGCAAUCUGGAAGGCUGUUUAUCGAAGCUGUAUCGUCUCUCUCUGUGUCUCUGCUGGAGGGCUGUCUCCGAAGAUGCUUACUGGAGCCCUCACAUUUGGAUUUCCGGUUCCAAACCAACGUCAUUUAGUUGAUGCAUUUAGUAGCUUUCCGGGAUUAAGAAUAUAUUUUAUGCUAUGAAGAAUACAUUUUUGAUAAAUUAACCUCAAUUCUGAAUUUUAAUUUAGAGAAUGUCGAGAAGAGAUUUGAUUUUUCAUAUAGAAAAAAAUUAGACAUGAAAUAAGUCAAAAUCAAUUACAAGAACAACAAUAAGAAUGUAUUUUUUAAAAGCCACAAAUACAUAAAAUAUAAAUUUAGUUUAAGAUUAGGUAAUUAUUAAUUUGCAUAGUAAGAGGUUCUCGUUGGAGAAAUCCAUUAACCUUCGGCUAAUUUGAUGCAAGGUAUAAUUUUGCAAUGCCCAAUAAUAUAUAGCUGUAUGGUAUUUCUGUAUUAUAUAUACUCCUAAUGAAAAUGAAGCAAAUACGUAAUACUACUACUAUGACAUAACUUUCAUGAUUGCCAACUGCCAAAACCAGCCACCUCUCAUACGUGCCUUAUUGAGCAUGGAAACACCUUAUAUUAUAAUUUCCGUUCACCCAUAGAAGAAUUUCAGGGCCAUUAAUUCAACAAUUACCAAACCAAUAUCCCAAUGAUAGUUGGAUUACUAAUCUUAGCAUUAAAAGAUCUACAAUUUUUAUUUGGCCAAAAUAAAGGUUUUCUUACUGCCUUCUUGAUCUUUUCCUGCCUGGUGAUUCCUGAAUGUUCCUCCCAUUCUCAUAUGCUGAGUCGCUUGCUGAGAUGAUAAAUACUCGAGGGUCCUUCCAUAAGACAAUUCAGCAGACACCUGAUUCAUUCUAUCAAACAUCAGCAUCACUAAUAACUAAAUGGUGUAAGAUAGUCUGGUUUGAAAAUUCUAUAUAAAUCAAAUUUUUAUUUUUCAUCAUUAUGGUUAAUGGCUUAGCAAAUGCAGGAGUACGGAUCAGACAAAAUGAAGCACUUUCUCUCGUAUUAAGCUUUAUUAGUCGUUGAAGCUAACAAAUUUUAAAACAAGUCAAAACAGUUCCAACUCAGAAUCAGUAGGCCGUAAUUGGGUUGUUAUAAAUAUUUCAAAGUUUCAGUUUAAUUUAAUUGUGUAUGCACAAACUAACUUUAUCACUUCUUUCAUAUUAAUAUUCAUAAAUUUCAACCUUAUUUUAUGUUGAUGCACAAAAUGUUUUUUUGUUAUAUAUAUAUUCAAAUAGUCAAAUUUCUUCUUCUUUACUCCAGGAUCCAGCUCUGUACCCCACUUUUUUGUCGUCAUUCUACCCCGCUGUUAGAUUUUAAUUCCGUUGAUCUAAUGGUUGGGAUUUGUAAGUGAAUAACGAAGUGCUGUUUGGCUACCGUCUGAUAGCAAAUCUGAAGCAAAUGUAAUCACCACCAUGCCGGUAUAUUCAUUCAAAUAUUAAACGUACAGAGAAGAAAGCAAAUUGUGGCAGGAUAGCGAAAAUUGCAAACGGUCAUUCCCAACACGAACACCUGUGGCUGUUUUCCUUUAAUUUUCUUCUUUGAAUUUUCCUUUGAUUAAUCAUUAGAAAAACUGCUUUUUUUUUUUCAAAAUCAUGUGUUAUUAACAUUUACAUAGUUAAUUCAUCAAAAUCAAAUGGUUGUUAUCUACGAAAAGACAUUGAAAAUUUCCUUGUCACAAGUCUUUUCGUAUUACAAAAGCAUAUUUAACAAAAUUGCACUCACAGAUUCUAUGAUUCUAAUUUCUUUGACUUGAUUUUAGUUUUUGCUGAACAUAUAUGUAUCCCAUAUAAAGUGUUAGUGAAUUUUUCAUUUCUCUAGCAAGGAGGUUCUGCACGAAUAAACAACAGCAGAAAAUAUAUAUAUAUAAAACGUGAUACGAGUGUUUGUACUUUGCUAAUGGCGUUGCACUCUCCAAACAUGAAGAGUGCAUUAAGGUGCAUUAAGCAUUGGCUGAUUAGAAUCAUUCAUGUUAAGAAAUAAAAAUAUUAAUAGUGAUGACUCAAAGGAAGUCCCGUGUUUUGAGUUUGACUAAAAUAAUCUGAAUAAUUCAAAAUAAUCCAUCAGGCCAAAGGAAGUCUCGUGUUGAACUGCAUUGGGAAGGCAGAGCAGCCUCUGUUUUUUCACUAUAAUACUAAGGAUUGACUUCAAUUGAGAAGUCAGGCCAAUUGAAGAAGCUCCCCUGUUUUUGACUGAAACAUACUCCGAACAAUUUAUCAUUAAAUAAAUUAUUCAAAAUCUCCUUUAAUCGAACCCCCAUGUCUAUGGUUUAAUAAAAUAUUAAAAAGGUACCUAAAACAGUGAAAUUAACACUCAGCUCUUAAAGUUGCCACUUUAUGUAUUGAAAAAUGUACUUGAAAACGAAUGUUGAGAUUUUUUUCCCCAAUGAUUUCAUAAACACAAAAUAAAGAUCAUAUAUACUUUGAAAAUGAAGUUUCAGCAGCUGAGAAAGCUAGCCGUUACUAACAUAUUACACCCACCCACCCCACCAAGAAAUCCAUUAAUCUUGGGUUAAUCUGACACAAGGUAUAAUUUUGCAAUGGCCAAUUAUAUAUAGUUGUAUGGUAUUUCCGUAUUAUAUAUACUCCUAAUGAAAAUGAAGCAAGUACGUAAUACUACUACUAUGACAUAACUUUCAUGAUUGCCAACUGUCAAUACCAGCUACCUUUUAUACGUGCCUUAUUGAGCAUGGAAACAUCUUAUAUUAUAAUUUCCGUUCACCCAUAGAAGAAGUUCAGGGCCAUUAAUUCAACAAUUGCGAAACCAAUAUCCCAAUAAUAGUUUGAUUACUAAUCUUAGCAUUAAAAGAUCUGCAAUUUUUUUUUGGCCAAAAUACAUGCUUUCUUACUGCCUUGUUGAUCUUAUCCUGCCUGGUGAUUCCCGAAUGUUCUUCUCAUUCUCCUAUGCUGAGUCGCUUGCUGAGAUGAUGAAUGCUCGAGGGUCCUUCCUUGAGACAUUUCAGCGAACACCUAAUUCAUUCGGUCAAACAUCAGCAUCACUAAUCACUAAAUGAUGUAAGAUAGUUCUGGUUUGAAAAAUCAAUAUAAAUCAACCACCUUAGAUUUUCUUAGUCUCAGAGCACAAUGGGCGAUGAUUUGAUGAGAAAUACUAAUAACAUGCAUCCCCUGUAUUAGUUAGAGCUGCUUGUCAUUUUCUUUUUUCUUUUGGGUACUGUUUUAAAUUUUUAAUCAAUCGGAUUGAGCUGCAUGUUUGCUUUCAGUCCAAACUGAAAUCAGACAUUAAGUAUUUUUGCUAGAAUGAAUGCAACCAAGAUUCUAUGGGAUAUGUAUGAAGAUGAUGUAAUAAAGUGCUUUUGAUAUAUUCCCCUAGUCGGUUUACUUCACUAACCAUUAACGAGCAAAUCCUCCCAAUGACCCUCAAAACUCUUGUGCACAAUUAAAAUAAUUUCAAUUAUAUAUAUAUAUAUAUAUAUAUAUAUAUAUAUAAAUAAACUCUCAAAUAUGUUAUUUGAUAAUCACCAAAAAAAAAAACAAUUCACCCCAAUAAAUCACAUUACAGUCUAUGUUGCAAGUCUUUUUAGGACUAAUUCAAAGAGAAAAUGCGAAGGACAUGUAAUUGAAUUUGGGACACAGAAUAUAUUCCCAAUUACCCUUUAGUGUAAACAGUUCCACUUCAGAUAUAUAUAAUGAUGAUGAAAUUUUGUUUUCUCAUAGCAAUCAUUCUAGUGUUUUACAAUGAGUAAUUGGUUCAAUAUUAACACAACACUAUUUUAACAUGUGACAUAUUCUAUCGUAGUGUGCUUCAACUCAUACUUCUAACUCAAAUAGAAAAGUUUCCAUUUUAAUUUUAUUCAAUCUAAUGGUGCACGUUUUUAGUCAAAAAGCCACAAUAAGUCAUCGUUAUUCUUCUACUAUUGAAAUGAAUAUAUCAAAUGGAUGAAAAUUAAAUUAAAAGAUUGAAAUGACUAUGUGGAAGAAAAUUGAUGUAAAAUGUUGAAGUUAAGAAGCCCUCCGAAUUAUAGAAGAAACGAAAUAUAUUGACACACAACAGUUUAUUUAUUAAUUAAGAGAGACAAAAUAUAUAAAUACAAACAAAGAAAAUCUCUUGCAUAUAUCAAACUUACGCUCACGUAAUUGACAGGUAAUAACAAUACCCAUUUUUUUUAUUUCAUAAAACAUAGUAUGAAAGAGAACACUUCAUGCAUUUAACCACUAUAAUUAGGAUUUCUCUCAUAUUGAGAGACUAUUAAAAGAUCAAGAUUGUCAUCUUUUAUAUCCUCGUCACGACAAUACUAAACACACGAUGAUGCCUUCAACCCUCCAACCCAUCGAUCUUACCUGAAAAAAUUAUAAUUAAUAGGAAACUUAUUCACAAAUGCAUAUAUUUAGAAAAGAAUUACAAAUGAACGAACUCAGCCUAAAAAUUAACCUGCACAAGCAAAGAAAUUAUAUACCAUUUUUGACUUGCGAACAAAAGCGAAGCAAUAAUGCAUGGUAUAGACAUAAGCCAUUUUUAAAAGACUAUAUUCAUCAUGCGGAAGUUAGAAAACUUACCUCCUGCCAUAGUUAUCAGAUUUAAUUGUACACAACUUUUCUACUAGAAUGCAAACAAAACCAACGAAAACAAGCGAUGCUUUGUAAUCAGAAUUUUCUAGUCUAUCUAACACUUAAUUCCUGAGAGUAGAUGGUAUACACAAGCUCUGUUGUUAGACCAGGGACCCUCAAUAUUUUUUUUGAAAAAACUUGACCGUAAGUCAUCUCCCAUCAAGAUGACAUGUUUAAAUAAAAGAGGAAGUUAUGAGCCAUUAUCCCUUUGAUUUUAGGAAACCACCCGUAACGUGUAUGAGAGAUAUUAAGAAGAGUUGUUUUAUCUUUAUUCCAAUUUUAAACCAAAACCAACGUUUUGAAAUUAAACUAGAUAAAGAUAAUUAUCAAUUUAAAUUAGAAAACUAAUAAUUAAAAUAAAUUAGAUGGCCAUAUUAUACACGUUUUGAAAACGUGUCUAACAAUUUUUACUUUAUUGCAAAUGUGAUCAUAUGGCCUGAUGCGGUCCACAAAAUAUAUAGUUGUCAAAAAGAAGACGAACAAAGCAAUUGAUCAUAAGCCAUUUUUACUUUAUUGCAAUAAAGCAUGAUUAACGCUUAUUGCAAUCACUAAAGAAAGAGAGAUUCUAGAGUACAUAGAAUUAUUACGCUUGAUUAAUAUAUAUAUAUAUAUAUAUAUAUAUAUAUAUAUAUAUAUAUAUAUAUAUAUAUAUAUAUAUAUAUAUAUAUAUAUAUAUAUAUGUAAUUUCCCUAACGAAUAUGUCUAAUUCAGGAACUAAUUACUUUUUCAGGCCUAUGAAGUCAUUUCAAUAUUUUAAUUUUUUAAUCAUUUAUUUACUAUUUACAUAUUAAUAUUUUGAUUGUUAAUUUUUUACAUUUCCAAUUACUUAACAUAUAUCAAUUAUUUUUGUUGCCUUUACAAAGUCGUUACAAGAAUAUUAUGUUAGAGUGGAGAUACUUUCAUACUUUCAUGAGUUAACGGCGGUCAAUGGUUAAAGAUAACGAGUUUUGGGGUAGAUUGAUGUUUUCAAUAGUAAGAGGGGGAAAUUUGAAGAUUGUCAAUUCCCUAAGGGUAAUUAGAAAUUAACCCAUAUAUAUAAUAGGUACAUUUGAUAUGAAACGUAUAAUUUAAUUAAAUAUAUCUAUUAAUUACAUUUUAAUUUUUUAAAAUAAAUAUACACAUAAUAUAUAUGUAUUAAUUUAUAUAAAAAUAUAUAAAGAAAAUUAUUAUGUAGCACAAAUUCCCGCCCUAUUAAAGAUCUCAUGAUAUCCAAAAAAAUAAUUAUAUAUUUAUAGCAAAGUGUUGGUAUAUUUUGAAGGAACGAGUUCGGUACGGAAAUGUAAUAGUAUGUGUUUUUAAUGACGUUUAUAAAGUCAUUAAAUGUCAAAAGGAAUGAAUUUAGUGAUCAAUUAAUAAUUAGAUAGGUAAACAUGAAAUCUCUCGGUCUAUUAAUGUAGUAUAGUUUCUCCCUCAGUUAUUAUCAUUAAAUUAAUUUGUAAAUCUCGUUUCCCGCUACUCCUUCCAAAUAUACAUGAGUAGUGAUAUUUGGCCCUUUUAUUAUAACUCACAAUCUCCUAUUUUUUUGUUAACCCCAUUAAAUAUUUUUAAAUAAAUUUUUAUCUCUCAACAUAUCACACAUAAUUAUGGAUUUACAUUUAUUAUAAUUUCUAUCUUUUUUUCCAAGCACUCACUAUAUAAAAUUUAUAAAAUCUAUUUAAAAAAAAAACUCUCAUAAUCACUAUAAUCUCUUUUUUUAAAAAAAAAAAAUUUAUCCGUCGUUGUCAUAAUCAUUAAAAAGAAAAAGGCACCAUCCUUUAUUGAAAUCUCUCGGUCUAUUAAUGUAGUAUAUUUUCUCCCUCAGCUAUUAUCAUUAAAUUAAUUUGUAAAUCUCCUUUCCGGCUACUCCUUCCAAAUAUACAUGAGUAGUGAUAUUUGGCCCUUUUAUUAUAACUCACAAUCUCCUAUUUUUUUGUUAACCCCAUUAAAUAUUUUUAAAUAAAUCUUUAUCUCUCAACAUAUCACACAUAAUUAUGGAUUUACCUUUAUUAUAAUUUCUAUCUUUUUUCCAAGCACUCACUAUAUAAAAUUUAUAAAAUCUAUUUUAAAAAGAGAAAAAAACUUUCAUAAUCACUAUAAUAUCUCUUUUCAAAAAGAAAAUUUAUUCGUCGUUGUCAUAAUCAUUAAAAAGAACAAGGCACCAUCCUUUAUUGAAUAUUGAGUACUGUAAAUUAAUUUCUUUCACGAUUACAAAAAAAGAGUAUACAAUAUUUGAGAAAAAAAUAAUGAUUUAAAAAGUUAAAAAAAUUAGAGUUUAAGAAAUUAGAUUAGCUAAAUUCGAUAUUAAUAGAAAUUGUCAUAUGAGUGCACUUAAAAGUUAUUUACCCUUUUAAAUCAUUUCACAUAAUAAUAAAAUAUGUACUAACAUAAAAGUGAUUAGUAGAGACUGAUGAGAUAUAAUGAGUCAAAUAUCAAAUUCUACAUAUAUAUAAUAGCUAAUAUAAUUGUUUAAAUAGGAUUGUAAUUAAACUCAUUAAUUAACUACCUUUAAUUUUUCAGUAGGCGAUAUUUUUGAAACGUGAUGAUCAUGUGUGAAUAUUAUUCGAAAGUAAUGAUUUUACUAAAAUCUUCGUCUACAAUGAUGUUACAGUACUGAUGCUCAUUUAUUAGCUGUUGUCUUACCUCUUAAUUAAUUUUUUGCAUUUGCACUUGGAAUUAAUCAUUUGGCCGUGAUAGUAAUGCUACAGCCAGCGGAAUUUGAGCCUCCCUUCUUCAAUGCCUGGUACGAGAAUGAAGCUAACAAUCGGGAUGGACAGAACAUUCUGUUAUGGCAAACGUGUUUACUUCACUUUCAUUAACAAGACUUAAGCAACCCACAAAACCAGAGUUUGCAGAAACAAGAUUAAGAAACAAAACAAAAGAAGUAUCAAGCAAUCAAAGAUACUCAACACACCAAGAAUCUAACGUGGUUCAGCUCCACAAAGGAACCUACAUCCACGGCUGUAAAACCAGCAAGGGCAGAAGCUUUAUUGAACAACAAGAAGAUCGUUUACAACUGAGUCACCAAUUACAGAUUAAAGCCUAUCGAAUGUUUUCUCUCUGUAAAUCCUCUCUGUUUUUCUAUAUAUGUUUUACUAGCUUAGAGACAACUUAUAUAUGUAAGCUUCUCACGUGUGUUCCACUUGCAAUGAGUCAGUCUGUUAUUUAACUAACUAACCAACUCUUGACUUGAAUCCCACUUAUGCCAGCUCAUACGACACCUCAGCAUGUCCAUAACAGAUUAUAACUAAUCUCGGCUUCACAAAUCUCCACCUUAGUUCUAAUCUGAUUAUGCUUCUCCCUUCACUGCAACACAUCACCAGAAAGCUUGUUUCAUAAGCUAACACUUCCAAUCAGAUUCAGUAAGUCCCUGAACCUGACUGAUGGCAAAGGCUUGGUUAACAUGUCAGCUGGAUUUACUUCAGAUGGCACCUUAACUACAUUUACUACUCCUUUGCUGAUUUCAUCCCUUAUAAAGUGCAUUCUAACAUCAAUAUGUUUAGUUCUCUCAUGAUACUUAGGAUUUUUACUUAGCUGAAUAGCACUUAAGCUAUCACAGCCAACUACAACAACUUCUUGUUUAAACCCCAACUCAGAGACUAGUCCUCUCAGCCAUAUUGCCUCUUUGACAGCUUCUGUAAGUGCAAUAUAUUCAGCUUCUGUUGUUGAGAGGGCAACCACUGAUUGCAGGGAAGACUUCCAACUUAUAGCACCUCCACACAUGGUAAACACAAAACCUGUGAUGGAUCUUCUUCUAUCUUUGUCUGCUGCAUAGUCUGAGUCCACAAAUCCAGCUACUUCAGGUGAUGCUCCACUUAAUUUCCCAAACAUAAUGGCAGUGACAGCAGACCCUUUGAGAUACCUUAGUACCCAUUUCACUGCAUUCCAGUGACCCUUCCCUGGAUUCCCCAUAAACCUACUGAUGACUCCAACUCCAUGAGCCAAGUCAGGUCUGGUGCACACCAUGGCAUACAUGAUGCUGCCAACUGCACUGGAGUAAGGUAUCUCCUUCAUGUAGUUGAAAUCAUCAUCAGUGGUAGGUUCCAGUGACUUGGAUAACUGAAAGUGAGUUGACAGAGGUGUUGAAACAGGCUUUGAAUCUUCCAUAUUGAACCUGGUUAAUACCAUCUUCACAUAAUCCUCCUGAGAUAGAUACAAAACUUUGGACUCCUUAUCUCUCUUUAUCUGCAUUCCUAGAAUCUUUGUAGCUGCACCCAAAUCCUUCAUUUCAAAUUCAGUGCUGAGCUCCACCUUAAGCUUCUUUACUUCUUCCUUUUGUUUACAUGCAAUAAGCAUGUCAUCCACAUACAGAAGUAAGUAGAUGCCUCUACCAUUUGUCAGGAAUUUAAAAUACACACAAUUAUCAAAUCUGCUCCUACAGUAUCCAUGGCUUAGCAUGAAUUCAUCAAACUUUAAAUACCAUUGCCUUGGAGAUUGCUUGAGGCCAUACAAACUCUUCUUCAAUAAGCACACUUUAUCCUCUGAUCCUCUCUCAAUGAACCCUUCUGGUUGUGCCAUGAAAAUCUCUUCAUCAAGACUGCCAUGUAAAAAGGCAGUUUUAACAUCCAUCUGCUCCAGCUCCAGGUCAUGAUAUGCAGAGAGGGCCAGCAGCAACCUAAUUGAGCUAUAUUUGACUACAGGUGAGAACACUUCAUUGAAGUCAACUCCCUCUCUCUGUGUGAAUCCCUUUGCUACAAGUCUGGCUUUAUAUCUUGGUGGUUCAUUUUCUGAAGCUCCAGCCUUCAACUUGAAAAUCCACUUGCUGCCAACUAGUUUCUUGUUAGAUGGUCUGUCCACUAAGAUCCAAGUAUUAUUUUUCUUUAAAGAGACUAUUUCAUCCUGCAUUGCAGCAUACCAUUUCAGCUUAUCCUCACAUCUCAUAGCUUCUUUAUAGCUCAAAGGUUCUCCACCAGUUACUUCAUCACCUACUGUUAGUGCAUAGGAAAUGAGGUCAGCUAUGCCAUACUUCUUUGGCAUUUUGAUGGCUCUCCUCUCUCUGUCCCUAGCAAGCUGAUAUGUUUCCAGUUCUGGUGGUUGUUUUCUUUCCUUGGUCUGGUCUGAUGGUUGUUCAGGAGGCUUACAACUAUCAGAAUGCUUUACCAUCUGUCCAGCACUUUCUUCUUCCUCUGUUUCAGCAGCUUCAAUCUCAGUUUCUACCUUUGACUGGAGCAUUUGCUCUUCAUCAAAGGUGACAUCCCUGCUGAUUAAUAUCCUAGAUGGUUUCCCAUUAAGGGUCCAUAUCUUGUAUCCAUUAAUGCCCUCAGGAUAUCCCAAGAAAUACCCUUUAACAGCCCUUGGUUCAAGCUUACCUUGCUUUAAGUGUGCAUAAGCUGGACACCCAAAGAUCCUCAAAUUGCUCAAGUCUGGUGGCUUUCCAGACCAAAGCUCCUAAGGUGUCUUGAAACCUAAAGCUGAGGAUGAGCUUCUGUUUAUCAGGUAAGCAGCUGUGGUGACUGCUUCUGCCCAAAAACCUUUGGAUAUGUUUGCAUUCAGCAGCAUGCAUCUUACCCUCUCUAUUAUGGUUCUGUUCAUCCUUUCUGCCAGUCCAUUUUGUUGUGGAGUGUAGGUGACAGUUCUAUGCCUUGCAAUGCCCUUAUAUUUGCAGAAAUCUUCAAACUCUUUUCUGCAAUACUCUAGCCCAUUGUCUGUUCUGAGCCUUUUUAUUUUCUUACUAGUUUGGUUUUCAAUGAGAGUAACCCACUCUUUGAACUUCCCUAGUGCUCCACUUUUGUGUUUCAACACAUAGAUCCAAACCUUCCUAGAGUAGUCAUCUAUGAAGGACACAAAGUACCUAGCUCCACCUAAAGAUGGAACUUGUGAUGGCCCCCAAAGGUCUGAGUGGAUGUAAUCUAGUGUCUGUUUGGUUUCUUUUCUCCCUGAACUGAAUUUCAGUCUUGUGGCCUUCCCAAACACACAUUUCUCACAGAAUUCUAAGGAAGUAACUUUAUCAUUACCAAGCAAACCUUGAUUGCUUAGCUCCUUGAGGCCUCUUUCACUGAUAUGAGCUAGUCUCAUGUGCCAGAGUUUGGUUUUAUCUCUGGUCACACUUGCUGAGAUCCCUUGCACAGGUGAGGAUCCAACUAGUAUGUACAGCCCAUUUUUCCUAACCCCUUUCAUAACAAUUUUACCCUGAUCCAAGACCUGUAUCUCUCCAUUUUCAGCCUUAAUAGUACACCCUGAUUGGUCAACCAUUCCUAGAGAUAUCAGGUUUCUUUUCAGUUCAGGGACAAAUCUCACUUGGUGUAAAUCUCUAGUGACACCAUCAUGCAAUUUUAAGCUAAUGGUUCAUAUCCCAGCCACCUUGCAAGCUAGGUUAUUUCCCAACAACACCUUUCCACCAUUUACACUUUCAAAGGUCUUAAAGAAACUUUUAUUUGGACACAUGUGGAAUGAGCAACCAGAGUCCAGAAUCCACUCACCAGUUGGGUGCCUCUCUGCAGCCACCAAGACAUCUGCUUCAUCAUAGUCACAUUCAUCUUCAGAGGCAACAACAGCCUUUCCAUUUGAUUUCUUUUAUAGUUCUUCUAAUUUCUUUUUCUCGAAGCAAUCUUUAAUGUAGUGUCCCUCUUUCUGACAGAAGUAACACUUCCUCUUCUUCUUUUUCUUUUCAGCUUUAUCUUUCUUGUUGUUGUUCUUUGUUUGCUUAUUGUGUUUCUUUUCUGGCUUUCCUUUGACAACCAAACCUUCUACAUUAUUUUGAUCUUUCAUGUCUGAUCUUUUCUUCAAAUCCUUGGAUUCCAGAGCAUCUUUGACAUCUUUCAAAGAGAGGGUUUGUCUGCCAUAGAGGAGGGUAUCUACAAAAUGUUCAUAAGAUUCUGGAAGAGAACUUAAGAGGAUGAGUGCCCUGUCUUCAUCUUCAAGAAUUAUGUUGACAUUCUCGAGAUCAAGAAUGAGUUUGUUGAACUCAUCCACGUGAUCUUUCAUGGCUACUCCAUCUUUCAUUGAGAAUGUGUAUAACCUCCUCUUCAUAUACAGUCUCUUAGCCAAUGAUUUUUUCAGAAACAUUUCUUCUAACUUGCUCCACAAACCAGCUGCAGAUCUUUCUUUGGAUACUUCUCUCAAGACUUCAUCAGAGAGGUGCAAGAUAAUGGUGCUAUGGGCCUUAUUGUUUAUGAUCCUCUGAUCUGCACUAAAGCUUGAAGAGCCUUCUCCAUUCUCUUUCUUGGCCAUCGGAUCUUCUCCAUCAUCGAGGGCACUGUCAAGCCCUUGUUGAAUAAGUAUCGCUCUCAUCUUCAAACUCCAGAGAUAGAAAUCAUUGUCUCCAUUGAAUUUUUCAAGAUCCACUCUGGUGCUUGCCAUCUUUGAGUCUGAUCCCAACCGACACCAGGCUCUGAUACCAGUUUGUUAUGGCAAACGUGUUUACUUCACUUUCUUUAACAAGACUUAAGCAACCCACAAAACCAGAGUUUGCAGAAACAAGAUUAAGAAACAAAACAAAAGAAGUAUCAAGCAAUCAAAGAUACUCAACACACCAAGAAUCUAACGUGGUUCAGCUCCACAAAGGAACCUACAUCCACGGCUGUAAAACCAGCAAGGGCAGAAGCUUUAUUGAACAACAAGAAGAUCGUUUACAACUGAGUCACCAAUUACAGAUUAAAGCCUAUCGAAUGUUUUCUCUCUGUAAAUCCUCUCUGUUUUUCUAUAUAUGUUUUACUAGCUUAGAGACAACUUAUAUAUGUAAGCUUCUCACGUGUGUUCCACUUGCAAUGAGUCAGUCUGUUAUUUAACUAACUAACCAACUCUUGACUUGAAUCCCACUUAUGCCAGCUCAUACGACACCUCAGCAUGUCCAUAACAGAUUAUAACUAAUCUCGGCUUCACACAUUCUUUAGACAUAGAGGUCAAAUUAAGAUAAGGGGGGUCAAGAUUUUUUGUUAAAUUUUAUAAGAUAUGAUGAUGGUUGCUUGUAAUAUGUUGUAAUGGGCAAACUAUGGAAGCAUAACAUCUGCAAAGACUUGCUUUUGUCUUUAAUGGACAACUAGCAAGUAAAAACCUUGCUUGAUAUGCUGCUUUUAGAAACCAAUUUGCAAUCCAAUUCAAUAUUACUAUUCAUUUUUCAGGUACAUACAAGUUGGGAAUGCUGUAGCAAUUCCAGUUGGUAUUGUAUUGGGAUACGCUUUUGGUCAAGCUUGCCAAGGAUUAGCCGAUGAUGAUCAGCCAUUGACUAUACUCCCUUUCAAGUUUCCCAAUUGUCUUGCACAGUCAUCUUCAACACUUGCAGAAGAAGAUUCUGAUUGAAAUUGUAAGGAAAACAUAAAUAUGAUUCAUCAAAUUAUACUCUUGUUAGUUGCGAGUUAUUACCAAUUUGAUUUUUAAUUUGCUAUUGAUGUACGGACAAGCAUGUUCAAUGCAUUAUUUGUUAUUGAAGAUGUUUCGAGGUAGGAAUUAGAAUAUGUUGCAUCUUUUAAUUAGUGUUUUAGAUAUAUAUACUUUAUGCUUUUUCAGUCUGUAAUCACAUGUAUCAAAUAAAAGGUUUAGUUUUAGGGUUAAUUUUGGUAUCAAUCAUAAAUGUCUAUAUCAUUAUUGAAAGGGUGUUAAAUUAAAUGCUAAAAGGAUGAAUUUUUUUCCCUCAAGUGUGAGGGAUGUUUAUGAAAGUGACACCAUCAUAUGGCAUGGAGUCAUACUAUUAACAUAUUAUUUGAAUAUUAUUCACCAAAUAUCACAUAAUCAUGCCUUUUAUACAAGUGUAUAUAUGUAGAUGUAGUACAUACUCUUAUAUGUAGCCAUGAGAUCGAAUCAUGUCUUAGUAAAUGAAAAGUUGCUUCUUGUAAUCUUAUACUACGUUCUUUGAUAAAGACUUUCGCUUUUUGCUUUGAAAUGGUAACUAGGGGUGGGCAAAAAAAACCGUAGUCUUAAAAAAACCGAACCGAAUAGACGAUUUUUUCUAAUUCGGUUCGGUUUUUAUUUAAAAAAAAAACCGAAUAUACCGUUUGUAAAAAACAACCGACCCGAAAAACCGAAUUAUUGAUGAAGAUCGGAGAAUGUUGUUGGCGUUUGUUUGUAAUUUUAUUUUUUAUUUUUUGUUGUAAGUUGUAAUUGUUGUUAUUUUUAUUUCUCUUUAUAACAUUAUGAUUAUGUUUAUAUAGAUGGAGUAUUGGAGUUUGGUUAUGUAUUUUGAAAUUUUAAUAUUUCAUAUUUUGGGAGUAUCUUAUUAAUAGUUAGUAAAAUAUUAGUGAUAAAAUGUGUUUUGAAUACUUUGUAUUUAUUGUUAAUAAUUGUAAUAAAAUUAGGAUAAAUUAAUUGUUGAAAAAAAUUAUUACAUUCAUGAGGCCCAAUGGGCUAAAAAUUUAAAAAUUCAAAAUAGGCCCUAUGAGCCCAUAACCAAAAAAACCGAACCGAACCGAACCGAACCGAACCGAUUCGAAAAGAACCGUUUGAGUUCGGUUCUUAUUCGGUUCUACUUAAUUUCGAACCGAACCGAACCGAACCGUGCCCACCCCAAUGACAACUACAUAAUAAAGUAAAGACUUUCGCUUUCAUUCUUUAGUGGCAUUCUAUGAUGAAUUGACACAUUUUGUGACCCAUGCUUAAACCAUGUGGUGCUUUUUAUCAUCAUUAUUCCCAUUUCCAUUCUGCUUUUGGCUUUUAGGAAUUAAGGGUAUGCAACUUGCGAGCUUCUUUUGUCACCAACCCAAAAGGCCAAAACCAAUAAAAGAAAGCAACUCUCCUUCUUGUUCUAUCAUUCAUGUUUCAUUCUCUAGAUUGCCGUGCUCUUUGGUUUAUGAAAACGACAAAAUAUAGAACUUUAAUUAAUUUGAUAUGAUUUCAAAGCAUAAUGAGGAUGCAAUACGACAAAAUAUAAACAUUUAUUAAUUUGAUUAAAUUCCAAAGGAUAAUGAGAAUGAGGGAACAAUGCAUUGGAAAUUGCACUAGAAUUGGAUGUGGAUAAAAAUAAAAUGCGUUUUCUUUGGGGUUUUAAUUCAAAAGAGAGAAAUAUAAGUUGUAUUUUACUAAUUAAUCGAAAAAAAAAUUUAAAAAGUAUUUAUUCGUCAAUGGAAAAAAAAUUAUGAAAAGAUUUAAAACAAAUUUCACCAGUAUUUUCUCAAACCAAGAAUGGUUACUACGAACAUCAGGCAACAAACAGACAAUUUCCAAUUUAAUUAUUAGUUUUAUAUUUAUAUAUAUAUAUAAGUUCGUUUUGAUUUUUUAAUGAAUUAUAUAAGUGGGCCAUUUGUCUAAAGUCAGACAGUCAAUAACCACCGGCAUUGUUAUAUAAAACUUCUGUUUUAAAAUUUUUAACACCUAAUGUGAAAAUAUCCUCAAGGGGCCCUAGACUUUAUAAAAUAUAAUAUUAAAUCUAGUGCUAAAAAAUACUACAACUUAGAUCUACCUUAUAUUCUUGUUAUUACAAGGUGAUAAAAAUCUGUUUGCAAUUUUUGCCAUGUAGUUUGGAUUCAUAAUAAAAACACUAUUUUUUAGAUUUAUUUUGAUGUUCGAACUUGGUAAAAAUAUUUAUUUAAAUUAUUAGUACAUAGCUAGGUUAUUUGAUAAAUACAGGCAAAUUUUCUAACCAAAAUCGUCCAAAGAAGUUGAAAGUGUUUAUUGUUGUUAUUUCAUGACAUUCUAACAAACUGUAAGGGGUCACAGAAAGGUUGGUACCCCUACUUCUUGUUCUUUUUCUUUUCUCACUUUCUCAUAAGUUGACUUUAAAGGAAUACCCAUAAAAAGUGAUUGAAAAAGAUAUUCCACGUAGACUACACCAUCCACUCAGGAUGCACCACGUGUAAAACAUCAUGACCUUUUCUCUUUCUCGGCAUAAAAAUAUUUAAAAAAAUAAAUAUUAAAUAAAUAAAAUAAUAGAUGUAUGUAUAUAUAUGUGUGUACACACGCACGCGCUAAAAUACCGGGAACGAGAAAACAGACUUCCUACUUUCUUCUUUCAAUUUUCUAAGCUCACGCUAGCUUUCUCUCUCUAAAAGUAGGAACCGUAAAUUGAGUGAACGUGCGGAAUGACGGCAGCGACGCCGGCGGCGGAGGCGGUGGAGAAGUUCUUGAGGAAAUGCGAGGCGUCGGGUGACGAGGCGUACGGUGCGUUUCGGUCGGUGUUGGAGAAGCUGGAGGAUCCGAGUAGUCGGACGCAGGCUCGGGUCUUCCUUUCGGAUCUUCAGAAACGGGUCGAUGACUCGGACGAGUGUCUAAACAAGUACCAUUUCCGGAUCCAAGAUGUCGUCUUGGACCAAUACGAAGGUCCAUUUCUCUUGCUUCAUUUUUUCUUGUUUAAUUCGGUUGAUUUUUUUUUUUUUUUGAGCUAGUGGUUUGACUUUCUUUGAAUUAGGGACUAAAAAGUGAUUGUUUGUUUUUUAGUUUGGGGAGUGGUUUUAUGGAAGAUAGUUCGGAGGAAAAAGUGCUUUUGAUAUUAAGUGAUUUUUGGGAAAGUAAUUAAGUGCUUAUGUGACAUAAGAAGUGCAUUGUAGAAAAGCAAUUGUGCUUUUCGUAUGUUUUAAAGAAUUUUUGAGUAGUUCAGUUUGGUGCUUCUAAUUAAGUGUUUUUUCAGAAUGUGAUUUAUGUUCUUUUUUUUCUUCAAUUCAAGAAGUGCGUUUUAGAGAUGUAACUGUUAGAAAUUUUUCUGAAAGAAGCCCAAAAAAACGUAUGCUCUUUUUUUUUUUUUUUUUGUAGUUCAGCUGGAAACUUAAAGAAAAUGCAGAACUUACUUUUUUUUAAGAAAAAUCUGAUUUGAUUACUUGAAAACAUUUAUGAUUGUGAGUGCUAUUAAUUAUUUGCAUUUUUUUUAUGCAUUAACUUUCUUAACUUAGGGUGUUUAUUUUAUCAUGAUUAUUUUCAUUCAACAAUACAAUAGACUUUGGUUGGGUCCACCUUAGUUGGGUGUUUCUGAGCAACCAAUUAGGGUCUGGAGAAAACUUGGGUGGAGUGCCGAUCGUUUUCAGGAUUCAGUCCCAAGAAAAUACAAACGAAGUCGUAGUUGUAGUUUAAAUUAAUUUAUAUUUUUGUCUUUUUCUGUGAGCCCAGUGGGCUUUUGUUUUUACUUUGUUCUCUUUUGUUUCUUCCCCUUCUUUUCCUACUGUUUCUUGACAAUCAAAACAGACCAGGAUUUGUUUCAUUUAAACGUUUACUUUUGGUGUAAUUAUUCACUCUAACUCGAAUAAUGCAUAGGUUUAGUGCUAACAAAAUAGAAAGUGAAUUAAUAUCUAAAGCUGAUUUGGGAGUGGAAUGUAUGUUACUAAAAAUAUACUAUAUAGUAGAUAGAAUUUGCUUUUUAGGUAACACUGAAAUAAUAACUGCUGUUAACUUAUUUCAAUAAGCUUGUAAAUCAUUUCAUAAUAAGUCCUAGAUUUUAAUGGUUUUUUUUCCUGAAAUUUUUCGUCAGUGCAUGAGCAAAGUUCAAUGGAUGAACUUCUCUUUCAAUGUCACUGCUCCUCAUAUUAACUGUAUGAAACAGUAAUCUUGCUCUGUACUUUGGAGCAUUUUAAUAGUUGUUGCCAAUUCCUUAGCCAUUUUAUUCACCUCGUGCACAAAUUAUGCAAUCAAUAAGCCAACUCAACUUUCAUCUUUCUUCAGUGAAAAAUUUGCAAGGCCACUAGGAGGUUUUUGUACAUCUUAUGUAACUUGGCCGCCGUGGUUUUACCAUGUAAAUUUUCCCUAUUGGAAUUCAUGAUCCCUCAUAUGCCACUCGUGAAGCUGCUUCUGCCGCUUUAAAAGCACCAAAUUUCAGUUUUAUCCUUUCUAGCUUAUUAACUUGUCUGCAUACGCAUUAUUAUCUUUGUUAUUGUACGAAAGUUUCAUUUAUCAUCUUCCCAACAUAAACAUCCAUAGGUCAUUGUUCACUUUUUUCCUUUAGAGUCAUGCCCGAUUAUGGUUGCCGGAUUUUCUGCUCUGACAAUAUUGUUUCUAAGUAUAGGCUACCAAGGGAGAAAAAAAUUGACAAUGAUGGUCAUCCCCAGCAUUUUUAUCCCAGAAGACUGGUAGUUUACUUUCUAUGAAGGACUGAAUAGACAUCCUGACUCUAUUUUGAAGGACAAGACUGUUGCUGAGCUUGGUUGUGGAAAUGGAUGGAUAACCAUUGCCAUAGCUGAGAAGUGGUUGCCUUCGAAGGUUUGUUGGUUUGUCAUCUUUUGCCAUGUGGGAGCUUUUGUUUGCUUCCUUACCAGUGCCUUCAGGAGCUCCAUCGUGAUUUCUCUCCUCAUCGUUUUCUAUCUCCUUGUUUUGCAAGGCCACUUGUUAUUUAUAAGUAACAGUGUUGGCACCAGAUUAUGGUGUUUUAGUGCCCUCCUAUUCAGAAAAAUUACAUAUAAAUGAACAUGUGAAUUAUCAAGUCUGUCCUUGUCCAAAAGUCUUGAUUGGAGAAUGUUGAAAAUAUAACCUUGUAGCAGUUCUUUUAUGCUGUCUGAAUAUUCUUUUGCAGGUCUAUGGCCUUGAUAUUAAUCCCAGAGCAAUAAGGAUCUCUUGGAUAAAUUUGUACUUAAAUGCAUUAGAUGAAAAAGGUCAGCCCAUCUAUGAUGCGGAGAAGAAAACUUUACUGGACAGGGUGGAGUUUCAUGAAUCUGAUCUUCUCGCUUAUUGCAGAGAUCAUGACAUUCAACUUGAACGAAUAGUGGGAUGCAUACCUCAGGUAUUAUCACUAUCUGCAACUCAUGAUAUUUCUCGGGGCUUAAAUUUUGGUGAAGUUUGUUUUUCCAACACCAUGUUCGAAUUUUAGAGUGGCCACAUGGAUAACCUUUUAACUCCUAGUUUAACUUAUUCUGUUUUCUCCAUGCAGAUUCUUAACCCCAAUCCCGAUGCAAUGUCCAAAAUAAUCACUGAAAAUGCAAGCGAGGAAUUUCUGUAUUCAUUGAGUAACUAUUGUGCGCUGCAGGUUAGAAGAUAUUCUAAAUAAUUUAAUUGUGAUUGCAAAUUGCGGGGAAGUUAGCAAUUAAGUUGACAGGCUUCCUCUACUUUCACAUAUUUAGAAGUAUACAUGUUAUAAUUUUGGUUUGAAUCUUGCAUAACUUAGUUAAGGUUGAUGUCUUUAGUUGUUCAAUAUCAAUUGGGAAAUAAAGCAAACCAGUGAAGACCGUGGGAAAAGGAUAAUGUGAGUUUGACAGAUGCUGAGAGGAGAUAGGGAAACUUGAUCUAAAAGAUUUUUUUUCUUUUUCUUUUCCCUGAUUUUUGUUUUUUCUUAGUGUUUAGCCUCUUUACAAUAACAUUGAUUCCCAUAGUUCAUGUUUCUUGUUGAAAAUAAAGAUUCAAAGUUAGGAUUUAUUUGUAAUCUAGGCUAUUUUAGGAAUAAGUUAAAUUAUAAUGGGAAGAUUCAUUAGGAUUCUUUCCAGAUUUUGUUUCCUAUUAUUUAGGAAAGGAUAGAUGUAGUCUCCUAUUUUCUCUCCUAUUUUGCUGUAUAUAUUCCCUGUACAUACUGUUCUGGAAAGUAAGAAAAAGAGGAACCAAUUCACCGUUUUCUUCAUAGGUGCACUCAACAACUAUCUGUUAUGUCUUGUGGAUGACUGAGAAAGUUUAUUCAUUUUGACAAAUUGCUUUUUGAAUAGAGUACAAGUAGAUUGACUAAUAAUGAAUAUAUUGUAUCAAGUUGUUGCAUUUGAAAACUGUGCAUGACUGCGGUCUUUAUCACUUUUAUUCUCAAGGUUCAUGUUGACCUAAAUUUAAAAGCCUUGGACGUUUGGAAAAUCUAUAGCACUGAGUUUGCGAAACCUUUUAGUGCCCUGAAAGAUUGACUGCUUCAAUUGUGUUUUCAAUAUCUUGUUAUUAACAUAUUUGUAUAUAUGUUAAUAUCUUGUGGAUGACUGAGAAAGUUUAUUCAUUUUGACAGAUUGCUUUUUGAAUAGAGUACAAGUAGAUUGACUAAUAAUGAAUAUAUUGUAUCAAGUUGUUGCAUUUGAAAACUGUGCAUGACUGCGGUCUUUAUCACUUUUAUUCUCAAGGUUCAUGUUGACCUAAAUUUAAAAGCCUUGGACGUUUGGAAAAUCUAUAGCACUGAGUUUGCGAAACCUUUUAGUGCCCUGAAAGAUUGACUGCUUCAAUUGUGUUUUCAAUAUCUUGUUAUUAACAUAUUUGUAUAUAUUAUGAAGGCUAAGCUGUGUAAAUGAGAGAUAAAACAUAAAAGGUCAAUACACAGCUGUGUCACCUUUUACUUCUUCUUUAUUUAUUUAUUUAUUUUCUCUGUAUGCAGGGUUUUGUGGAGGAUCAGUUUGGCUUAGGUCUAAUUGCUAGAGCAGUUGAGGAAGGAAUUGGUGUCAUCAAACCUUCCGGGAUUAUGAUCUUCAAUAUGGGUGGUCGUCCAGGACAGGGCGUUUGCGUGUCGACAAGCUUUGGCAGACUAAAAUUCUUCAGGCAAGUGAACCUUUUUUUGUGGAAAUUCAUUAUCUAUCCCAAAUAUCCACCUCUUGAAUGUGUUUUUGCAGGCUUCUGACACAGAUAUUUCAGCUUUAGUUGAAAUUGAGAAGAAUAGUCCUCAUCGUUUUGAGUUCUUCAUGGGACUUUCUGGUGACUUACCUAUUUGUGCUCGAACAGCAUGGGCCUACGGAAAGGCUGGUGGACGUAUCUCUCAUGCUUUAUCAGUUUAUAGUUGUCAACUCCGUCAACCAAACCAGGUCUACAUUUCAUUUGGGUUUUAUUGAUAAAGUGGGUAAUUGCUCUGACCAGGGAAGUGAGCUAAAAUGAUAUCAACUUAUAUUUAUGGACAGGUUAAGAAAAUUUUUAAGUUUCUGAAAAAUGGCUUCCAUGAGAUCAGCAGUUCUUUGGAUUUAUCUUUUGAAGAUGAUUCAGUUGCUGAUGAGAAGAUUCCAUUCCUGGCUUAUCUUGCCAGUGUUCUGAAAGAGCGUUCUUUUUUCCCCUAUGAGCCACCAGCUGGAAGCAAAAGAUUCAGGAACCUGAUUGCUGACUUCAUGAAAAAGUACCACCAUAUUCCGCUCAAUGCUGAUGUGAGAAAACCUUAACUACUCAUCUAUUUUUGUACUUCUCUGGACAAGUAACUUUUGUGUUCUGUCCGUCCUAGGUUCUGUUUUCCCUGAUGCAUUUUUUCAAUUUCUUUGCAUGUGAACUCCUAGGUUCUGUUUCUCCUGAUGCAUUAUCUCAAUUUCUUUGCAUGUGAGCUUGGUGCAUUCAUAUUAGUUUAGGAGGGAAUCUAUUGGUCAUUUACUUGUUUGUGACGAAUAACGUAUGAAACAAUCUUGUUAUUUUUUGUUCUCAAUACGUAGAGCUCUAUGGACCAAUUGCUUAUCUUCUUUUAUCCUCAUUAGAAUUUCUUCAGACAACUUCUACUUCAUGCAAUUUGUGAUAAUUUGCAUUGUUUUUGUGGUCAUUCUUAUGUCUAUUGGACAAAUACUGUAAUGUGAAAUUCUGUCUAAUGGUAUCCCUUAUUCCUUUUGCAUCAUGUCCCCUCAAGUAGUUAAAUGCAUUUUUGGAUUUGUCAAUUUUUUUGGUUUGAUGAAAUCUUGAUUCUCAUGUUACCUAUCUGUUCAUUUAAUUUGACCGUGGAAUGUGUUGUUGCUGUGAGUUAUGCUGCACAUGCUUGUUAUUCGUCCAGUCUUUUUGUGUAAACAUAGAGUUUUGUACAUACUUAUAUAUGUACUGGACCUGAGAUAUUUGCACCUGACCUACUUAUUAAUGUACAUGACAAAUGAAGAACUUUUUGAGAUCUGGAAUGGAUCAAGACCUGCAACUUUCUACUUGUAGAUUUUCCACUGUCCAGUCCAAUUGUAAAAUACAGUUUGUGAUUGCUGCAUGCAUAAAUUAGCCAAACUUAAAGAUGUUGUAGUUGCCUUUUUCUCUUUUUUUGUAUGAGUAAAACAAUCCACAUUCUUAACUUUUCUUCUCCACUUGUUUCUCAAGAACGUUGUUGUUUUUCCUUCAAGAGAUGUGGCAAUUGAGAAUGCUCUUCGAUUAUUUUCACCUCGCCUUGCAAUUGUUGAUGAACGUCUAACCAGACACUUACCAAAGCAAUGGUUAACAAGUUUAACAAUUAAGGUAUGAUCUAUUUCUGAUUUAUUUUCUGUUAUUUUUGACAUAGUUGAAAAUUUCAUUUUUGGGCAGAUUUUCUUUGCUAUUCUUGGAACAAGUAAUAGUGCUCAUUCCCUUGCUUGAACACAUACUAGUUCAGUCGCACCGCGGAAUUUGUUAGAUGAUAAAAUAUCAGAUAUGAACUCAGCACAUUGUUAUACUGUUGCCUUUAUUCCUCAAGUGACAGUAAAAACUAGUAAUUGCAGUAGAUGAUAUAUUUAAUGAAAAUUACUGGGGCGACCAGACUUUUGUGUUGACAUUGAAGGGGGAGAUGGAGAAAGACCGCAGGAACAUAGCGAGCAGGGAUAGCUUUGUCUUAUGUUGUGAUGUUUGAUUUUCGCAGCCUUGACUAGUGGAGCUAAGAAGUUUAUUCCAAUCCCUAGUGCACUGAGAACAUUUCAUUUUUAUUUGUAGUUGCUGCAUUUAUGGUCCUGGCUACAAUCUUGUUCGAAGACCUUUCCUCAACCCACUUCCUUUGAAUUUCUUUGUUGUCAGUUGUCAUCUUGUGCUGCAUAACUACAAAAACAUCCUUCUUGCAGGGUACAGAUACUGAAAACUCUUCGGAGCAUGAACUAACAGUAAUUGAAGCACCACGCCAGUCAGAUUUGAUGGUGGAGCUGAUAAAGAAGCUGAAGCCUCAGGUGGUAAUUUCUGGGAUUGGUGAUUUUGAGGCUGUUACCAGUUCAGCCUUUGUACAUCUUCUAGAUGUUACAAGAGAAGUUGGAUCUCGUCUUUUCUUGGAUAUAUCUGAUCACUUUGAGCUCUCCAGCCUCCCAAGUUCCAAUGGGGUCCUUAAAUAUCUUGCUGGAAAUGUUCUUCCUUCACACGCGGCAGUUAUUUGUGGCCUUGUUAAAAAUCAGGUGAUUGUUUUUCAUUAUACUGGCCACUUGACUGUUAUGCUAUUACAAGAAGAGAUUUCUGUUUGUUCUGAUCAAGUCAUAAGAUGGGUUUCAAGAUUCGUUCUCAGUGGUUAUCUGUUAGCUUUUUGUUCUUAUUUAUGGAAGCCAAAUUCAUCUUUGCAGGUUUAUUCAGAUUUAGAAGUUGCUUUUGUAAUCUCAGAAGAAGAGGCCAUCUUUAAGGCCUUGUCUAAGACUGGAAGUACUAGAAGGGACUACUGCACUGAUUAGUCAAAACUACUAUGGUUGUCUUUUUCAUGAGCUUCUGGCUUUCCAGCUUGUGGAGCGACAUACGCAUAAAGAGGUUAUCCUUCUCUCUUUUUUUGCUGUUUUCAUAUCACAGAAUCCAUUUUUGAAUAUAUGUAUUUAGGUACAGAAGCACAUGAAUAUUCAUGUUUUUAUGAGUAUAUUUAAGUAUAUCCAAUGUUGAUUAACUCGUCCAUUUGAGCAUGAGAUAAUUAGAUAGUUGAUAUUUAUGUUACAAAAUUCAGAAGCAACAUUAGCACUGCAGUAUCAUGCAAGGACUGUAACAACCUGGAUUCUUUUUCCACCUGGAUUUUUUUGUUGAUUCACUUGGCAUAUGUUUAUCCAACCUCUGAUUUUUCUUAAUAUUUCUCUGUAGUUCAUUUCACGGCACGUUUAGUUGCUACAUUGGCAUUUUCUGCUAUUUGUUUUUAUUCAUUGAAGCAAGUUAGCUCAUGAAAUUGCUAUUUGAUAAAUGUUGUUCAGAGGGAUUGCGAAAAGGUCAAAUCAACUGAGAUGAUCGGGUUUUCUAGAUCAGCCAUCUCUGUCCUCAACAGUGCUGAACUGUCAAUUACUGACACACCAAACUCUGGCCUGAUUCAUAUGGAUGUAGACCAAAGCUUCUUGCCCAUACCAUCUCUGGUCAAAGCUGCUAUCUUUGAAAGUUUCGCAAGACAAAACAUGUCUGAGUCAGAAAUUGAUGUCACCCCCAGCAUCCAACAGUAUAUCAAGAGCAAUUUUGGUUUUCCAAUUGAUAUCAAUGCAGAAUUCAUAUAUGCAGAUUGCUCUCAAUCUCUGUUUAAUAAGCUAGUCCUCUGUUGUAUCCUAGAAGGUGGAACAUUAUGCUUCCCAGCUGGCUCAAAUGGGAACUAUGUUUCUGCUGCCAGAUUUUUGAAAGCGAACAUUGUGAAUAUUCCUACUGAGUCUGAAGUGGGCUUUAAGAUGACAGAGAAGACACUUGUGACGAUACUCGAGACCGUGAAGAAGCCGUGGGUGUACAUUUCUGGUCCAACAAUCAAUCCAACUGGCUUGCUUUAUAGCAACAAAGAGAUGGAGAAUAUAUUAACUGUUUGUGCAGAGUAUGGGGCAAGAGUUGUGAUUGAUACUACAUUCUCAGGAUUGGAAUUCAACUACGAGGGUUGGGGUGGCUGGGAUUUGGAAGGCUGUUUGUCAAAGCUGUAUUCUUCCGCCAAUUUGUCUUUCAAUGUGUCGCUGCUCGGAGGGCUGUCUCUGAAGAUGCUGACUGGAGCACUCAAAUUUGGGUUUCUGGUUCUAAAUCAUCCUCAGUUGGUUGAUGCAUUUAGUAGCUUUCCGGGAUUAAGAAAGCCUCAUAGCACAGUCAGAUACGCUAUAAAGAAGUUGCUUGGUCUGAGAGAGCGAAAAGCAAGAGACUUGAUGAAUGCUGUUGCAGAACAUAUAAGAAACUUGGAAAGUAGAUCAAAGCGCUUGAAAGAGGUACUUCUAUCUGUCCUCUUACAAGAAAUUUUGAAUUAACCAAUUACAUGUAGUACAUAAUCUUUGAAUUAUAUUACUCAAUUCUAAAUAUAUGUCCUACCAUUUUCUCCAUGGUGAUCUUUCUGCAACAGGCACUUGAGAAUUGUGGGUGGGAAGUGGUUCAAUCCUGCAGUGGUGUUUCAAUGGUGGCGAAGCCCUCUGCCUAUCUCAACAAAACUGUAAAGAUCAGCCGGCAUUCAGCUGGCAGUGGUGAGAAAACUGCUACAGAACAAAUCAAGCUUGAUGACUCAAAUAUCAGGGAAGCCAUAGUCAAGGCAACUGGUUUGUGCAUCAACAGUGGUUCGUGGACCGGAAUUCCUGGCUAUUGUCGCUUCACAAUUGCACUGGAAGAAAGCGAAUUUGAACGAGCUUUGGAUUGCAUAGCUAAAUUCAAAAGCAUCGUUCUUACACGUAGUUAACUAAAAAAUGGUAUUGUCAUUUGUCAUGAUUUAUUUCUAUUGCCUGAUGAUGGUACCCAUCACGCCUUAGUUGUCGUGAAUAAAUCGAAAAUCAAAUUGCACUGGUUUUUACCGGUUAUCAACAAUUGUGAUGUUUUGAGAUUAUAACAUACUUGACAACGUUGACUAGCGUUCUCUCCUAUGUGAAUUGGGACAAAAAUUAUUUUCCCAAUCACGCUUUCGUUUGAACAAUUCUACUUCAGAUAUAUAAAAUAAUGAUGAAAUUGUGUUUUAUAAUUAGUUACGAGUAAUUGGUUCAAUAUUAAUACAAAACUAUUUUAAGUAACACGUGGCAUAUUCUAAUUCCAGUGAGCUUCUAACUCAGAUUCCCAAAUCAAAAGAAACGUUUCAAUUUUCUCCAGAACAUUCUGCAAAACGUUUCUUCGAGUCUCUACGCUGUGCUAUAAUUUUCUCUCAGUUUCUUUUGCAAAGACUUCUAAAGAACUGUCCAGAUACCGAAAUAUAAGGGGUUUUUAAUUAAAUACCCUUUAAUAGUUUCAAAAUUAUUUAAAUAUCCCCUCCCUUUUUUGUUUUCAUGGAUACCCUAACAAAUGUGAGUAAAGUCGGAAAUACCCUUAAUGAAUACAUCAAAUUCACUCAAUGAAUUAUCUUCAUAUUUCUUUCCUCAUUUCUUUCACCCAACUCCAUUUUUGCUGCCGAUUCUUUCAAAAUCUCUUAGAAUCUCUCAAAAUCUCUCAUAACUUCUUACACAAAUACAAUUAUGUAUUCAUUUCUUUAACACCCACUCUUUCUUUAAAGGUGCAUUGCUUAUUAAACAACCCAAUAAGGUAUGUUAAUGUUGUUGGGUUUUAAAUUUUUUAAUUUUUAGGAAAAUUUAGAAAUUUUCCUCACAUUACAAUGUUUUAUUUUCACCAUUUUUUCUUAUACGUAGAAAUAUAUGCAAUGUAGGUUGUUUAAUUAUUUUUUUCAGCAAUAUAACUUAUUUAUGGCGAAAAUGUUUCGAGUCGUGCAUUCUUUUGAUACCGUGUACGUCAUAUAGUUAGUUAUGUAGGUCGUGUAAGUAAUAUAGUCGUGUAAGUCGUGUAGGUCAUGUAAGAAAUAUAGUCGUGUAGGUCAUGUAAGAAAUAUAGUCCUGUAAGUCGUGUAAGUAAUAUAGUCGUGUAGGUCAUGUAGGUCGUGUAGUUACUUGUAUAUGAAAUUUAAUAUUAUUGUUUUUAUUGUAUCAUCAGAUAUGGUUUUGGUACGUGUGCCUAUUCUCUUCAAUGGUGAAUGGAUUGAGCAAAAUGACGAGUAUAAGUUCAAAGGUUCAAAAGCUAAAGGGAUAAUGAUACCACGAUCGACAACAUAUGCCGAAUUGGUGGAGAAGAUAGCUGAAGUUAUUGAUAUAGAUACUUCGGAAUUCGAAAUCACAAUGAAGUUCAAACUUAAGACAUCUGAUCCUAUGCCACUAGUUACAAUUCAAACCAAAAAAUUCGUGUAAUUUUAAAGUCGCAAUUAAACAUAUUACAGCUAUUUAAAAAGUUUUUUUUUUUUUUAUCUUCAAAGUGCUUUCUUCCUCUGGCCAAGCAUACAAGCAUACAUGAGGAAUGUCUGCAUAUAAUUAAUCCAUGAAAUCAAUUAAGAAAAAAAAAUAUCAACCAUAGGAAAUUAAUGUAAUGUUAUACACAUAAGAACACCAUUCGCAGUGAUAAAAUAUUUCCACUCAUAACUAGACAUAUCAUGACUUACCAUGGCUUAUAAUUGGAAAUUAAGAAUCUCUCUAACUAAUGAUAUUUCACAAGGUAAAGGUAUAUGCACCAUUCCAAUUUAUUGUGAGCCUAAUUAAACUAAAUGUAAUGUGUAGAUUCUAUUGACAAGAAACAAAAUGUGGAAUUGAAGGUCGUGUAAUUGUGUAAUACAAGAAGAUCGUGUAAUUGUAUAAUACAUGAAGGUCGUAUAAACAUGCAAUACAUGAAGGUCGUGUAAACGUGCAAUACAUGAAGGUCGUGUAAACGUGCAAUACAUGAAGGUCGUGUAAUCGUGCAAUACAUGAAGGUCGUGUAAUACACAACCUUGAAUAUUACAUAACCUUACACGACCAAAUCUUAUGUUACAUAACAAAAUUAUAAUCAGCACAAUCCAUUAAUUUUUCACAAUUUGCAUGCAGCAAAACAACUAGAAAUUUGUUUUCGAACAUGUUAUGAGAGACCCACAACUAAUUAAUCUAUUUUUUCAAUAUAAAACCCUAACUUUUUAUUUUUUUUCCCUUGAAUAUUAACAAGAAAACUAAUUACACGGAAUUACUUGUCUCAACUAGUUACAUUCUGACAAUUUUGCAGUAAAUGAUCAACUCUCUCCGGCGAUUAUGUAGUGACGAACUAUGCUUCACUUUCUCAGUUGUGGCAGCUUCCCCUUCUCAGGCUUAGUUUGCUCGUGUUGAAGUUCGAUUUACCAUGUAUGGAGAAUGAAUGUUUGUUUCGGUAGAGGUGAUGCCGGUGAGGGAAUUGUAGAGGUGAUGUCGAUGAGGGAAUUGCAGUAUUUGUUUGUUUGAGUUUGAUAAUGGAGGGAAUUGCAGCAGAUGAGUGUUUGUUUGCUUCAGUAGAGAAGGGAGAGGUGCUGUCUAUUGAGUUGAAAUGUUUUAAAAUGAGGAUAGCUUAGUAAUUUCCUAUCAGUUUUUAAAGGGUAUCGAUGAAAAUUUUGGCAAAAACAGAUUUUAGGGUAUUGAGAUAAUUUUUGAAGUAUGGAGGUGUACCGGGCGCAAUUGGCUCGAAAUAUAAUCCAAUCUAAGUGUAUAUAUCUCUCUACGUAAAGAUAUUCUAAUUCUAAUUAUCACAUUCUAAUUCAUAAAGAUAUUCCUCUUCUGUCAUAUUAAUGUGCUAAUACGAAGGUCUAUUGGAAUUAUAAUAGUUCAGAUGAAUCCAAAAUAUUCAAUAAUUGAUAAAUAGUAUAUAUAAAUAUUAAUAGCAAUGGCACAUAAUCAAUUAAUUCAAGAACUUGCCCAUAGUGCAUUAAGUUAAAAGAGUAAAAAUAACAUUGCAAAACAUGCCAGACCUUACGUGUUUAAUUAGCAAUUGAAAACUAUUUUACCGUACAACACCAUAAAGAGAUAUUUAUAACACUGUUGCUGCAGCUGUUAAUUCUUUUGGUGAAGAUGUUAAGGCCACUAAAGCUGGAACGUAAUUAGGGAAAUAUAAUGCAUUCACUUAGUUUGCUAUUUGUGUUUUUAUAUUUGUUUGGCUAAUUCUUUGCUCAGAUUGCUUUUUGUUUGAGAUUUUAUUGGCUUAGUCGUGGGAUAUUAUUUAAUCUUUUAAUUUUGUGUUUUUAUUGUUAUGGGAUUUGAUGAUGGUAUACAUAUAGGAAAAUUAUGCAAGAAAGUGCUUUUAAUAAAUUAUGGUCGGUUUACUAUUAAUUAACCAAAUUUAAUUUACUCAAAUUACUCCUAUACACGAUCAAAAUAAUUUCAAUUCCAUGAUAUAAAUACGCGCGUGCGGACACACAAAAUGUAAAUAACUUUCAAAUAUAAAAUAUUUAAAAUAAUCAUCAUACUCACAAUUCACAAGUUAGAUUAUAUUAAGGCCACCAAGGCUUAAAUGUAAUUGAUUGAAGAAAGAAGUGCUUGCUUUGCUUGAUGUGCCAUUUGUCUAUGAUGUUUUAUAAAUGGCCGAAAUAAUGAUAAUCUAGUGAAUCUGGUCAUAUUAAUUUGAUUUUCAUUUAUAUUAAUUAUGUCGAAUCAUACUAUUUUAAUAAGAAAGAGCACUCGAGAAUAUAUAUAUCUAACAACUAAAAUUUCAAAACAAUAUUUGCCAAAGUCUGAUGAAGAGAAUACAUAUAUAUAUAUAACAUGCACUCGCACACAUUCUAUUGUUUAAUUAAAAAAUUCGAAAGCCCAUUAUAUACAUGAUAAAGACUCACCGACACCGAACCAUAUUCAUUUAAAGGAAUUGUUUUCAACUGAGAUUUGAAAUUAUAUACACAAACACACCCGAUUUUUUAUUUUUUUUAAAAAAAUUACUAAUAAUAAAAUAUUUCAGUCGUCCUCUGUUCAGCUGUCAAAAACGCAUUUAAAAUCUAUAGCAACAUGCGGUAUAUGGGUUAACAAGUCCCAAUAUUGUCCUCCAUCCUUUCUGCACUUCUCUGCCAUCAACGGACAUCGAUAGAUACUUAAUCGCAAAAGUGAGGAAGGCAGGCCCUUCUCCGGAAAGUAUUUGAGCUUGGGACAAUACUGGAGAUCCAAGUGAGUGAGGUUUUGAAGAUCAACAAUUGAAGAAGAUAGGCGUUCCAGAUUUGGAAAAUUAGAAAUCUCCAGAAAUGUUAGAGAGGCAGGAAGAGGAAGCGCGGUCCCCAAUCUUAUGUCCUCCGGUGGGAAUGACACCAUGUCGCCAUCGCAUCGGCUGAUUGUGAGUUGUCGCAGAGAGGAGAAUCUGUGGAAUCCCCGACCCCGCCCAAUCGUUGACUUCCAAAUCUUCGUAUUACCAUCAAUCUCCAGUGAAUGAAGGUUGGUGGGAAGGGCAUCUUCUUCAAGGCUUGGAAGCUCACCUCCUUUUCCUAUUUUUAAUUGUUGAAGAGAGGUCAGAUUGUGCAAUCCCUUGGGUAAGGCCUCUAGUCUCUCACAAUCAGAUAUCUCCAGCGUAGUCAGUUUCGCACAAGGCAAUCCCCCUUCGGGAAAGGACUCCAGAUUUCCACAUUUCUCUAUGCUAAUCUCUUGAAGCUGGCGGAGAUUAUGUAAACCACUCGGUAAAGUUUUCAGAUUUCCACAAUCAGAAAUCUUGAUUGUUUCAAGAGAUGUGUUGUUGUCCAACCUUUCUGCUAUAGACUCCAGCUUUGAACAUCCCCAAACACCAAGGAACUCAAGAGACGGAGGUAGAUUGCCAACUUCAAGGGACUCAAGCGUGGCAGGUAACUCGUUUUUUGAAAAUAUACAUGUCAGUGAUGGACAGCUGUUAAUACGCAACUGCUCAAGAAGAGAUGAGGUGUACCUUCUGCUGCUGCUACUCUGGAUGCCCUCUUCCACUGUCAAGGUCCUUAUAUUAUCGCAAUUGUAAAUCACCAACUGCUUAAGGCUCCGUGGUAGCUGGACUCCACCAAUAUAUAUCAACGAAUGGCAAACCCAAAUCUCCAAGAUCUCGAGAGAUGAAUUGGUGUCGCACAUCCAUGCCUCUGGUAACGAUUUCAGUGCAUCACAAGCCGAAAUGAAUAUUCUCCUCAACUUGGAAGGCAGAGCAACCUCAGGAAAGGAAACAAGGGAACUGCACUCGUAGAUUUCUAUCUCUCUCAAGGAACUGAGGAUGAGCGAUGAUUGUGGCAGCUUUACAAGGCAUUGGCAACGGCUCAAUCUUAGAUAUUCGAGUCUGCAUGACAACUCGCAGAGCUGCUGUUGUUGGUCUUUCUCUUCCUCCGCCACCAAGGAUUGAAGUUUGGGACAGCAGUAGAUCUCCAGUCUUUUGAGAGAGCAAAUGUCUUGUAGUAAUCCGUCAUGACUCUUCCAUAUAUAUGUUUGCUCUUUUGUCGACAAAAUUAAUUCUUCCAAUUUCUGUAGUUGUGGCUUCAAUGGCCCCGCAAGAAACACUUGAUUUGAUGUAUCUCUACAAACCACUGAAUUCUGUGAUCCGAGAUGACCAGUUGCACUUUCCCACACAACCUUUUUGCAUCCACCAAUUUCCAAUUUGCAAAGAGCUGGAAGACUCGAAACUGAAACUAACAAUUCUUCACAUCCUUCAAUAACAAGCAUCUCCAAUGCAGGAAGGUGCUCUGGAAAUGUUCCUUUCAGUUUAGAACAUCUUAAAAUGUGAAGCUCUCUCAAUUUAGGAAACCCUUCAACUCCUUGACUGGAUCCAUGAGGAAUCCAGUCUUCCCAUUCUCGCAUGUUUUCAAAACGAAGAGUCUCCAAGCAUGGAAAAGGAAUUGGAGCAUCAUUCCCAUAGAACUCUGAACCCAACCUCUUUACUCUGCUCAUUCCACAUACUGCAAGAUGCUUUAGAGAGGGUAGUUGCCCGACUGACGGCAGGGCAGUACACAUGUCACAAUUUUCAAAUUUUAGCGUCACCAAAUUUGACAAUGAGGAAUCUCCUAACCAAGCUGGAAAUUUUGUACCUCCAUAGCCACUGAUACAAAAUUGUUCCAAAAUUUCAUGAGGUUUUAGCAUGUCAAGCACAUCCUUUUCAGUUUCUGCCUCACUUGAAGAUGAGCCAUCGAUACUGAGUGUCCAUCGAAGCAAUAAUUCUCUAAGAUUCUUCUUUCCAUCCAAUUGAGCCUCCUUCGCAUCACCAACGUCUUUUACAUUCUCCAAUUUUGAAAUGUUAAGUGUCCCAUGAAGGUGCGUCAACAACUUUAGCUCUCGUAACCCGGAACCACUGUCUUUUCCCACAACAAAAUUACACAACGUCUGAAGGCAAGUCAGCCUGCCAAUUCCUAGUGCCAUUUCCUCCAACGAAUCUGUUUUUGAAUUAAUGAGAUGAUGCAAUUUGAUGAGAUUUCCCAUGUCUGCACAUAACUUCUUCAGCCGAUCACAAUCUUCCAACAAAAGACUAUGCAAAUUGUAAAGCUUGUUGACUGAUUCAGGCAGAGUUCUAAUCUUAGUUCCAGACAGGUUAAGGUACCUUAAAUACCUCAAAUCACCAAUUGAAUCCGGCAGCUCAGGGAUGCGGUAUCCACGCAAAGAGAAGACCCUCAAGCGUUGGAGUUUGAGCAACUUAGGAAGAAUGCUAGGAGCCAAGUAGCCAGGCAAACUAUUUGUCAACAUUACUGGUAAAAAAGUUCUCAAAUGUUGGAUAUCAUACAAGUCCCCAAACCUUUUACCGCCAUCACAAUAUUCAGGAAUGUAUGAUAGAUGACGAAGAUUUUCGGAAAAACUUUGCUGCUUGUUAACCUCUGAGGUAUACUCCAUUGUGAAGUAUAUCUCCCCCGCAGCCCAACGGGCAAGGUCAUUGAUAAGAUCGUGCAUCACAAAUCGUGAUGUAUUGUUGCUUGAUUGCUGCAAAAAAGAUCUUGAUCGUAGCUCUUGAAAGAACUUUCGACCUAGAUCUUCGUUAGGAUUCCCACUCUCUUUAUGAUCCAAGAAACCCGAAGCACUCCAUAAUAAAAUUAUCUCCUCCUCUUCAAAUUCAUAAUCCUUCGGAAACAACGAGCAAUACGCAAAGCAUUGUUUCAAAAUUGGAGGAAGAUAAUAAUAGCUCACUGCAAGAGCUGGUAUAAUGGGACAUUUAUCUUCUGGUAAUUCCCAUAUCUUGCUACUGAGCACACCUUUCCACUCACGUUUGUAAGGUUUUCCAUGUAAAAGUCCUCCCAGUGUUUUUGCUGCCAAGGGCAAGCCGUUGCAUUUGAUCACUAUCUCCUUGCCAAUUUCCUCCAAUGACUUAUGUGAACUGAAAUCUGCUGUCUCCAAAGAGUGCUGAGCGAGUACAGACAGACAGUCCUCAGUUGACAAGCUUUUGAGUUCAUAAGCUUGAUCCAGGCUCAUGAUUUUGGCAACCUCUUCAUUGCGAGUGGUGACAACAACCUUACUUCCCUGUGCGCCAGCUUGAAAUGGAAGGCUGAGGUGAACCCAAUCAGUGUAAUUCUCAUUCCAAACGUCAUCUAAAACAAGCAAAAAUUUCUUUCGAGACAACUGCUUCUUUAGCUCCUCUUGAAGAAAAUUUAAAUCAUUAUUAUCAACAGUCUGCUUAGUAAUGGAGCUUAGAAUUGUUCUUGUUAGCCUGAUAAGAUCAAAAUCAUCAGAGACACAAGUCCAUGCCUUGAGAUCAAAAUGAUCCUCCACUUGCUUAUCAUUGUAGACAAGCUGAGCAAGAGUGGUUUUACCCAGCCCGCCCAUACCUAUAAUAGGAAUAACUGCGAAUCCACCAUCCUUUCUUGAAUCAUCCUUCAACAACAAUUCAACAAUUUCCUUCUUUUCUGUUUCCCUGCCAUAAACUUUGGCUUCCUCCACCAAAGAAGUUGUAUCUCGCCUUUGCCUGGCUUUUUGGGACCCCCCAGCUGAACUUUUUAUCAAUUUCAGCGAGCCUAUUCCUUCUUCAAUAUCUCGAAAUCUGUCGUUGAUCUUUUUGAUUUUGGACAUCAUCGAGUAAUCGAACUGAAUCGAUUGCAGAGUAAAAGUGGGGCAGCAAGUAGGAAUGAGCUUCCGAAACUUACUCUUCGUGCUUGUACGACUGCUGCUGGGUUGAUCAUGAGCAGCAGCUGGUUCUCCAUUUCCAAGCAGCAACUUCCUCCGGAAAGCCUCAGUUUGGAACUCAUCCAACAAGUCUUCAACGUCAUAAGCCAAGUUCUGAAGCUCGCCAAGCCACAACUUCACAGAAUCAUCAGUCGUCUUCUUCUGCUCAGCAUCAUCAAGCACCGCCUUGAUCGUCACCAACUUCUUCUUCCACUUCACUAGAUCGUCUUUGAUUCGACCUUGGCGUUCAAAUAAACGAAGCCCCUCCGAAGAUAACUUAUUGAUCAGCAUCUCAACGGACGCCUUCAGGAUUGCCUCUCCGAUGAUCGACAUUUUUUCUUUUUUCUUUUUUUUGGGUUUUUUGGACAGAGAAAGAAACUGAAUUAUGAGUUUGUGGAAAGCAAAAUGAGAAAAGUGAAGAAGCGGAAUGAGUUUGUGAUUGUGUCUAGCAAAGCCUAUAAAUCAAGAAAAAUCCACCGUAAAAGUGAAAAGUCAAACGGAGCCCACCACAAAUAUAAAAUCAGAGGAGCACAGAAAUUAAAAAAAAAAAAAAUCAAACAUGUAAUGAUUUGUAAAGUUAUUAGCGAUUUGUAAAAAUCAAACAUGCGUCUUCUUCCUCUGAGUGUAUUUUUUUUUUCUUUUUCAAAAGAGAUGGUGGGGUUGUGUUGUUUGCAAAGUUAAUAGCGUGGGUCUAUUUGUUUUUGUUUUAACUUUAUUAAUUAAUUAGUGAAGCAAACAUGUAAUGAUUUGUAAAGAUCACCGGCAUCAGAUUAUUGAGAGGUAUUGCGCUUAGUAUUCACAAUUUCUUGUAAGAAGAAUUUGUAAGACUUAUUAAUUUCGAUGAAAAUGUAUCAUUAUUAUUUAAUUCAUUAAGUUAACUUGAGGUAUUAAUAUUCACUAAUUGUGGUGCUGGUGAAUUUACUUAACUUGUCAUUAUUUGUAAUUAAAGAAUGAGGUUCAAUCAAUUUAUUGGAGAAAAAUUGAUUUUAAUUCUUAGUAUUUGAUUUCACUCUCUUUUACUUUUUGACGUUGCUAAAGAGACAGUAAAAAACUUGCUAAAUGUCAUCAAAUACUUGUAUCUCAUCUCACAAAUUGGCAAUAUUUGUUUGGUAUUUCAUCUUAACGGGACGCCGUAAGGAUUGCCUCUCCAAUGAUUGAUAUUUUUUUUUUCUUUUUUUCCCGCACAGAAAGAAACAGAAUUUUGAGUUUUAAAGCAAAAUGAGAAAAUUGAGCAAAAUGCAUGUGGCAAGUCUCCUGCUUGAUUAUUCCAGUAAAGUGAAAAUAAAAGCAGAGCCCACCACCCAUUGAUAAUUGGAAAAUGAUAAACGAACGAAAAGCGCGACGAAGGGACGACAGAAAACGCGUUUCCUCAUCAAAUUUUGUUUUUGUGUACCGACAAUAAAUAAUAAAAUAUUUUUUGUGAGAGCGAUAACAAAUAGUAAAAUAAAGAAUUAAAAAAAAAGAUAGUGUAAACGAACGAAAGCGCGACGAAGGAACGACAGAAAACGCGUUCCCUCAUGAAAAUUUUUUUUUGUGGGAUCGAUAAUAAAUAAUAAAAUAUUUUUUUGUGGGACCGAUUAUAAAUAGUAAAAUAAAGAAUAAAAAAUAAAAAAAUGGAUGGUGAAAACGAACGAAAGCGCGACAAAGGGAUAACAGAAAACGCGUUCCUCAUCCAAUUUUUCUUUUGUCGGACCGAUAACAAAUAAUAAAAUAUUCUUUUGUGGGACCGACUAAAAAUAGUAAAAUAAAGAAUGAAAAAAAGGAUAGUGUGCAAUUUUUCUUUUAAUAGAAUUUAGCAAUUCACCAAUCACCAAUCACCACCACUUGUUACCAGAUUCAAUAAAUGUAAAAUCGCACCUGGACAUUUGUAGGGUCAAGCAACAUUAAUCCAGUGUCCGGGUAAAUGCUGAAUAAAGGGGAAAAUGGGAUGUAAAUUUACUAUUAAAACAAAUAAAAUUUAUUAAUAAAAAUAAGGGUUAUAUAUAUUUUUUAAAAUGUUAAGAAGUUUUAUAUCUUUUUUGGAUUAAAUUUUCUAUUUCCUAUUAAGCAAAACCCACGUCAAAAGUGAAAAAGAAAAAUAGAGCCCACAGAACAGAGCCCAUUACAAAUAUAAAAUCGGAGGAGCUCAUGAUCAUGCCUUUUGUUUUACAUACUAAAUUUAAUAAAAGCCAAACCAAAAUCUUGCCUUUACUUAACAUGAUUAAUUAGGCACUGCAUCAGAGAGAACACGAAAGCUAUGAACCAUUUUGUUAAUCUUAAAUGUCAGGAAUAUAAUUAGCUUGGAAUAAAGUUGCAUUCUUCUCCUCUGACCGCAAGAUAUGGACUGGGCCACUCCAAAGAGAUUGGUAAUGCUGUAUCAGUAUAAUUAGCUUGGAAUAAAGUUACAUACAUUCUCCUCCUCUUACUGUCUCUUUAGGUUCAUUUCAAAAGUUUGAAGAGAGUAUCAAUUCUUCUACACUUUAGAAUGUCAAUGUUUUUGCUUUCUUCAAAUGUUGAAUAAAGAGAAAAAAAAAAUGUUGAAUGUAGAAGGAAAAUGGAAUGCAUCCACCUUCGCUUUGGAAGUCUUCUACUUAUAAAAGCAAGCUAAAUUAAAAGAUUUAAAUCUCUCUUUUUAUUACUAUAAGUGCACUGCAUUUUUUUUUUUAAAUAAUCACCUAUACAAAUUUGUAACGUAAUGAAAUAUUCAUAUUCCUGUCGUGUCGAAAUGAGAUAAAAUGAAAUUUUAAAUAACACAAAUUCGACUCAUUUGUUAAAAGUAUAUACUUAAUAAGCUAAUAACAUAAUUAACAUAACGCUAUUAUUAUACUAAAUGAAAUAAAAGACGGUAGCCACCAAUAAUUACACUAGCAAGCUUCGCAUGCUCGUGUUUAAGGAAUUGGACAUUGGUGAAUUAAUCAAGGAUAAGAAACAAUUUCAAAAAACAAAAUGGAUACUAUACAUUUUCUUUUUUUAAUUGCACAGAAAAUGGGACUAAUUUUCAAAUAUUUUCAAAUUCACUUAUUAACAAAAGCUAUACAAAAUAAUUUCCUUUUUAUUUUGAAACAUUAUACGGAAUCAAAUAACAGUGAUUCAAAGAGUGUAAAGUGGUAAUUCUCUGAUUGUAUUUUCUCUCUUUUUUAAAAGGAGAUGGUGGGGUUUGGUUGUUUGCAAAAUUAUUGGUGUGAGGGUCUAUUUGUUUUUGUUUUCACUUUAUUAAUUAAUUACGAAGCAAACAUGUAAUCAUUUGUAAAGGGGUCACUAGCAUUGGGUUGUGUAAGAUGAAUUCGUAAGACUUAUUAAUUUCGAUGAAAAUGUAGCGUUAUUAAGUUGUCAAUUCAUUAACUUGAGGUACUAAUAUUUACUAAUUGUGGUGAUUAAUUUAUUUAACUUUGUCAUAAUUUUCAAUUGAGAAUGAAGUUCAAUCAAUGUAUGAAAAAAAUAAUUUUUUUAGAUUUUUAACUCCUAUGAUUUAAUUUCCAUCUGUUUCGAUUAUUGACGUGUUAAAAGCUUGUAGAAUAUCAUGAAAUGCUUGUAUCUCACCUCACAAAUUGACAAAAAUUGGUUGGUUUCUCCAAAGGCUGCCAUGACGAAUUGAAAGUAAAAACAACCACCAUUGAAAAUUAAUUUUAAAAAUCUUUUUUACUUGAAAAUUUUUAAAAGAAAAAUUAAGCAAAUUAGAUUGCAGAUAUCAAUCUUAAUAUUUUGUUGAUGAAAAUUAAUUAAUUAAUCCCAGUACUUUCUUAAUUUUGUGUUGUGCACCGCAUUGGCCACUUCUGAUUGUGUUGCAUAUUUGUUAAUUCAAAGAAAUAGAUCUUUUGUAUCGAUCAAACUUAUUUUAUUAGUAUUAUUCAUCAUAUGGUUAAUGGCUUAGCCAAUGAAGGAGAAGGGGUCAGCCAAAAUAAAUAAAGUACUUUCUCAUGCAUUAACCUUUAUUAAAAAGCUUUAUUAACUGUUGUAGUUAAAACAAUUUUAAAACAAGUUAAAACAGUUCCAACUCAAAAUCUGUAGGCUGCAAUUGGGUUGUUACACAUAUUUCUAAAUUUCAGUCUAAUUUAAUUGUGUAUGGACAAACUGACUUUAUCACUCCUUUCAUAUUAAUACUCAUAAAUUUCAACCUUUUUUUAUGAUGAUGCACAAUCUAACUUAACAAAAAUAAUGUUCAAAUUGUCAAAAAAUGUUCUUUUCUUAAAAAAGAAAAGAAAAUCAUAUAUAGUAGUUAAUUUUUCUUCCUCUUUACUCCAAGAUCCAACUUCGUACUCCACUUUUUUGUUGUUAUUGUACCCAGCCGUUAGAUUUUAAUUACAUUAAUUUAAUGGUUUGGAUUUGUAAAUGAAUAACGACGUAGUGUUUGGCUACCAUCUGAACCCACUGCAUCUAAUUGGUUUUGUGAUUUUUUGCUUUCUUCUCUGUAACACUUGACUAGUUCUGAAAAUAUCGACCGCCAUCAACAAUAAAUCUGAUCCAUGUAUUAUUUCUUAGUAGUGGGCAAAUUAAUAAAGUUUCCACCACCGUACCAGUAUGUCGAUUUGCGAAUACAUUCAUUCAAAUAUUAAACAUUCAGAGAAGAAAGCAAACCGUGGCAGGAUAGAAUGCUGCGUUCUGUGCUAACUAUAAAUUCUCACAGUGGCACGCAUAUCACAUGACACACAGAGCUCAGACAACACGCUCAACUGCCACAACACUCACCAAAUCUUCACCCAACUCAUGCAUCUCACCUCUCUGUGCUCUCUCUGUUGGCUCUCUCUCUCCCUCUCUCUCCCCCCGUCGCUCACGCAUCUCACCAUGCUCUCUUUUCACCGUCGACUUUCUCUCUCUCUCUCCCCAUGGGUCUUUCCACAGCUGGCGCGGGUCUCCAUCGAGAAUGCUUCGAACUCAUCAAGAGUGGUAGUAAAAGCAACAGUUUCAAUCGAGAACGGCGUCGUCUCGGCUCGGAAGAAGUAAUAACAGUGGUAUUUGGCGGGGGUUUUGGGUACUUUUUGUUCCUGUUUGUCCAUUAAUUAAUUAAUUUGGAAAAAGAACGGUGUAUUUGACAAAUAAAUAAUGGGGAUGGUUGGAUGUAAUUAAGGGGAUGAUGAACAUAAUAAUGGUUUAAGAAGACCAGGAUUUUGUUAACUUUUUUCUAGGUUUCUUGAAGAAUGUAACUUAAAAUAAAUGCAUCAAAUUAAGUAAACAUAAAAUCAUAAUAAUAAUAAUAAUAAUAAUUGGACUCAAUAAUUAUAUGUGAAAUUUACAUAUGUGUCAAGUAGGAGCAUGAUAUCAUCAUUUACACACACACACACCACACACACACACACACAUAUAUAUAUAUAAAUGACAAUUUAUUUAAAAGUCAAAUAAUUGUGACGUUUUAUCAAAUAAGUGACAAAUAUAUAAUAUAUUACAUAUUUAUUGAAUAAUUAUCAUUUACCUUUUCCUUUUAUUGACUUAAGAAAAAAAACAAAAAACUUGCUAUACCGCUUCUGUUUUCGUUCUUAGAACAUAUUAGUUUCUUUUGAGAAAAGUCAAACUCAUUCCCAUUACUUUCUUUUCAAUAAUCACCUCUCAGUUUUUCAUCAGUCACUCAAUUUCGAAUUUCAUCUCCAUUCUCUUUCAAAGAAGAACACACGAAGAAUUUUAGCUUGCUUUACCUGCUUCUCGAAUUUCAGGUAUUGUUUCCUUUAAUUUUGAUUUUUUUUUUUACCUCUCUGUUUCUAGUUUGAUAAUUUAGGGUUAUACUUGAAUUAAUUGUAUUUUUAAUCAUCCUAGGUUGAUUUAAUUGAUUCCAAGUCUCAAUUUCCUGUUCAACAAACAAGGAACGCACGAGUAAUUUUCAUUUUCAUUCUCAAUUUUGAAAGAAUCAAUUUAUUUUAUGUGUUCAAUUUUGUUUAUUUAACUUAGGAUAUCUUUUUCAUUCUCGUCUUCAAGCAGACUAUAGCGUUGCUCCUCUCAUUGAUUAUAUUGAGAACAAUGCUUUCUCCUUAAUUCCACCAAGAACAACGUUGAUGUCAGGUGAUAAUUGAAUGUGUAAUAUUUUCAAUUGAAAUUAAUUGAGUCUCGUAAUAAUAAUAGGGAUUUGAGAUUUACAUCCUGUUGAAAUGAUUUUAGAGUGUUCUGCUAUUUGAAUGGGCAUUAUUUUUUUAUUUUCAAUUAAUUGAGUCUCUUUAAAAGAUUAUUUUUGUUUUUAGCAAACAUCUUAAUGCACUUUGCAAAUUGAAUCCAACAAGGGAAAAUUACAGAACUGCAACAGUUUUCAAAUUGAUUGCAUAUUAGAAGUAAUGUUAAUUUAUGCUGCAACAGUUCAAUGGGCUGGGCACAAGUUUAGGACUUUAGUUGCUCAAUUAAUGAAUCCACCACUCAUCGGACUUGGAACUUAUAUCAACUGAAUCAAUAAAAAUAGUUGACGUAAUCAAUACUGAAAGCUUCAUUUGAUUAAUAAUGAACUACAGACAUUUAUUUAUAACAUCUGCUAGAUUCUGGACAAUCACAAAUAUAUAGUAGCAGAAACUAUGUUAGAGACACUGUAGUUGCUUAAUUAGUGAAAUUGUGAUCUCGUUGCCCCCUUUUUUUGGUUGAUUCUAUAAUUUUAUUAGUUGUUCUUGUGGUUGUAAACAAUAUCAAUUUCUAAUAUUAAUAAAACUGAAUGAAUAAAAUGCGAUACAUUUGCAGGAAAGUUAAUAGUUUAAAUAUGGAUAAAUCUUGGAUGUUGAUGGAUAGAAGGUCUAAAGAAUAUGAGAACACGGUAAAUGAGUUUCUCAAGUUUAAUGUGUUAAUAAUUAUGAAGAACCGGUGUAAUUUAUAUGAUGUAGGAAGCACUUUAGGCAAAAUCAUCUGAAUCUCAAAAUUUCGUGAUAUUGUGCCAAAUAUCCAAAACAGAGCUUCCUACAUUGCUAUAGCAGUUUUUAAAAGUUGAGGACUCCAAAUAUCCAAUAACUGAUCAAUUCUGUUAAGAAAUAUAAAUAUUAAUGGUGAUGACACAUACGCAUUGAAUUCCUUCGUUUUGAGUUUGACUAAAAUAACCUGAAUAGUUUCAAACAAUCCAUCAGCCCAAAGUCCUUGAGAGAUUGAACUCGAGAAUAUAUAUAUCCAACAGGUAAAAUUUCAAAACACCAUUUGCCAAAGUCUGAUGAAGAGAAUACAUAUACACACACGCGCGCUCAUAUGUAUAACCGCACAGCAGAAGGAUAGAUAAAAUAAAUUGAAGUUUCAACAGUUGAACAAUGCAAACUCAUUUUAAAAAAGCAUUCUAUUGUUUAAUUAAAAAUUCGAAAGCCCAUCAUAUACAUGAUAAAGACUCACCGACACCGAACCAUAUUAAUUUAAAAUUGUUUUCAACUGAGAUUUGAAUUUUGAAAUUACAUACACCAACACGCCCGAUUUAAAAAACAAACUAAUAAUAAAAUAUUUAAGUUGUCUAUGUUCAGUCAUCAAAAACCAAUUUACGAUUUAUUUCAACACAAACACACCCGAUCUAUAAAAAAAAUCAAAAUAAUAAUAAAAUAUUUCAGUCGUCCUCUGUUGAGUCGUCAUCAAAAACCCAUUUACGAUCUAUUUCAACAAGAGGUAUAUGGGUUAACAAGUCCCAAUAUUGUCCUCCAUCCUUUCUGUACUUCUCUGCUAUUAACGGACAUCUAUGGAUGUAUAAACGCAAAAGUGAGGAAGGCAGGCCGUUCUCUGGAAAGUAUUUAAGCCUGGGACAAUUAUAGAGUUCCAAUGAAGUGAGGUUUUGAAGAUCAACAAUUGAAGAAGAUAGCCGUUCCAGAUUUGGAAAAUCUUCAAUCUGCAGAGAUGUUAGAGAGAGGCAGGAAGAGGAAGCGUGGUCCCCCAUCUUAUGUCCUCUGGUGGAAAUGACACCAUGUUGUCAUCACAUCCUGUGAUUCUAAGUUCACGCAGAGAGGAGAAGCUGUGAAAUCCCCGGCCCCACUCAAUCAUUGACUUCCAAAUCUUCGUAUUACCAUUAAUCUCCAGUGAAUGAAGGUUGGGAGGAAGGCCAUGUUCUUUGACGCUUGGAUGCUCACCUCCUAUAAUUAAUUGUCGAAGAGAGUUCAGAUUGUGCAAUCCCUUAGGUAAUGCCUCUAGUCUCCCACACUCAUACAUCAUGAGCUCAGUCAGUUUCGUACAAGGCAAUCCCCCUUCGGGAAACGACACCAGAUUUCCACACCCCUAAAAUCUAAUCUCUCGAAGCUGGCGGAGAUUAUGUAAACCACUCGGUAAAUUUUUCAGAUUUUUACAACUAAUGAUAGUGAUUGUUUCAAGAGAUGUGUUGUUGUCCAACCUUUCUGCUAUUGACUCCAGCUUGGAACAUCCCCAAACAAAAAGUGACUUAAGAGACGGAGGUAGAUUGCCAACUUCAAGGGACUCAAGCGUGGCAGGUAACUCGUUUUUUGAAAAUAUACAUGUCAGAGACGGACAACUCUCAAUGUGUAAGUGCUCAAGAAGAGAUGAGGUGUACCUUCUGCUGCUGCUACUCUGGAUGCCCUCUUCCACUGUCAAAGUCCUUACAUUAUCGCAAUUCCGGAUGACCAAGUUCUUAAGGCUCGGUGGUAGCUGGACUUCAGCAAUAUAUGUCAACGAAUGACAACGCGAAAUCGUCAAGAUCUCGAGAGAUAAAUUGGCGUCGCACAUCCAUGCCUCCGGUAACGAUUUCAGUGCAUCACAACGGUGAAUUGAAAUGCUCCUCACCUUGGAAGGCAGAGCAACCUCAGGGAAGGAAACAAAGGAACUGCAGUUGUAGAUUUCUAUCUCUCUCAAGGAGCUGAGGCUGAGCAAUGAUUGUGGCAGCUUCACAAGGCCUUUGCAAUCAUUUAAUAGCAGAUAUUCAAGUCUGCAUGACAACUCGCAGAGCUGUUGCUGGUCUUUUUCUUCCUCCGCCACCAAGGAUUGAAGUGUGGGACACCAUCCAAUCGUCAGCCUUUUGAGAGAGCUAAUGUCUUGCAGAAAUCCGUUAUGACUCUUCCAUAUAUAUGUUUCAUUUUUAAUAUUGCUUAUCUCCAAUUCUUCCAAUUUUGGUAGUCGCGGCUUCAAUGGCCCUGCAAGCAACACUUGAUUUAAUGUAUCGCUACAAACCACUGAAUUCUGUGACUCGAGAUGAUCAGUUUCACUUCUCCACACAACCUUUUUACAUCCACCAAUCUCUAAUUUGCAAAGAGCUGGAAGACUCGUAAUUGAAACUAACAAUUCUUCACAUCCUCCAAUAACAAGCAUCUCCAAUGCAGGAAGGUGUUCUGGAAAUGUUCCUUUCAGUUUAGAACAUCCUAUAACUUCAAGCUCUCUCAAUUUAGGAAAUCCUUCAACUCCCUGAGUAGAUCCAUGAGGAAUCCAGUCUUCCCAUUCUAGCAGGUUUUCAAAACGAAGAGUCUCCAAGCAUGGAAAAGGAAUUGGAGUAUCAUUCCCAUAGAACUCCGAACCCAAUCUCCUUACUCUGCUCAUUCUACGUACUGCAAGAUGCUUUAGAGAGGGUAGUUGCCCGACCGACGGCAGUGUGGUACACAUGCCACAAUCUUCAAAUUUAAGUGUUACUAAAUUUGAGAAUGAGGAAUCUCCUAACCAUAUUGGAAAUUUUGUACCUCCAUAGCCACUGAUAAAAAAUUGCUCCAGAUUUUUAUGGGGUUUCAGCAUGUCAAGCACGCCCUUUUGAGUUUCUGCCUCCCUUAAAGAUGAACCAUCGGUACUGUUUGUCCACCGAAGCAUUAACACUUUAAGGUUCUUCUUUCCAUCCAAUUGAGCCUCCUUGGCAUCACCAACGUAUUUUACGUUCUCCAAUUUUGAAACGGUAAGUGUCCCACGAAGAUGCGUCAACAACUUUAGCUCUCGCAACCGGGAACCACUGUCUUUUCCUACAACAAAAUUACACAAUGUCUGAAGACAAGUCAACUUGCCAAUUCCUAGUGGCAUUUCCUCCAACGAAUCUGUAUUUGAAUUAUUGAGAUGAUGCAAUUUGAUGAGAUUUCCCAUGCCUGCACACAACUUCCUCAGUCCCCGACAACCCUCCAACGAAAGGGUGUGCAAAUUGUAAAGCUUGUUGACUGAUUCAGGCAGAGUUCUAAUCUGAGUUCCAGAUAGGUUGAGGUACCUUAAAUACCUCAAAUCACCAAUUGAAUCUGGCAGCUCGGAGAUCCAAUAUCCACACAAAGAGAAGACCCUCAGGCGUUGAAGUUUGAACAACUUAGGAAGAAUGCUAUGAGCCAAGAAUCCUUGCGAACUAUUUGACAGACAUACUGGUAGAAAAGUUCGCAAAUGCUGGAUAUUGUACAAGUCUUCAAACCUUUUAACGCCAUCAUAUUUUCCACAGAUGCAUGAUAGAUGACGAAGAUUUUUGGAAAAACUUUGUUGUUUGUUAACCUCUGAAGUAUAAUCCAUUGUGAAGUAAAUUUCCCCCGCAGCCCAAUGGGCAAGGUCAUUGAUAAGAUCGUGCAUCACAAAUAGUGAUUUAUUGUUGCUUGAUUGCUGGAAAAAGGAUCUUGCACGUAGCUCUUGAAAGAACUUUCGACCUAGAUCUUCACAUGGAUUCUCGCUCUUCCGAUGAUCCAAGAAACCCACAGCACUCCACAAUAAAAUUAUCUCCUCCUCUUCAAAUUCAUAAUCAUUUGGAAACAAUGAGCAGUAUGCAAAGCACUGUUUCAAAGGUGCCGAGAGAUAAUUGUAGCUCACUCUAAGCGCCGGUAUAAUGUCACAUCUCUCUUCUGGUAAAUCCCAUAUGUUGCAACUGAGCACACCUUCCCAAUCACUUCGGUCACAUUUACCACGUAAGAGUCCACCAAGGGUUUUCGCAGCUAAGGGCAGGCCGUCGCAUUUGAUCACUAUCUUCUUGCCAAUUUCCUCCAAUGGCUUAUUUGAACUGAAAUCUCUUGUCCCCAAAGAGUGGUGAGCGAACACGGACAAACAAUCAUCAAUUGACAACUUUUUUAAUUGAUAAGCUGAAGCAGUCCCCAUUAUGGCUGCAACCUCUUGAUUGCGAGUUGUGACAAUAAUCUUACUUCCCGGUGCGCCAGCUUCAAACGGACGGCUCAUGUCAACCCAAUCAUUGUAACUCUCAUUCCAAACGUCAUCUAAAACAAGCAAAAAUUUCUUUCGAGACAACUGCAUCUUUAGCUCCUCUUGAAGCAAAUUUAAAUCACUAUUAUCAACAGUCUGCUUAGUAAUGGAGCUUAGAAUUGUUCUUGUUAGCCUGAUAACAUCAAAAUCAUCAGAGACACAAGUCCAUGCCUUGAGAUCAAAAUGACCCUGCACUCGAUCUUCAUUAUAGACAAGCUGAGCAAGAGUGGUUUUGCCCAGCCCGCCCAUACCUAUAAUAGGAAUAACUGAGAAUUCGCCAUCAUUUCUUAAAUCAUCCCUCAACAACAAUUCAACGAUUUCCUUUUUUUCUGUUUCCCUACCAUAUACCUUUGCUCCGUUCACCAAAGAGGUUGUGGGUAGUCUUUGCCUGACUUUUUUGGAUCUCCCCGCUGAACUUUCUUUCAAACCCAACGAGUCUUUCUGUGUUGCAACAUCUUGAAAUCUGUCGUUGAUCUCUUUGAUUUUGGACAUCAUGGUGUAAUCGAACUGAAUCGAUUGUGGAGUAAAAGUGGUGCAGCAAGUAGGAAUGAGCUUCCGAAUUCUGGUAUGACUGCUACUAGGUUGAUCAUGAGCCGCAACUGGUUCUCCAUUUCCAAGCAGCAACCUCCUCCGGAACGCCUCAGUUUGAAACUCAUCCAACAAGUCUUCAACAUCAUAAGCCAAGUUCUGAAGCUCGCCAAGCCACAACUUCACAGACUGAUCAGUCUUCUUCUCCUCAGCAUCAUCAAGCACCGCCUUGAUCAUCACCAACAUAUUCUUCCACUUCUUUAGGUCGGCCUGGAUUUGCUCUUGGCGUCCGAACAACCGAAUCCCCUCUGAAGCUAACUUAUUGACCAGCAAAUCAACGGACGCCGUAAGGAUUGCCUCUCCGAUGAUUGACAUUUUUUUCUUUUUUAACGCACAGAAAGAAACAGAAUUUUGAGUUUCAAAGAGCAAAAUGAGAAAAUUGAGCAGUAAGUGUGAAGGGUCAAGCAAAUUGCACGCAACAAGUCUUCCACUUGUUGUUUACUCUAGUAAAGUGCAAAUAGAAACGGAGCCCACCACCCAUUAAAAAUUUAGCGAUUCACCAAUCACCAGUCACCACCACUUGUUACCAGAUUAAAUGAAUGUAAAAUCGCACCUCGACAUUUGUAGGGUCAAGCAACAUUAAUCCAAUUGUCCGGGUAAAUGCUGAAUAAAGUGGACAAUUGGAUGUAUCUACUACGAACCUUCCCUUUACAAAUCUUCAAACUCAUAAACCAUGUUAAAAUGAAAAACGUUUCUCUCUUUCUCUCUCCCUUUCUGCCGUAAAAUUACUUUAUGGAUUGAAUUAAUUUCCAUGCUAAAACGAAGACUUAAAAGUACGAUACAAUUUUUUAUAAUAAUCCCAAUGGAAUUUCUACCGUCACGUUACAUUACUGUAGUGUCAAAAUAAAUUAUAAUAAAAUUUUAGCUGAACAUAAAUUCGACUCAUUUAUUAAAUAUAUAUACUUAAUAAAAUAACAACGAUAUUUUAUUACCUGGCUUCUCCCCAAAAAGAUAAUUUUCAAAAUUGUUCAUGGAGAAGUCUAUGUUGCAGAUUCUGUAACAUACGCACCCAAUGCAUGCACCACACUUGUUCUGUGCAUGGAGAAAAAGCAUGCAAAUGCUUUUGUUAGGUAGCUGGCUUAAAGCAGAAUCAGUAAGUUACAGAGUCUGUAACUUAGCCUGCUCCAUGUGAAAACAAAAAAAGUCCUGCCACCAAUAAUUCAGAAAGCUUCACUUUAUUACACGAAGGUGAAAGCAAAAAGCCAAAAACAGCCCCCACCACCAUCAAUAAUUUAGCAAGCUUCACAUGCUAGCGCCUGUCUACCUGACGAACUGCACACAGCACAUGGGUGGACCAAGCAUCAUUGAAUAGUUGUAAAAAAUAAAAAAUAAAAAAUAAAAAUCAGUGUCCCGCAAAAAGAAUCCAUCUUUAUGUGUUGAUAUGCACAUCUACCGAACAUCCAAAAAAUGGAAGUAGAAAUUGAAACUUACUUUUUUAGUUAUGGCUCAUAUAUAAUACAAGUAUCAAGAUUUAAGUAGAGUUCACAUAUACACAUGCGUCUACAAAAUUUUUAGGAAGUGAUAACUAAUAUGUUGGGAUAUAUAUUUGUGGGAAAUGACAAAUAUAGAGAAUAGCAGUAAAAAUGUUGGAAGUUUAAUAUAAUGAAAAAAGGUAAAUUGCAAAAAAUUAAUAUGUAAUUUAAAGCACAUUACAAAUUGAGUAAUGUACAUGGGUUAAGCAAAUAUACCUCAAUGAUACAAUGAGACACUUAUUUGUUUGUUUGCUUUGUGCAUCGACAAAAAUAAAUUAGAAUACUCUUUAAUGUUGCAAAAACAAUAUAUUGGAUAUUUGAUGCAUAAAAAAGAAAGUUAUUUGAUGAAAUUCAUUCUAGGAAAUAGAGCUAAGAAAAGAGCGGUGUAGGAUUAUCUUAUUCAUAUUUAAAAUUCUAAAUAUAUUGAUUUACUUAUCAUAGUGAUAUAAUAGUAAUUGUAAAUUAAAAAUAAAUUUAAUAUUAAAACAAAUAGAAUUUACUAAUAAAAAUAAAGUUAUAUAUCUUUUUUCGAAAUAUUUAAGAAUUUUAUGUCCUUUUUUUUUUCAAAACGUUUGGAGUGAAUUUCCAUUUCCCAUUAAGCAAAACCCACCGCAAAAGUGAAAAGAAAAAACAGAGCCCACUACAAAUCUAAAUCAGAGGAGCUCAUGAUCGUGCCUUUGCUUCACACACUAAAUUAAAUAAAAGCCGAACCAAGAAUUGCCUUUGCUUAACAUGAUUAAUUAGGCACUACAUCAAAGAGAACACGAAACCAAUGGACCCUUUUGUUAAUCUUAAAUGUCAGGAAUAUGAUUAGCUUGGAAUAAAGUUACAUACUUUCUCCUCCUCUUACUGUCUCUUUAUGUUCAUUUCAAAAGUUUGAAGAGAGUAUCAAUUCUUCUACACUUUAGAAUGUCAAUGUUCUUGCUUUCUUCAAAUGUUGAAUAAAGAGAAAAAAAAAUGUUGAAUGUAGAAGGAAAAUGGAAUGCAUCCACCUUCGCUUUGGAAGUCUUCUACUUAUAAAAGCAAGCUAAAUUAAAAGAUUUAAAUCUCUCUUUUUAUUACUAUAAGUGCACUGCAUUUUUUUUUUUAAAUAAUCACCUAUACAAAUUUGUAAUGUAAUGAAAUAUUCAUAUUCCUGUCGUGUCGAAAUGAGAUAAAAUGAAAUUUCAAAUAACACAAAUUCGACUCAUUUGUUAAAGGUAUAUACUUAAUAAGCUAAUAACAUAAUUAACAUAACGCUAUUAUUACACUAAAUGAAAUAAAAGACGGUAGCCACUAAAUGAAAUUUUGUUGUUAUUGUACGUUGAUUUAAUGGUUUGAUUUUCCACUAAAUGAAAUAAAGCCGUUAGAUUUUAAUUACGUUGAUUUAAUGGUUUGGAUUUAUAAAUGAAUAACGACGUGGUGUUUGGCUACCAUCUGAACCCACUGCAUCUAAUUGGUUUUGUGAUUUUUUGCUUUCUUCUUUGUAACGCUUGACUAUUUCUGGAAAUAUCGACCGCCAUCGACAGCAAAUCUGAACCAUGCAUUAUUUCUUAGUACUAAGAAAUAAAGUUUCCACCACCGUACCAGUAUGUCGAUUUGCGAAUACAUUCAUUCAAAUAUUAAACGUUCAGAGAAGAAAGCAAACCGUGGCAGGAUAGCAAAAACUGCGAAUGGUCAUUCCCAACACAAACCCCUAUGGCUGUUUUCCUUUUAAUUUUCUUCUUUGAAUUCUCCUUUUAUUAAUCAUUAGAAAACUCCCUUUUUUUUUUUUAAAUCAUGUGUUAUUAACAUUUACAUGGUUAAUGUCAUCGAAAUCAAAUGGUUGUUAUCUACGAAAAGAGAAUUGCUAGAAAUUUUGUUAGUCCCAUUGCAACAAUAUAUUGUUAUAAAUUGCAUUGUGUCCCAUAUAACAAAUAUAAUAAAAUCUCAAUAAAUUAAUAGUUUUGGGAACCAUAAAAAAAUUUAUUAAAAUUUAACAAAUAUCAAUUAAUCAGUAAAUUGAUAAAUUAUUAAUUUAUGAAAAUAUUCAUUAUUUUGAAAAAACAUGAUCACGUUUUUAAUAUUGAUUUACCCUGAGUUAAUAUCUAUUAUGUUUUAUUUGUCUAUUAGUUUUAUCUUGGGAAGAUUUUUUAAGAGUUAGCUGCUUUAUAUUAAGUUAUUAACAGUAAUAAAAUUAUUAGUUGAUACAGGCGAAUUUUCUGACCAAAAUCGUACAAAGAAGUUGAAAGUGUUUAUUUUUGUUAUUUCAAGACAUUCUAACAAACUAUAAGGGGUCACAAAAAGGUUGAUACGACGUAAAAUGUGGCAAGUCUUCCCACUUGUUAACAGUAAUAAAACUACUUCUUGUUCUUUUUGUCCUCAAGGGUCAAGCAAAAUACGACGUAAAAUGUGGCAAGUCUUCCCACUUGUUGUUCUUUGCAGCUAAGAAAAGAAAAACAAAUCCCGCAAUGGAGUCCCCUUAAGUGGCUUGCCUGGGUUUGCUCCCCAGUUCGAGUCGCAAGGAAGUCGCCUUUGUUGGGAGAACCUGUGUCCUCCAGUUCGAGCGGGGACUUCUAGUCUGAGUUGUGGUACGGGCUUAAAGGCGUCUCCCACAGUUGGGCCCUCCCCAGGAUACCUCGUGGUUAAGAAAAAAAAAAAAACAAGAAAAAAAGAGCCCGCCACCCAUUAAUAAUUUAGCAAUUCACCAAUCACCACAAAAUUCCAUUAGAUAUUCGUCGAUCAAGUAGUUAAUCCAGUGUCUGUUACGUAGAGCCUUCACUUUACAAAUCUUCAACUCAUAAACCAAGUUAAAUCAAGACGUUUCUCUGUAUAUAUAUAUAUAUAUAUAUAUAUAUUUUUUUUUUUUAACUCCUAAAACGUUUCUUUUUAGAAAUAUUUUACUUUAUUCAUCUAAUAUGUUAUCUAACAAAUAGACACAGAUGAAAUCACUCUAAAGUGAAGAUGAAAGGGGAAAAAAAAACAUUCCAACCACCAAUAAUUUAGCAAGCUUCACUUUUAUUCCACCAAAGUGUAAACAAAGCCAGCCCCCACCACCAUCGAUAAUUUUGCAAGCUUCACACGCUUGUUGUCUUCUCCUUGACGAACUGGACGUGGGUGGACCAAGAAUCAGUGAAAGAAUUUUAAAAAUAAUAAUAAUAAAAGAAAAACCUAAACAUUUUCGACUUAGAGUAGAACCGUAAUUAAUGCUAAAAUUUACUCCGCUAACGUUUUCAAAAUAUUGUUCUUUAUCAUUGUACAGCAAAUAAGACUAAGUUUUGGACAUUUUCAUUAUUCACUUACUUUCAAAAGUAGUAUUUCAAAACAUUUUACAUAAUCAAGUUACAGUUAUAUAACGAGAAAAGUGCAAAGUUGUGUAAUUCUAAUGUUUUUUUUAUCACAGACACUCAGAUCAUUUUUUAUUUGGGUCGCCAACUCGCCAAUGAACCCAUGAUUGAAUGAGUGUUUAGAAAGAAAAUCAAUAAAAAACAGUUUAUUUUUUGUCGUCGAAAUAUAGUAAGUGAGAAAGAAUAUUCUUUUUUUUUUUUGUUAGUAUUUAUGAUUGAGUGACUCAGAACUAUAUUUUAGAUUGAGAAUCAAUGGUUCUCCCACACUGAGAGGCUGUAAGUUUAAGAUUGUCGUUUGCUAUUUCAUCGACAAGAGAACACUUGAAUUUUAUUAAAAGGAGAAGGCCAUAAAGGUUUUCCUUUAUGAGAAAUGUAUCUGAUCAUUCAUUUUUACUUGAAAAUUUCAUAUAUAAAAACUCAUUAAUAAAUGACAGAAUAUGUUGAAAAGUCAUGCAUGUGGCAUCCAAAUUCAAGAAAGCAUGCAAAUUUCAAAGUGCUACCAAACAAUUGAAGAAAAAAAUGAAAAGUUGGCAAAUUUUGCAAAUUUGCCAAAUGGACACCAUUGACAAUUUGCUUAAGUUAGGUGGAAUAGUAGAGGGGUUGGUGCACUUCUUCCAUUUUAAUCAUCUCAAAAUUGUUAAGCUUAUAAGUUUCUAAGCUUUUGAGAGAAGUGAGAGAAGUGUGUAUGGGGAAUUUAUCUUUCCUGCAGAGUGUGAGAGUAUUGGGUAUAUUUGGGUUUCUGGGAAGUGAGAUUCGUUACUCAAAUAUUGUACUCUAUUAAUUGUUAAAUAAACAAUUAUUCUUUCUUGCCUCCGUGGAUGUAGGUUUAAUUACCGAACCAUGUAAUUCUUGUGUCCUUUAUUUUUCUAUAAUUAUUUGGUGCGCUUGAUUUCGCAUUCCGCGCACAACAAAAUAUACAUAAAUUAUUAAUUCAUUUGAUAGUUGAUUAUCGAAGGACAUGUGACCCAUGGGAGCAUGCAGUCUAUAAAAUAAUUCUUUUUUUAUUAAACAAAAAAUUGGUGAUGUUGAAAAGCAAUAUUAUUAUUAUUCUAAUUGGGGUGAACAUUCAUAAAAAGAAUGCCGUAUGAAACUAAAUUAUUAAUUCGUUUGAUAGUUGGUUAUCGAAUGACAUGUGACCCACAAUAAAUAGUUAAAUUUGGCGGCAACAAUAAUUACAAGACGAACUUAAAGCAGCGCAUAGUUUUUUCUUAAAAAUACAUAAACAAUUCGAUAUUUGAAAUUCUAAUAUCUCAAUAAUAUUGAUCAUGAUUCAGUUACCAAUUAGAUCCACUUACAAUUUCUUUUUUUCUUUUUUCUGGUUUCCAAUCUUUACCAAAAGAAAAUAUUUAGUGAUCCCUUUUAUCAACUUGGUUUUAUUGACUUUCUUCCAAUCAUAGAAGUGUUACCAGAUUCUGUAAAGACAAGAUCAGUGCCCAGCAAAAGAAGCUAUGUUUUCGUUUAUAUGCUGCUUCCUAUUUAGUACAUGCAUAUAAAGAUAUACACGUGCACAUGCAGCACAUCUAUCUAAAAUUUAAAAAACGGAAUUAGAAAUACAGGAUUUAUGGUAGAAAUACAACAGGAAUAAGAGUGAAAUUCCAAUUUUAAAAUUUGGGAGAAAUGAAAUGCGAUAUUUUUUUUAUUAAUAAAAUAAUUUAAUUUUUUUUAAUUCUACCAGCAAAAACCAUUAACUUAUCAAGUUAUUGGUUUCAUUCACAGUUGACAGUCGGUUUCUUAGUUUCAUUCCUUAAUUCUACAAGAAAAAAACAGAAUACUUGACAUUUUUUAUUUGACAGUUUUUAAGAAAUGUCAAACAUAUAUGACAUUUUGUGAAAAACUGAGUAAUUGUGAAAUAUAAAUGACAAUUUAUUUAAACGUCAAAUAAUUGUGACGUUUUAUCAAAUAAAUGAUAAAUAUAUUACAUAUUUAUUGAAUAAUUAUCAUUUACCUUUUCCUUUUAUUGACUUGAGAAAAAAAACAAAAACAUUGACUAUACUGCUUUUGUUUUCGUUCUUAGAACAGAUUUUAGUUUCUUUUGAGAAAAUUCAAACUCAUUCCCAUUACUUUCUUUUCAAUAAUCACCUCUCAGUUUUUCAUCAAUCACUCAAUUCCGAAUUUCAUCUCCAUUCUCUUUCGAAGAAGAACGCACAAAGAAUUUUAGCUUGCUUUCGCUGCUUCUCGAAUAUUGGGUAUUGUUUCCUUUAAUUUAGAUAAUUUUUUUUUUUAUAUCUCCCUUUCUAGUUUGAUAAUUUAGGGUUAUACUUGAAUUAAUUGUAUUUUUAAUCAACCAAGGUUGAUUUAAUUGAUUCCAAGUCUCAAUUUCCUGUCCAACAAACAAGGAACGCACAAAUAAUUUUCAUUUUCAUACUCCAUUUUGAAAGAAUCAAUUUAUUUUAUCUUUGGUUAGUACACUUCUGUUCAAUUUUUGUUUAUUUAACUUAAGAUAUCUUUUUCUUUCUUUUCUUCAAGCAGAUUAUAGAUUAUAUUGAGAACAGAGCUUUCUCCUUAAUUCCGCCAAGAGCAACGUUGAUUUCAGGUGAUAAUUGAAUGUGUAAUAUUUUCAAUUGAAAUUAAUUGAGAUUUACAUCCUGUUGAAAUGAUUUUAGAGUGUUCUGCUAUUUGAAUGCGCAUUAAUUGUUCCUCUGUUUCAAAUCCAAAUCCACUGGUCUACUAUUCAUUAUGACAAUGCAUAUGCCGAUAUUGUCUUCCAUCCUUUUUGUACCUUUCAAUUAGUGAGGUUUAGACAGGGGUUCCAGAUUUGGUAAAUCAACAAUCACCAGAUAUGUAGAGCGGCCGGAAGAGGAAGCAUGGUUCCUAAUCCUAAUCUUGAUUUAGAGCAGAUUAGGUAACAUGUGGCAUUCUACAUUCUUGCAAUGCCAUUUCUUGUUAUGGCAGCAGCAUUCUUGGUCAUGGCAUCACAAGCAAAUGCUUUGAUUUGAAGACUUGCUUGGCUAUGAAAAAUAAGGAGAGCAAAGGUAAUCAAUCUUGGUCUGAUCAACAUUUUUAUGGGGGUACUAAGAAAAAUAAAGAUAAUAUAAAGAAUGUUGUUGAGGAGUAUUUUCAUAUUUACACAAGUGUUCAAAGUAAAAAUUGAUUUCUUAAAACCCAUUAGCUAGCGCACAUAAUAAUGGGGAGAAAAUUUUAGACUACGAAUGGUCCCACCCAUUUAAUAAUAUUCUUCAAUCAAUUAUGUUUACUUCAAAAAAACAAACCCAUCUCUUUAUUACUUUCUAACUAUUCAUAUUAAUGUGUUAAUAAUUAUGAAGAACCGGUGUAAUUUAUAUGAUGUAGGAAGCACUUUAGGCAAAAUCAUUUGAAUCUAAAAAUUUCAUGAUAUUGUACCAAAUAUCCAAAACAGAGCUUCCUACAUUUCAUUGCGCUAGCUAAUUUCUUGUACCAAAAUUAGGAAUCAUUGAAGAGUGGAGUUACGUGACUGAAUAGUAUCAUAUCACAGAAACUCAAAACUCAAAAGUGCAAUAACAUUGAACAUUCAGCUGGCUAGCUUAUAUUAAUUAAUUAAUACUACUACUAGUUCUUUAUGAUUAAUUAAAAGAUAAAAUAUUUGACAAUCACAAAACAUUAUUCCAUCACUCAAGAGUAGAGCUUCCUACAUUGUUACCCAGCUCUUUUAUAUCUCCCAAACAUUAUUAGAGUCCCACAUUUGUGGCACAUCAUUAAGUAAAAUGUGCCAAUUAGGAAGAGCUGGCUUCUUUGUUUUGUUUUCUUGGAUGUGCUGCAAUUUUCAAGUAUCAUUCAAAAUUUUACGCCAUCAACACGGGAAAAUUAUAUAUAUUCUGUCAGCACUUGCAUAUGUUGCAAGUGCUGACAGAACUUUUCAUUUGAUUUGAUAAUUGGCUAAGGGUGAUUUCGAUAACGUUUCCAAAGAAGAUAUAGAACAUAGAUCAAAAAGAAAAAUAAGUAAUUUGAUCAGUAGAUGCAAAAAAUGAGCGAGCUUCGUAGUCUGACUAACAGGACAUGGCUUGGAGCAGGGAUCAAUGGACAAGUUUGAGGUUUAUGAAAUAUUGGGAAAACAGACAAAUAAUAAAGCCACUACAAGUUAAGCAGAUCAAAUAAACAGAACAGAGGAAAUAAGUGAUCAAUUUAUUACUUUGUGCAAUGGCCACAGCAACAGCGAAAAUAUGUCUACAUGACUACAUUAUCCGACUGGCAUGGUACUAUAACCGUGCAGCAUUACACUAACAUUUCCUUAUCAAUCAAUUUUGAUGGUAUGAUAUUAAAAACAUCGAUUUCAUAAUUUUAUGUAAUUCAAAGAAAAGAUAUAAUUGAUUUUAGUUAGUUUAACAUAUAAGGAAAGAGUAAUGGGGAAUGAUGUCGAUGUGGCACGUGAUGAGUAAAGAUAGACAACAAAUAUUGAUCAUGUAAUAAUGAAAUAUGUAUUUAUUGAAAAUAAAUUGACAAUUAAAAUUAAUAGAUAUAUAUCCAAUGCACCGAGUUUAUUUUAUCACUUCGCUAACCAUUUUGUAACUACAUGUUAAUUAGAAGUUGAAUUAAUUUUGACCAAAGACUCUAGAGAAUGUUGAAAAGAGAUUUGAUUUUUGUCUUUAAAAAUAUUAGAAAUGAAAUAAGUCAAAAUCAAUCACAAGAACAACAAUAAGAGCAUAUUUUGUAAAACCACAAAUACAUAUUAUAAAUUUAGUUUCGAAUUAGAUCAUUAUUAAUUUGUAUUGUAAGAGAGUCUUAUAGAAAAAUAUGAAUUUUUUAAAAGGAGAUUUGCUUAAGGAACAACUUUAGUUUGGUUUAAUUUGUGAAGGCUCAAGUAAUUGAAAGCAACGCAAUGGAAGGAAAUACAAGUUUGAUUUUGACAAAGUAAUCACUAAAAUAUUUGACAAGUUUGAGAUGUUAAAAAACUGGAAAAAUAGACAAAUAAAGAAAACCCUACAAGUUGGCAAAGCAAAUAAACAGAGGAAAACAGAGCAAAUAUUUACCGUUAUGCAUAUAUAUUUUUUAAAUUUCCGAAAAAGAAUGUUGCGAUAUUUUUUCCCAAAAAGAAGCACAGUUUGGCAUAUGUUGUGCUUUAUUUUAUUUUAUUUUAUUUUAUUGAAGUUACUUUGUAAACUGCUCCAGCAAUUUGUAUUUCCUUUCGGUGAGGUUGGUUUUUUUCUUUAAAUAAAAUUUCAGGGAUGAGAAUGCAAGUUUAGAAAGUACUGCAGCAACAAAGUGCAUUCAUAGCCAUAGCCGGUUACACUAUGUCUAGCUACAAUGCAAGUUUCACUUUUACUUAAUUAAAUAUACAAAAUUAAAUCACUUGAGCCUCUCGUUUCAUUAUACUUCAACUCAAAAUUAAAACGCAGAAUUGAUGGUAUUGGAGUUUCAUAUUUAAUUGUGCUGUAGUCAUGGGGAAUCAUAUGGCCAUCCAUUUUGACGUCUGUUUUAUGGCCAUCCCCACUAAGUAGCUUGGUCAUAUACAAUAUGUGUGUGCGUGUAUGUAUGUGUAUAUUGGGAUGUCAAAGGCCCUAAAAGAUAAAGCUGAACAUCAAUCCCAAAUCUAAAGUGAAAAACAGUAGCUGGAACAGAAUCUUUGUUUUGAUGUCUAAGCUCAAACAAUUGAUAGUAUAGAAAAUGCAUGAUAGAAUAGAGAACCCAUAUUUUAGCAAUAAUCCUAAGCUCACUGGCCCUUAGUUCAGAGUGGCAGUUCUUAUUCGUCAAAGAAUCAAAUUUACUUUUAGUUGUAUACAAGUAGAGCACUAGAUCAACAAAUAAUUGAAGACUUGCUUGGCUGUGGAACCAUAGGAAGGCAAUUCGUGAACAGCCUUGAUAUUUCAUUUGGUUUUAUCUAAUUCUUUGUAAAGUUGUCUUGUGUAUAAAAUUUUUGUUACAUGAAAUCGGUAGGUGAAGAGAAUUUUUAAAAGCAAACGUCAAAGUCACGAUCAAAGGGACGAAAUCAGUAUAAAUAUUGAUUGUCUCAAGUUAGAUUAUACAAAGAUGAAAUAAUGCUAAUCUAAAAAUUCGAUGAUUAUAAUUUGAUUUCCAUUAUAUUAAUUAUAUUCAAUCAUACUAUUUAAAUGAAGAACACUCCAGCAUUUAUAUACACUCAGCUUAUGAAAUUAAUUACAAAAUGAUAUUUGACAAAGUAUGAUGAAAAAGGUACAAAGUUAGACUUCCCGAUCAUGCAACCACCCAUCGAAUUGUGUAUUGUGUCAUCGUUGAGCUCUUAGAAGGAUUCAGCUGCUGAGGAGAAGAUAUAAUCGGUUUUUGUGUGAGAAGCUAUGUACUAUGCUUUUAUGGUGUUUCUCUUGGUAGUUGUCGGACAAACUGUAAUGUGAAUUUCUAUCUAAUGGGUAUCCUUUUAGUUAGUUUGGGAUUGUUGAUUUAUAUAUGAUGUUUGGUAUCUAAAAUUCAGAUGAUGAUAAUCUUGGCAGUACUUUUGUCAAAUUUUCUUGUGUUGUUGUUGGUUUAAUAAAAUAUCACAAAGGUGCAAAAUACAGUAAAAUUAACAUUAGAUAUAUUGAAAAAGAAAUUGACACAAGAAACUGAAAAUUAGUUGUUAAUUAUGAUGGGAAUAUAAUCUUGGUAUUUCAAUUAUAUCAUUUGCACUAAUCUCAUUGUGUCUAUCACUGAAAAGCAGAGUGGCUUGAUUAAAUAGUGUCAUAUUACGUCACAGCAAUCACAGAAACUUACCCAAAAGUGCAUGAGCAUUGAACAUUCAGCUAAUUUAUACUAAUUAAUUAAUAAUACUAACAAGAGAAGUUGGAUCUCGUCUUCUCUUGGAUAUAUCCGAUGACUUUGAGCUCUCCAGCCUCGCAACCGGAAAUGUUCUUCCUUCACAUUCGGUGAUUGUUUUUCAUUAUUGCGGCUACUUGACUCAAAUAUGCUAUUGCAAGAGGAGAUUUCUAUUUUGUCUGAUUUAAGCCAUAAGACGGGUUUCAAGGUUCAUUCUGAUUGUUUAUCUGUUAGCUUUUUUUGUUUUAAGAACUUCUUAUUUACGGAAGCAAAAUUCUCCUUUCCAGGAUGAUCUAGAUUUAGAAGUUGCUUUUGUCAUAUCAGACGAAGAGGCCAUCUUUAAGGCCUUGUCUAAGAUUGUUGAAUUUAGUAGAAGGGACUACUGCUCUGAUUGGUCAAAACUACUAUGGCUGUCUUUUUCAUGAGCUUCUAAUAUCGAAUCAGUUUUAAUGGUAUGAUAUUAAAAACAUCGAUUUCAUAAUUUUAUGUAAUUUCAUAGAAAAGAUAUAAUUGAUUUGAGUUAGUUUAACGUAUAAAGAAAGAGAGAUGGGGAAUAAUGUCGAUUUGGCAUGUGAUGCGUAAUAAUAGACACCAAAUAUUAAUAAUGUAAUAUUGAAAUAUAUAUUUGCUGAAAAAUAUUUGGCAAUAGAAUAAUGCUUUAAAAAUUUAAUAUUUUUUGCAAGAAAGUAAUUCGACAAUUAAAGUAAAAGAUGUAAAUGUUAUGCUUUCUUUUAUUUUCUUUUAUUGAAGUUACAUUGUAAACUGCUCGAAGCUAAAUACAAUAUUUACUCUUACACUAGGAUCUUUGCAAUGGUCUAGCAAUUUGUAUUCCUUUCGGUGAGGUUGGUUUUUUUCUUUAAAUAAAAUUUCAGGGAUGAGAAAUCUUAUCCAUUGAACAUCAACUUUGAAUUUUGUUAAUAUUCAAACUUAGAAAGUACUGCAGGAACAAAGUGCAUUCAUAGCCGGUUAAACUAUGUCUAGCUACAAUGCAAGUUUCACUUUUACUUAAUUAAAUAUACAAAAUUAAAUCACAUGAGCCUGUCGUUUCAUUAUACGUCAACUUAAAAUUAAAACGCAGAAUUGACGGUAUUGGAGUUUCAUAUUUAAUUUUUCUGUACUCAUGGGGAAUCAGAUGGCCAUCCAUUUUUACGUCUAUUUUAUGGCCAUCCCCACUAAGUAGCUUGGUCAUAUACAAUAUGUGUGUGCGUGUGUGUAUGUGUGUACUGGGAUGUCACAGGCCCUAAAAGAUAAAGCUGAACAUCAAUCCGAAAUCUAAAGUGAAAAACAGUACCUAGAACAGAAUCUUUGUUUUGAUGUCUGGAAAAUGCAUGAUAGAACAGAGAACUCAUAUUUUAGCAAUAAUCCUAAGCUCACUGGCCCUUAGUUCAAACUGGCAGUUCUUAUUAGUCAAAGAAUCAAAUUGACUUUUAGUUGUAUACAAGUAGAGCACUAGAUCAACAAAUAAUUGAAGACUUGCUUGGCUAUUGAACCAUAGGAAGGCAAUUCGUGAACAGCCUUGAUAUUUCAUUUGCUUUUAUCUAAUUCUCUGUAAAGUUGUCUUGUGUGUAAAAUUUUUGUUGCAUGAAAUCGGUAGGUGAAGAGAAUUUUUAAAAGCAAACAUCAAAGUCACGAUCAAAGGGACGAAAUCAGUAUAAAUAUUGAUUGUCUCAAGUUAGAUUAUGCAAAGAUGAAAUAAUGCUAAUCUAGAAAAUUCGAUCAUUAUAAUUUGAUUUCCAUUAUAUUAAUUAUGUUCAAUCUUGCUAUUUUAAUGAAAACACUCGAGGAUUUAUAGACACUCAGCUUAUGAAAUUAAUUACAAAACGAUCUUUGACCAAAUCUGAUGAAAAGAUCAUAUUAUAAGUGCAAAGUUAGACUUCCCGAUCAUGCAACUAUCUAUCGAAUUGUGGAUUGUGUUAUCGUUGAGCUCUUAGGAAGAUUCAGCUGCUGGGUAGAAGAUAUAAUCUGUUUUUAUGUGACAAGCCAUGUACUCUGCUUUUAUGGUGUUUCUCUUGGUAGUUUUUGGACAAACUGUAAUGUAAAUUUCUAUCUUAAGGGAUUCCUAAUCCUUUUAGUUAGUUUGGGAUUGUUGAUUUAUCUAUGAUGUUUGGUAUCCAAAAUUCAGGUGAUGAUAAUCUUGGCAGUACUUUUGUCAAAUUUUCUUUUAUGUUGGUGUUGUUUUAAUUAAAUAUCACAAAGGUGCAAAAUACGGUAAAAUUAACAUUGAGCUCAUGAGAUUGCCAUUAGAUAUAUUGAAAAAGAAAUUGAUACAAGAAACUGAAAAUUAGUUGUUAAUUAUGAUGGGAAUAUAAUCUUUGAAUUAUAAUUAUAUCUAUCUAACGCAUGUGCACUAAUCUUAUUUAUCUCUAUCACUGAAAAAGCAGAGUGGCCUGAUUGAAUAGUAUGAUAUUAUGUCACAGCAAUCACAAAAACUCACUCAACAUUAUGCUAAUUUAUACUAAUUAAUUAAUACGACUAACAGGAAAAGUUGGAUCUCGCCUUGCUAAAAAUCAGGUGAUUGUUUUUCAUUUUUGCGGCUACUUGACUCAAUUAUGUUAUUGCAAGAGGAGAUUUCUAUUUUGUCCGGUUUAAGCCAUAAGAUGGGUUUCAAGAUUCAUUCUGAUUGGUUAUCUGUUAGCUUUUUGUUUUAAGAACUUCUUAUUUACGAAAGCCAAAUUCUUCUUUCUAGGUUUAUUCAUAUUCAGAAGUUGCUUUUGUCAUAUCAGAAGAAGAGGCUAAGACUGUUUAAGUACUAGAAGGGACUACUGCGCUGAUUGUCUUUUUCAUGAGCUUCUAAUAUCCAAUGUUGAUUAACUCUUCCAUUUGAACAGGAGAGUAAUCAGAUAGUUGAUAUUUAUGUUAAAAAAGUUGGAAGCCACUUAAGCAAUUCAGUAUCAUGCGAGGACUAUAAUAACCCCGAUUCUUUUGCCUCUUGGAUUUUUGUGUUAAUUCACUUGCUGUAUGCUUAUCCGACCUCUGAUUUUUUCUUAAUCUUUCUUUGUAGUUCACUUCACAGCACUUAUAGCCGAUGCAUUGGCAUUUUCUGCUAUUUGUUAUUGUUCAUUGAAGCAAGUUAGCUUACGAGAUUUCUUUUUGAUAAAUGUUCUUCAGAGGGUUGUGAGAGGCCAAAUCAAUUGAGAUGACCGGGUUUUCUAGAUCAGCCAUCUUUGUCGUCAACAGUGCUAAACUGUCAAUUACUGAGACACCAAACUCUAACCUGAUUCAUAUGGAUGUAGACUAAAGCUUCUUGCCGAUACCAUCCCCAGUCAAAGCUGCUAUCUUUGAAAGUUUCGCAAGACAAAACAAUGUUGGUUUCCCAGUCGAUACAAAUACAGAUUUCAUAUAUGCAGAUUGCUCUCAAUCUCUGUUUAAUUAGCUAGUCCUCUGCUGUAUCCUAGAAGGUGGAACAAUACAUUAUGCUUCCCAGCAGGCUCCAAUGGGAUCUAUAUAUGUUUCUGCAGCCAAAUUUUUUAAAGCGAUCAUUGUGAAUAUCCCUACCCAGUCUGAAGUGGGCUUUGAUACUUGUUACAAUACUCGAUCGAGGCUGUAAAGAAGCUGUGGGUGUACAUUUCUGGCCCAACAAUCAAUCUAACUGGCUUACUUUACAGCAAAAAAGAGAUAGAGAAUAUAUUAACUGCUUGUGCAGAAUAUGGAGCAAGAGCUUAUUUAGUGUCGGGUCAAAAUAAAUAUAGCAAAGUUUUAGCUGAAUAUAAAUUGUUAAUUACAGGCAGAGCAAGUUGAGUUUAAAAAAUGCGAAACACCCAGUCCCAAAACAGAGAAGCUUGACGUUGGCCGGCAGGAUUAAUAUUAUUUUUUUUUAACAACAAUCAAAGCCAGUUGGGAAUUUAUUAAGAGGUUAAUUCGUUGAAGUAUAAAAAAGGAAUUAGCAGGAUUCACGCCCGACCAAAUCCACAUGUCCAAAGCAAAGGAUUAAGUUUGAGAGAUUAUAAUGAAAUAUAAGUAAGCGUCGUACAUGCAUGCGUCUGACUGACAGAACAAAUGAAGGAAACAUAAACUUAUCAUUUUUAAGAUGUAAGCAUCAAAACAAUCGACAAGUUUGAGGUUCGUGAGAUAUUGGGAAAAUAUACAAAUAAUAAAGCCACUACAAGUUAAGCAGAGCAAAUAAACAGAGGAAAUAACUGAUCAAUUUAGUUCUUUGUGCAAUGGCCACAGCAACAGAGAAAAUAUGCCUACACGACUACAUUAAUCCUACUGGCGUGGUACUAUCACCAUGCAAAUUAACAUUAACAUUUCAUCAUCAAUCAGUUCUGAUGACAUGAUAUCAAAAACAUUGAUUUCAUAAUUUUAUGUAAUUCAUAUAAAAGAUAUAUAUAGUCGAUUUGAGUUAGUUUAACAUAUGAAGAAAGAGUAAUGGGGAAUGAUAUCACUGUAGCGUGUGAUGAGUAAUGAAAGACACCAAAUAUGGAUCAUGUAAUAAUGAAAUAUGUAUUUACUGAAAAAUAUUUGGCAAUAAAAUGGUGCUUUAAAAAUUUAAUAUUGUUUGCUAAAAAAUAAUUUGACAAUUAAAAGUAAAAGAUGUAUAUGCAAAACUUUGACCUUAUUUUAUCACUUCACUAACCAUUUUGUAAGUACAUCUUAAAUCGAAGUUCAAUUAAUGCUGACGAAAGACUCCAGAGAAUGUCGAGAAGAGAUUUGAUUUUUGUAUACCAAAAAAUUACAGAUGAGAUAAGUUAAAAUCAAUUACAAGAACAACAAAAAGAAUACAUUUUAUAAAAGCCACAAAUACAUAAAAUAUAUAAUCAGUUUCGAAUUAAGUAAUUAUUAACUUAUAUAGUGAGAGAGUGUUAUAGGAAAGUUUGGAAUUUUUUAAAAGAGAUUUGCGAAGGAAAAAGUUUAGUUUAGUUUAGUUUGUGAAGGCUCAAGUAAUUCAAAGCAAUGCAAUUGAAGGAAAUAUAAACUUCUAAUUUUUACAAAGUAAUCGCUAAAAUAUUUGACAAGUUUGAGAUUUUCAAAAAGCUGAAAAAAAUAGACAAAUAAUGGAGACCCUACAGAUUGGUAGCGCAAAUAAACGGAGGAAAAUAGGGCAAACAUUUAUAUUUUCCAAAAAGAAUAAAAGCACGUGUCAAUUACCAAAUAACUUCCACUUUAAAAAAGAAUAAAUGCUAAUAUCAUUGUUAGCACAUGUUGUGCAUUUUUCAUUUAUUUAUUUAUUUCUUUGCUUUUACUUAUUGAAGUUACUUUGCAAACUGCUCCAAGCAAACUACAAAAUUUCUUCUCACUCUAGGAUCUUUGCAAUGGUCCUGCAAUUUGUUUUCCUUUCUAUUAGGUUAGCUUUUUAUUCCAAAAAAAAAAAAAAAAAAAUUGGGCAGAUGGAAACCUCACCCACUAAAUACAGAUUUUGAAUUUUAUUAUUAUUCAAAAUUAGAUAACUAUGCAAAUAAUGUGCGGUUAUAACCAGUGAAACUGUGUCUAGCUACGAUGCAGGUUUAAUUUUCACUUGAUUAAAUAUAAACAAAACUAAAUCACCUGGGCCUCUGGUUUCACUAUUUUUCAACUUGAAAUUAAAACGUAAAAAUUGAUGGUAUUGGAGUUCGUUGUUUAGUUUUGCUGUAGGUCAUGGGAAAUCAAAUGGCCAUCCAUUUUUAUGUCUAUUUUAUGUACUAUUGGUCACUAAGUAGCUUGGUCAUAUAUGUGUAUUGGGAUGUCAUGGGACCUAAAAGAUAAAGCUGAAAAUCAAUCCCCAAUCUAAAGCGGAAAACAGUAGCUAGAACAGAAUCUAUGGUUUGAUGUCUUAGUUUAUAGGCUUAAACAAUUAAUAGUACAGAAAAUGCAUGAUAGAACUCAUCUUUUAGCAAUAAUCAUCCGCUCACUGGCCGUCAGUUCAGAAUGACAAUUCUUAUUAGUCAAAGAAUCAAGAUGAUUUUUAGUUGUAUAUGAAUAGAGCACUAGAUCAACAAAUAAUUGAAGACUUGCUUGGCUGUUGAACCAUGCCGAUGGCAAUUCAAAGACUACAGCUUAGCUCUGCCAUUCAAAGUAAGCAACUCAGCUGCCCAAAGACUGCCAAGCCAUCAAGACAAUACCAAGAUACAACAUCAAGAAUCACGUACAGGCCGUCACAUAUUACAUUUGUCCUCUGUUUUAAGAGAGAUUUACGAACCCAUGCAGUAGGAGUAAUUAAUUAAUUUAUACGUUCAGUACUCAUUCCUCUUUCUUCUGUUUCAAAUCCAAAUCUAGUGCUCCAUCAUUUAUUAUGACGCAAGGUAUAUGGGUUAGCAUGUGUCGAUAUUGUCCUCCAUUCUUUGUGUACCUUUCUUCGAACAAGGGACAACCCGAGAUCUCCAAUCGCAAAAGAGAGGCAGGCAGGCCCUUCUCUGGAAAGUACUUGAGCUUGGGACAAUUACAGAGUUUGAUCAAAUGAGGUUUUAAUGAUCAACAAUUGAAGAAGACAGGCGUUCCAAAUUUAGUAAAUUAACAAUCACCAAAUAUGGUAGGGUGGCAGGCAGAGGAAGCGUGGUUCCUAAUCCUAAUCUUGAGUGAUAACUGGCUAUGUAACAUGUGGCAUUCUACAUUCUUGCAAUGCCAUUAAUUUCUUGUUAUGGCAGCAGCGUUCUUUCAUCAUGGCAUCACAAGCAAAUGUUUGAUUUGAAGACUUGCUUAGCUGAGGAAAAUAAGGAGAGCAAAGGUAAUUAAUUUUGGGGUGAUGAAUAUUUUUAUGGGUGUACUAAGAAAAAUAAAGAUAAUAGAAGUAAUGUUAUUGAGAAGCAUUUUGAUAUUUACAAAAGUGUUCAAAGAAAAAAGUUAUUUUUUGAAAUCUAUUUGCUGGUGCACAUAACAAAAGGGCAUUCUGAGUAAAUUUAAAACUACAAAUAGUCUCACUCUUUUAAUAAUAUUCAAUUAAUUCUGUUUAUUUCAAAAUAAAUAUUCUAUCUCUUUAUUACUUUCUAACUAGUCAUGCUAAUGUGCUAAUAAUUAUGAAGAACUAGUGUAAUUUAUAUGAUAUAAGAAGCCCUUUAGCACAUUAACCCGAAUUUAGCUAAUACAUGUGCCUAAUAUAGCGAAAUCAACAUUCAGCGCAUUAGAGUGCUAUUAUAUAUAUUGAGAAAGAAAUUAACACAAAAAACUGAAUAUUAAUUGACACUGGAUCAUGUUGGAUUGUCAGUUGUUAAUUAUGAUGGGAAUACAAUCUUCAUCAUUGCGGCUACUUGACUCAAUUAUGCUAUUGCAAGAGGAGAUUUAUAUUUUGUCUGGUUUAAGCCAUAAGAUGGGUUUCAAGAUUCAUUCUGAUUGGUUAUCUGUUAGCUUUUUGUUUUAAGAACUUCUUAUUUACGGAAGCCAAAUUCUUCUUUCCAGGUUGAUUCAGAUUCAGAAGUUGCUUUUGUCGUAUCAGAAGAAGAGGCCAUCUUUAAGGCCUUGUCUAACACUGUGGAAGUACUAGAAGGGACUACUGCGCUGAUUGUCUUUUUCAUGAGCUUCUCUUCCAUUUGAACACGAGAGUAAUCAGAUAGUUGACAUUUAUGUUUCAAAAGUUGGAAGCAACUUAAGCAAUUCAGUAUCAUGUGAGGACUAUAAUAAUAAGCCGAUUCUUUUGCUUGGAUUUUUUUGUUAAUUCACUCGCUGCAUGCUUAUCCCUCCUCUGAUUUUUCUUAAUAUUUCUCUGUAGUUCACUUCACAGCACUUUAGCCGCUACAUUGGUGAAAAGAUAUUAUGCUCAAAAUAUUUUCUUUGUAUAUCGAAGAACGAGAGAGUUACAAGCUUAUAUACAACUAUUAAGGUCAGCCAAAUCUCUUAGAGUAACGGCUAGACAGGCUGUCCUAUUUAUGACUACAUACAUUAAGGAAUGAAAUCAUUUGUACAUAAGGAAUAUUAAUAUUAUCAAGUGAUACUUGCUCAAAAUAAAGAUUGUGUCUAGAAUAAGGGAUUGCCGAUGCCAAAUCUUGCUGCUAAUAAUAUUCGGUGAGCUAUAGCUACUGAUUGUAUGGUUUAUCAUCCCCCCUCAAGCUGGUGUGCGGAAGCGGAAAAAUCCCAAGCUUGCGACGAAGAUUAAGAAACUGAAAUUUUGAGAGAGCCUUCGUGAAGACAUCGGCGAUCUGCUUAAAUGAAGGGACAUAAUGUGUAGAAAGCUGACCAGCAGUUACUUUCUCCCGAACAAAAUGAUAGUCCAGUUCUAUAUGUUUUGAUCGAGCAUGAAAAACUGGAUUUUUUGACAUGUGUAAAGCACUUUGAUUAUCACAUAGUAUCCUUGGGGGUUGAAGAAGAAAUAGGCCAAUGUCCAUAAACAAAUAAGUAAGCCAAGUGAUUUCAGCUGCAGUUGACGCCAUGGCACGGUAUUCAGCUUCUGCACUAGAACGGGAAACAGUUGGUUGUUUCUUAGAUGCCCAAGAUACACAAUUAGCACCAAUAUACACACAGUAACCGGUAGUGCUUCUUCUAGUGUCCUUGCAUCCAGCCCAAUCUGCAUCACAAAAGGCAACAAUUUUUAAAGGACUUUGAGAUGUAUAUCGAAUGCCAAAUUGAAUGGUUCCCUUUAGAUAUCGAAGUAUUCUCUUGACAGCUCGCAUAUUAGCCUCGUUGGGGGCUUGAAAGUUUUGACAAACUUUGUUUACAGCAUGUACAAUAUCAGGCCUAGUAAAGGUCAAAUAUUGUAAUGCUCCCACAAUGCUACGAUAUGUUGUUGGAUCGACUGGUGUAAGAUCAUUUGGAUGUUCUUGAGGUUUUACUGCAAUUGGAGUGGAGAGAUGUGUGCUGUCCAGCAUUUUAGUCCUGCAAAGUAGAUCAUAAGUAUAAUUUGUUUGAGAGAUAAAUAUGCCAUCAGAAAGAUAAUUUAUUUCAAGUCCUAAAAAAUAAUGUAAGGGGCCUAAAUCUUUGAUGGCAAACUCUUUGCUGAGAAGAGAGAUAAGUUUCUCUAAAAGUAGCUCAUUAUUUCCUGCAAGGACAAUAUCGUCAACAUAAACAAGCAUAAGAGUUAUAGUGUUGUGUGUGUGUAGGACAAAUAACGAAGAAUCUGCCUUACUGCAUUUGAAGCCAUUCUGAAGUAAAAAUUGAGACAACCUUUCAAACCAAGCACGAGGUGCUUGCUUUAGUCCAUAAAGUGAUCGCUUUAAUUUACAUACAUGGUUGGGAAAUCUAGCAUCUGUAAAUCCUGGAGGUUGUUCCAUGUAUAUUGUUUCUUUUAAGAAACCAUGAAGAAAUGCAUUCUUCACAUCAAGUUGUCGCAUCACCCAUUUUUCAGUUACAGCUAAGGAUAAAAUGACUCGAAUGGUGGUGUGUUUAAUAACCGGACUAAAGGUUUCUCCAAAGUCCAGUCCCGGUAUUUGAGUAUAUCCCUGUGCCACCAAUUGUGCUUUAUGUCGAUCAAGAGUUCCAUUUUUCUUGAAUUUAUUUUUGAACACCCAUUUUGAUCCUACAACAUUCAAGUCCUCUGGGCGAGGAACUAGAACCCAAGUCUCAUUAUGUUCAAGAGCUCGAAUUUCUUCUUCCAUAGCAGAUUUCCAAUGUGGCUGCUUAAUUGCGGAUUUCCAUGAUUUUGGCUCAACUUGAACAUUAAGUGCCAUUUGAUCAGCAAGUUCAGGAUUAUUUUUCAAUCGACGCCUUGUGAUCAUAUGGUGAGGAGCUGUCAAGUUUUGAUUUGAUGAUGAUGACUGAGAAGAGUGCCCGCUUUCAUGUGGUAUUCUUAGGUCCACAUAGAUGUUGAUUCCUUCUGGACUGGUCUCUGAAGAAUUUGCUGUGACAUCUUGAGUGCUUUCUUUAGAGUUAUCUGAUCUUGUGGGCUCAAUAGCGUCUGACACCACCAAAGGAAUGUCAUCACUUGUUAUAGGAAUAUUAAUAUUAUCAAGUGAUACUUGCUCAAAAUAAAGAUUGUGUCUAGAAUAAGGGAUUGCCGAUGCCAAAUCUUGCUGCUAAUAAUAUUCGGUGAGCUAUAGCUACUGAUUGUAUGGUUUAUCAAUUGGCAUUUAAAUGCUAUUUGUUAUUGUUCCUUGAAGCAAGUUAACUUAUGGAAUUGCUUUUUGGUAAAUGUUCUUCACAGGACUGUGAAAGGCCAAAACAACUGAGAUGACCGGGUUUUCUAGAUCAGCCAUCUCUGUCCUCAACAGGGCUGAACUGUCAAUUACUGAGACACCAAACUCUAACCUGAUUCAUAUGGAUGUAGACUAAAGCUUCUUGCCGAAACCAUCCCCAAUCAAAGCUGCUAUCUUUCAAAGUUCUGCAAGAGAAAACAUGUCUGAGUCAGACAUUGACGUCCCCCCAAGAAUCAAACAGUAUAUCAAGAGCAAUGUUGGUUUCCCAGUCGAUACAAAUGCAGAAUUCAUAUAUGCAGAUUGCUCUCAAUCUCUGUUUAAUAAGCUAGUCCUCUGCUGUAUCCUACAAAGUGGAACAAUACAUUAUGCUUCCCAGCAGACUCCAAUGGGAAGCAUGUUUCUGCUGCCAAAUUUUUGAAAGCUAUCAUUGUGAAUAUCCCUCCCCAGUCUGAAGUGGGCUUUGAUACUUGUGACAAUACUCGAUCGAGACUGUAAAGAAGCCGUGGGUGUACAUUUCUGGUCCAACAAUCAAUCCAACUGGCUUGCUUUUACAGCAGGAAAGAGAUAGAGAAUAUAUUAACUGUUUGUGCAGAAUAUGGGGCAAGAGCUUGUUUAGUUAUUAUAGAUAUUUAAUAAAAUAAUAACACGAUUAAUAUGUUACUAAACAAAUAAACACAAUUGAAAUAGCCGUAAUGUGAAAACAAAACAACUCCAUUGUUUUUGUGUUUUUUUGUAAAUUCUUGUCAUUUAGAGUUUUUUGGGCUUUACUGCAUCAAUUAUUUGGUGUUUAUCUUGUUUUAUUCUUUUACGAUGUAAGAUUCUUGGUAGUGAUACAUCUGGAAUAAGAGUGAAAUCGCAAUCUUACAAUUUGGAGAAAUGAACUGCGAUAUGAUACUUCAUGAAAAAAAGAUUUAAUUUAUUAUUUCUACUACUAAAAACUAUUAAUUCAUCAAACCAUCAAGAUUUUUUUUCUUUUUUUUUUUUGAAUUCAACCCAUCAAUCUUUGUUUGUAACUGCCAGACCGUCAGUUUCUUUCUAUCACUAUGCAACAUUACAUUAACAUUUCCUCAUCAAUCAAUUUUGAUGGUCUGAUAUUGAAAACGUCGAUUUCAUAAUUUUGUGUAAUUGCAUAGAAAAUAUGUAAUUUCAUAAUGAAAGAGUAAUGGGGAAUGAUAUCACUGUGGCGUUUGAUGAGUAAUGAUAGACAACAAAUAUGGAUCAUGUAAUAAUGAAAUAUGUAUUUAUUGAAAAAAAUUUUGCAACAAAAUGAUGCUUUAAAAAUUUAAUAUUAUUUGCUAGAAAUAAUUUGACAAUUAAAAGUAAAAGAUAUAUUUGCAAUCCUUCGAGUUUAUUUUAUCACUUCACUGACCAUUUUGUAACUACAUGUUAAAUAGAAGUUCAAUUAAUAGAAGUUCAAUUAAUCGUCGUCUUCGACCUUUACACGGUCCUCCCCUUCCAGCCUCUCUGAAUUUCUACUGAUCAUCACUCCCCACCAGCCAACCAGCUUCUCUAUGCUACCUUCUAGAAUUCUAAAGACUUUAAUUAACUUCUAGACUUGUUUCUGGGUUUAAUCAAUUUGCUCCCCCCCAGUUUCCAUGUAAAAAUUCUGCUUAAUUUAAUUAAUUGUUAAUUAACAAAUAACAGAAACGCUAAUUUUCGCGCAAGUUUCAACAUUACUUACUUGGUUGCCUUCUGUUCUCCUGUUUGCGUCUCUGUCUUCCAUUACGAGCACCCAAAGAGGUAUAAUCAACGGUUUGCGAGAUAGCUGCGACUGCAGUAGGUGCCAGCGUCGAUCAUCAACAUGGCGGUGCACGGUAGAAUUAGGUGAGGAGAGAUGGAGAGGUAUAAUCAACGGUUGCUGAUCAAAUUUGAAACUUUCCAGCGAACCGACGGUGAUGACGAGAUUGAUUCCGAUUAUAAAUCCUGUGCAUAUCUUGCAUAUUGAGUCUAUGUAAUCGUGACCGUCAGAUCGGAUUUUUAUGAUCGUAUGGCUGGUGUUAGUGGGCGCUACGUUGGAGCUGAUCCAACAUAGCCGAACCCUUCAAAUAAAUAGAACUUUUGUGUCAGUCAAACUUACUUCAUUAAUAUUCUUCAUCAUUAUGGUUAAGCCAAAAUAAAACACUUUCUCUUGUAUUAACCUUUGCUAGUCGUCGAAAUUAAAAAUUUUUAGAACAAGUUAAAACAGUUCCAACUCAAAAUCAUUAGUGCGCAAUUGGGUUGUUAUAAAUAUUUCUGAAUUUCAGUCUAAUUUGAAUUAUUUAAUUGUGUAUGCACAAACUAGUUUUAUCACUUUUUUCGUAUUGAUACCCAAAAAUUUCAACCUUAUUUUAUAUUGAUGCACAAUCUAACUUAACAAAAAUAAUAUUCAAAUUGUCUCAAUUUUUUUUAAAAAAAAUUAUAUACAAAGUUAAGUUUUCUUCUUCUCUAAGAUCUAGCUCUAUACUAAGUUUUCUUCUUCUCUAGGAUCUAGCUCUAUACCCCUCUUCUUUGUCGUUAUGCUGCUCAGUCGUUAGAUUUGAAUUAUGUUAAUCUAACGGUCCGGAUUUGUAAUGAAUAAUAUUAAAUGCACCGGUAUAUGGAUGUACAAUUUUGGUAAAUUCAUCUCAUAUAUUAGAGUCUUUUGGUUUUAUGACGAAAGAGUCAUGGUAGCGAUGUAUCUAGAGUAAAAAUAUUUAAUUUAUUUUUCCUUGUUAUUAGCAAAAAUUAUUAUUAAUUAAUCAGCCUAUCGAGAUAUAUUGGUUUCAUUUGUUACAACUAGCCAAUUGCUUAAUACGGUUUUGUACGUCUCACUAUGAAAUCAUGAAGUACUUGUAAAUAAAAUCAUAGGUGUGGUAUGUUGUGAUGUGAUAAAUUUAAAUACAAAUCUUAAUUACGUUGUGAUGUGAUAAAUUUAAUUCAUAUCUAAAAAUUAAGAGAUGAUUCAUAUAUAGGUACAUACUUAAUAAAGAUAUUUAAAUACAAGCAUUCAAUUCCAUGAUACACCUAACGAUCAAGGGGACUGAAUAGAAAUAGAUGUAAAAAGUCAAAUAGAUGAACAAGUACACAUGAUGAUUUAUUAAAUAAAAAAUUAAAUUUAUAUCCUUUUUAAUAAGUGUGAAAUUAUUUACACUCUAAUAUUUAUUUAAAACACUCAUAAUUUUUUAUUACUAAAAACUUCAUAAUUCAAUCUAUAAAUAAGAACAAUUCAAUAUAAGUAAAUAGGACAAUAAUAUUUUUGACAUUCAUAUAUCUAACGUUCACACACCCAUGUAAAAUUGCUAAACCUUAAAUCGUAGAACGUUCUUCAAAACUCAUCAAUUAUUUAAAAGUAUAUUUAACAAAUUUGCAAGACACAGACUCCAUGUUUCUAAUUUCUUUGGCUUUAGAUUUCAAUUUUUGUUGAACAUAUAUCUAUUCCAUAUAAAGAGUUUCUGAAUUUUUAAUUUCUCUGCCAAAGAGGUUCUAUGGGAAUAAACAACUGUUAAAAACAAAUAAAAAAUCAGAUACAAGUGUAGAAUAUACUCAUUAAAUUUUAAUUCUUUGCACAGACACGACCUGCAUAUAUACACAAAUAACUGUUCUACGAAUAUGUAGAAGCAAUCUCAACUGUCCAUUUUUUUUUUGAAAUUUUAACGAAUAUAAAUUUUAUAUGUUGGAUAACUAUGGAAAAUAAGAUUAGGAAAAUAAUAUUAUCAACAACUAGGGAGAGAAAAGGCAGUUAAUAUUAGUGCAAUGAAUAUUUUUAUGGGUCUAAUAAGAAAAAUAAAGAUAAUAAAAGGAAUGCUAUUGAUAAUAUUAAUAGCAUUCUUUCAUAUGAUGCACAAAUUACCUUAAUCACUUCUUUCAUAUAAAUACUCAUAAAUUUCAUCUAAAUUAUAAAAAAGGGAAGAAAAAAAAAUCAUAUAGUUAAUUUUUCUUCUUCUUUACCCCAUUAUUCAGUGGGAGUAUUGUUGCAAUGAUAAGAACUCCGGCAAGUGCUUAUUUCGGAUACAUGUGUGGCAUUCAUUAAGGAAUGAUAAGAACGCCGGUGACCAAGAAUAAAUGAAUUUAUUUGUAUUUUAACAUCAACAAAAUUUUUCCAUUCCGGAUAUUUAUCAUUUUCUCGUUAAAAAAAAUUGCAUAAAAUUAAGAAAGCAGCAGUCCCUGAACGGGAGAAACAGAGUAAGGGAGUUCAAAUUUCAAAAGAUGGAACCCCGUAGAAGAAGCCCUAGCAACAAUCCCAGAAGAAGAAGAAGAUGGUGAUGAAGACACGGCCAUGCCCAACGUUAAGCACAACCCUGCAAAAAAAAAAAAAAAACAAAAGACAACUCUUCGGACUCGAGCGAUGCUCUGACUCCGACUAGGAUUCUGACUCAGAAGACGAAGCAAAACAGAACAUGGAGCUUCAAAACCUAGAGUUUCAGCUAUCCAGUGAACCUUUCAAUUACGACAACCAUGUUCAAGUAACCUCAAUACGCAUACUUAUUGGGUGAUUUUGUGGAUGCCCAUUCGCUUUUCUUUCUUAGUUGGGUUGCGAUAAAAAUGGCUUUUUUUCUUUCAGUAUAUAAAGGUUUUGAGAAAAAUGGGUGAGAUGGAGAAGCUGAGACAAGCUAGGGAAGCGAUGAAGAGAUUUUUCCAUUGACUCCUGCUAUGCGGCAAUAAUGGGCGAGAGAUGAAACCUCUAUUUCAACUGGGUAUCUGUCAUUUCCUUUUUGCAGUGGUUUUCGAUUUUGUGAACAAAUAUUUUUUCGCUUAGAGAUAUAGAUGUUUAUAUUCGUUAUUUGCUAGUGUAAAAAGGAACAAAACCUGCUUAAAAGGUGUUAAAGAAAGAAAAAGGAACCAAUUUGCAGAAGGGGAUACUUAUAGUGGGAGUUCUAUUCUUUGGGGUUUAAUUGAUGGGAGAAGAAACAGCUUAUAUGUUUACAGAAUUAGACAUUUGAUCGCUGAGUUAGUUGAGGAAGAUAUUUAAUCACAAUGUCUGAUGUUGUUUCUGUUGGCCUCAGCUAAUUUUUAAGAUUUCAUGCUUUCAUUCAACAAAGCAAUAGGCUUUCGUUGGGUCCAACUUAGUUGGGUGUUCUGAGCAACCAAUGAGUGUCUUGAGAAAACUUGGGUGGAGUUCGGAUCAUUUUCAGGAUUUAGUUUCCAAGAAAACAAAAACGAAGUCGUAGUCGUAGUCAUAGUUUAAAUUAAUUCAUGUUUUGUCUUUUUCUGUGAGCCCAGUGAGCUUUUGUUUUCACUUUGUUCUCUUUUGCUUCUUUCCCUUCUUUUCCUACUGUUUCUUGACAAUCAAGCAGAUCAGGAUUAAGUGUUUACUUUUGGUGUAAUUAUUCUCUCUAACUCGAAUAAUACAUAGGUUUAGUGCUAUCAAAAUUGGAAGUGAAUUAAUAUCUGAAGCUGACUUGGGAGUGGAAUGUAUGUUACUAAAAAUAUGCUAUAUGGUAGAUAGAAUUUGCUUUUUAGGUAAGACUAAAAUAAUUACCGCUGUUAAUUUAUUUCAAUAAGUUCGUACAUCAUUCAAUAAUAAGUCCAAGAUUUUAAUAGUUUUGUUUCCUGAAAAUUUGUCAUCAGUGCAUGAACAAAGUUCAAUGGAUGAACUUCUCUUAGUUAAUUUGAGCUCUUUAUGAAACACUAAUCUUGCUCUGUACUUUGGAGCAUUUUAAUAAUUGAUGUUAAGAUUUGCUAAUGUAAAAAGGAAAAAAACCUGCUUAAAGGUAUUAAAGAAAGAAAAAAGGAACCAAUUUGCAGAAGGAGAUACUUAUAGUGGGAGUUCUAUUCUUUGGGGUUUAAUUGAUGGGAAGAAGAAAUAGCUUAUAUGUUUACAGAAUUAGACAUUUGAUCACUGAGCUAGUUAAAGAAGAUAAUUAAUCACAAUGUCUGAUGUUAUUUCUGUUGGCCUCAGCUAAUUGUUAAGAUUUCUUACUUUUUUCUGGUUUUUCAUAACUGUGACCUAAAGCUUAAUGUAUACUUUGAUAAUUACAUAACCGGUUUCUUGCUGAUACUUUUCUUUCAUUUGUAGACCUGAGGCUCUUUUGGGAGUUGAGAAGAUUUACGAAAGAGGAGUUUCUAAUUAUCUGGUUUGUUCUCUUUAUGCCUACAGAAUUUGAAUUCAUACUAUGCAUGGAUUUAUAAUUCUUUUUUUUUUUUUUAAUUUUGAGAAAGAUUUUAUGAAAUUGAAGCAUUAUAGUAAAGCGUACCACUCACAAGCUUGAUUCACUUUGUUUUUUUUUACUACCAAGAGGUGCUAACAGUUCAUGGUGCACAAAAAGAGGUGGGGAAAAAAAGAAAUCUUCUUGCUAGAUACAUAAAUUUUAAUAUUUGAAUCAUUUUCAACCAAAGAAAUGUGCUGAAGAGCAGCAUUUUUGUUUAUAUCAAAGUUCAAUUGCAUCUUAUAUCAUCUGUUUCCAUCUCCUUCAUGGUAAAUAAAGUCCUUGAUGAUGACAAUAAGAAACACAGAAGAAGUUGUUAAUUUCAUAUCUGGAGAUUUUCAUCAUAGUAGUUCAUUGAAAGUGAAGGCAGCUGAAUACACUUUUUUCUGAUGCAGUCUGUCCCUCUUUGGUGUGAUUAUUUGAAAUUUGUGCAAGAAUAUGAUCCAUUUAUACACGAAUGUGCCUAAUAAAAUAUCACAAAGGUGCCUAAUACAGUGAAAUUAACAUAUUCAUCUCAUGAGAUUGCCAUUAUAUAUAUUGAAAAAGAAAUUAAUACAAGAAACUGAAAAUUAAUUGACACUGGAUCAUGUUGGAUUGUUAGUUAAUUAUGAUGGGAAUAUAAUCUUGAUCUUUUAAUUAUCAUCUAGCUAAUGCAUGUGCACUUUCAUUUGUGUCUAUCACUGAAGAAUAAAGUUGCUUGAUUGAACAACAUCAUAUGACAGAAACUCAAAACUCAAUUUCGUUGCCCGAGCAUAUCAUGCCAUAUUUAGCUCAAAAGUACAAUUAACGUUGAACAUUCAGCUAGCUAGCUCAUACUAAUUAAUUUAUAGGAUUGCUAGUUCUUUAUGAUUAACUAAAAGAGAAAAUAUUUGACAAUUACGAAAACAACAACAAUUCACUCCCAUAAACAACAUAAUAGAUACAUGGUCUAUAUUGCAAGUCUUUUUAUGAUUUUAAUUAAAAGAGAAAAUGCAAAGGAAAUAUUAUAUAUAAUUGAAUGUUCUCCUUGAUAAUUAGACAAAAUGACACCAAUCUGGCUAACUAAUACAAUCAUCAUAAUUAUCCGAUUUUCAUUUUAAUUAUGUCCAAUCAUGCUAAUUUAAUAAAGAACACUGAAUACAUGAGUAUUUAUAUGUUCAACAACUUUGGCUUAUGCAAAAUAUAAGAGCUGCAUUUAUGCUUUGUGUUAUUAAGUAGGACAUGACCAUAUUAUGUUGCAUUUGUCAGAAAACUGAAACAGGAGAAUGUGACAUCUGUGUAUUGUCUUUUACUUCCAGUAAGUGAAUCACAUGUUCUUCACGUGAUUUGACAUACUUUUAGACGGAUUUGGCAGUUGUUUUGGUCACUUAUUGAAGCACGAGUUAAGCACGUGAUUGAAGGUUGUUAACUGACCGUUAUAAGGUGGGAAAAUUCUGGGUUUGUUACGACAAACCCAGAAGGCAGCUGGUGAGUGGGGGACGUUUCUAGAUUCUACAUCAUCUGUAUAUAUGGUCUUAGAGGCUAUAGUUGGGCCAUAUGAAAAGCUCCUAACUUCUUAAUGUUUGUAGCUUGUUCUUGGUGAUUGAAAUAAGAUUAUUACUCCGCCCCUCUGUUUUGCUUGUUUCUGUUCUUAUUCUUGUGAGGUGUGUGAUUUGUUUAUCAUUUCUAAAUCAUCAAUUAGAGAGAUCAACGAGAUCUUGGUGGUUUUAGAUUGAGUUUAAUCGAUCAAGAAUCAAUAAGAUGUAAUGAAAACAAAAUGACAGAAUAAUGCACGCACAUCACAGCAAUGUUUCAUUCAUUUUGAAUCUGUAUAUACAAAACUUGUAUCUGACAGUUUACAUUUGUUUAAUCUAGCGCUGUAACAUGCGUACCAUCAAAAGCUACAGCCGCCAUCUUUGUUUGUCCUCGUAGCAUCCUUGAUCUUAUUUUAUCCUGGUGAUUCUUGAAAGUUCAUCUCAUUCUCAUGUGCUGAGUCACUUGCUGAGAUGAUGAAUACUUGAGGGUCCUUCCUUGAGACAUUUCAGCAGAAACCUGAUUCAUUCUAUCAAACAUCUGCAUCACUAAUCACUAAAUGAUGUAAGAUAGUUCUGUUUUGAAAUAUUAAUAUGCAUGCAUCCCCCGCGUUAGUAAGAGCUACUUGUCAUCUUCUAUUUUCUUUUAGGUACAGUUUUGAAUUUUUAAUCAAUCAGAUUCAGCUGCAUGUUUGCUUUUAGUCCAAACUGAAAUCACAUAUUAAGUAUUUUUGCUAGAAUGGAUGCAAAAACCUGAUCACACUCAACAUUCCAGGGUUGAAGAAAGAUGAUAUGAAGAUUGAAGUUGAACAGAACAGGGUACUGAAAGUGAGUGGGGAGAGGAAGAGUGAUGACGAUGAGGAAGUUGAAGGAGAGAAAUGGCACAGAGCCGUGAGAACAUUGGGCAAGUUUUGGAGGCUGUUUAGGAUGCCAAUGAGUGCUGACUUGGAACAUGUUAAGGCUCAUUUGGAAAAUGGUGUUAUGAGGAUCACAGUGCCAAAGCUUGCUGAGGAGAAGAAGAGGCAGCCCAAGGUUAUUAACAUUGAUGAAGAGUCCGGUAAUUCUUCCGGUGAAGAUAGUAAGGCCACCAAGGCUCAAAUGUAACUGAUUAAAGAAAGAAGUGUUUGCUUUGCUUUAUGUGCCAUUUGUUUUGUGAUCGUCUCAUGGUUUUGUUGUGUGAUGCUUCUCUUUAGAUGUGUUGUUUAUUGUAUUUUGGUGGAUUUUUGAGGAUGGCUGUAUGUAUUAGCAACAACAAGGUGCUUUUUAUAAAUCCAGGUUCUAAUUUUGUAAAAGAAAUUAAUACUCUCGGUUUAUUGUUAAUAAAAAAGAAAAAAGAAAAAACCUUUUUUUUGUGGCAUAUAUUAUGCAUUUUAAGAAAGAAAAAAAAAUCACAUUCCAAUUCAUGAAAGACAUUCCUUCUGUCAUACUGAUGUGUUAAUAGAAAGAUUUAUGUGAAUUAUAACAAUUUUGAUGAAUCUAAAUAUUUAAUAACUGAUAAAUUGUAUUUAUAAAUAUUAAUACCGGUAGCACAUAAGCACUUAAUUCAAGAACUCGCCUAUAGUGCAUUAAUUUAAAGAGUAGAAAUAUUUAAUAAAUCAUGCUCGGUUUACUAUUAAUUAAUCAAAUUUAAUUUACUCAAAUAUACUCCUCUACAUGAUCAAAGUAAUUUCAAAUAUACAACACACAAAAAUGGAAAUGACUUUGAAAUAUAAAAUAUUUAAAAUAAUCACCCCGCUAACAAUUCACCAGCUAGAUUAUAAAUAGUCAAAAUAAUGAUAAUCUAGGGGGUCCAGUCAUAAUAAUUUGAUUUUUAUUUAUAUUAAUUAUAUCAGAAAGAGUACUCGAGAUUAUAUAUAUAUCCAACAGCUAAAAUUUCAAAAUAAUAUUUGCCAAAGUCUGAUGAAGAGAAUACAUAUAUAUAUAUAUAUAUAUAUAUAUAUAUAUAUAUAUCAUGCACUCGCACACAUUCUAUUGUUUAAUUAAAAAAUUCGAAAGCCCAUUUUAUACAUGAUAAAGACUCACCGACACCGAACCAUAUUCAUUUAAAGGAAUUGCUUUCAACUAAGAUUUGAAAUUAUAUACACAAACACACCCGAUUUUUUUUUUUAAAAAUUACUAAUAAUAAAAUAUUUCAGUCGUCCUCUGUUCAGCCGUCAAAAACCCAUUUAUAUAUCCAACAGAUAAGAUGUCAAAACAAAUUUUGCCGAAAGCAAAAAGUCUGGUGAAAAGAAAUGUUAUGUACAUAUAACCGUACAGGCGCAGCAGAAGGAUAAGUCAAAGAAAAACGAAGUUUCAAUAAGAAAUUAAUUACACAUUUACACUCAAUAAGAAAUCAAUUCAUUACUUUCUAGCGCUUUUAUUUAAAAAGCGCAGUCUAUUUUUUAAUAAAAAAAAUUCGGAAACCGAUUACAUGAUAAAAAACUCACCGACACCGAACCUUAUUAAUUUAAAAUAGUUUUCAACUAAGAUUUGAAAUUACAUUCACAAACACACCCAACUAAAAAAGAAAAAUUCUAAUAAUAAAACAUUUCAGUCAUCAAAAACCCAUUUAUAUAUCUAUAUCAACAUGCGGUAUAUGGGUUAACAAGUCCCAAUAUUGUCCUCCAUCCUUUCUGCACUUCUCUUCUAUCAACGGACAAUUCACGAUUCUUAAUUUCAAAAGUGAGGAAGGCAGGCCCUUCUCCGGGAAGUAUUUGAGCUUGGGACAUCCCCAAAGAACCAAUUCAGUGAGGUUUUGAAGAUCAACAAUUGAAGAAGAUAGGCGUUCCAGAUUUGGAAAAAAUAAAAUAUGCAGAGAUGUUAGAGAGGCAGGAAGAGGAAGCGUGGUCCCCAAUCUUAUGUCCUCCGGUGGGAAUGACACCAUGUCGUCAUCACAAUUCAUGAUUGUAAGUUGUCGCAGAGAGGAGAAUCUGUGAAAUCCCCGGCCCCGCUCAAUCAUUGACUUCCAAAUCUUCGUAUUACCAUCAAUCUCCAGUGAAUGAAGGUUGGUGGGAAGGCCAUCUUCUUCAAGGCUUGGAAGCUCAACUCCUUUUAUUGUUAAUUCUUGAAGAGAGGUCAGAUUGUGCAAUCCCUUGGGUAAGGCCUCUAGUCUCUCACAAUAAGAUGUCUCCAGCGUCCUGAGUUUCGCACAAGGCAAUCCCCCUUCGGGAAAGGACACCAGAUUUUCACAUGCCCAUAUUUUGAUCUCUUGAAGCUGGCGGAGAUUAUGUAAACCACUCGGUAAAAUUUUCAGAUUUCCACAAUUAGAAAUGUCGAUUGUUUCAAGAGAUGUGUUGUUGUCCAACCUUUCUGCUAUUGACUCCAGCUUUGAACAAAACCAAACAGAAAGGGACUUAAGAGACGGAGGUAGAUUGCCAACUUCAAGGGACUCAAGCGUGGCAGGUAACUCGUUUUUUGAAAAUAUACAUGUCAGAGAGUCACAACUGUCAAUGUGUAAGUGCUCAAGAAGAGAUGAGGUGUACCUUCUGCUGCUGCUCUGGACGCCCUCUUCCACUGUCAAAGUCCUUAUAUUAUCACAAUCCUGGAUGUCCAACCUCUUAAGGCUCGGUGGUAGCUGGACUUCAGCAAUAUAUCUCAACGAAUGGCAGUCCAAAAUCCUCAAGAUCUCAAGAGAUGAAUUGGUGUCGCACAUCCAUGCCUCUGGUAACGAUUUCAGUGCAUCACAAUGCCAAAUAUCAAUUUCCCUCAACUUGGAAGGCAGAGCAAUCUCAGGGAAGGAAACAAGGGAACUGCACCCGGUGAUUUGUAUAUUUCUCAAGGAACUCAGGCUGAGCGAUGAUUGUGGCAGCUUCACAAGGCCUUGGCAGUCGCUCAAUCUUAGAUAUUCGAGUCUGCAUGACAACUCGUAGAGCUGCUGUUGUUGGUCUUUCUCUUCCUCCGCCACCAAGGAUUGAAGUUUGGGACAGCUGUCAAUCGUCAAUCUUUUGAGAGAUCUAAUGUCUUGUAGUAAUUCGUUAUGACUCUUCCAUAUAUAUGUCUGCUCUUUCAUAUCAUUUAUCUCCAAUUCUUCCAAUUUUGGUAGUCGCGGCUUCAAUGGCCCUGUGAGAAAUACUUGAUUUGAGGUAUCUCCACAAACCACUGAAUUCUGUGACCCGAGAUGAUCAGUUGAACUUCUCCACACAACCUUUUUACAUCCAUAAAUCUUUAGUUUGCAAAGAGCUGGAAGACACGUAAUCGAAACUAACAAUUCUUCACAUUUUUCAAUAGCAAGCAUCUCCAAUGCAGGAAGGUGUUCUGGAAACGUUCCUUGCAGUUUAGAACAUCUUAUAACAUGAAGCUCUCUCAAUUUGGGAAAUCCUUCAACUCCCCGACUGGAUCCAUGAGGAAUCCAAUCUUCCCAUUCUUCCAUGUCUUCAAAACGAAGAGUCUCCAAGCAUGCAAAAGGAGUUGAAGAAUCAUUCCCAUAGAACUCUGAGCCCAAUCUCUUUACUUUACUCAUUCCACUCACUGCAAGAUGCUUUAGAGAGGGCAGUUGCCCGACUGAUGGCCAUAUAGUACACAUACCACAAUCUUCAAAUUUUAGGAUCACUAAAUUUGAGAAUGAGGAAUCUCCUAACCAAGUUGGAAAUUUUGUGCCCCCAUAGCCACUGAUACAAAAUUGUUUUAGAUUUUUAUGGGGUUUUAGCAUGUCAAGCACGCCCUUUUCAGUUUCAGCCUCCCUUGAAGAUGAACCAUCGGCACUGCGAGUCCAUUGAAGCAUUAACACCUCAAGAUUCUUCUUUCCAUCCAUUUGAGCCUCCAUGGCAUCACCAACGCAUUUUACAUUCUCCAAUUUUGAAAUGUUAAGUGUCCCAUGAAGGUGCGUCAACAACUUUAGCUCUCGUAACCCGGAACCACUGCCUUUUCCCACAACAAAAUUACACAACGUCUGAAGACUAGUCAACCUACCAAUUCCUACUGGCAUUUCCUCCAACGACUUCGUAUUUGAAUUCUUAAGAUGAUGCAAUUUGGCGAGGUUUCCCAUGUCUGCACACAACUUCUUCAGCCGAUCACAAUCUUCCAACAAAAGACUGUGCAAAUUGUAAAGCUUGUUGACUGAUUCAGGCAGAGUUCUAAUUUCAGUUCCAGAUAG
rnacentral:lncRNA from 1 species